AUGGUAAGUCUGUAGGAGAGAUCAUGUUCAGAGGAAACACCGUCAUGAGUGGCUACUAUAAGAAUCAGGAAGCGACAGACAAGGCAUUUGAGGGCGGAUGGUUUCAUAGUGGAGACCUCGCCGUGAAGCAUCCUGAUGGCUACGUCGAAGUAAAAGAUCGUUUGAAAGACGUUAUAAUUUCGGGGGGAGAAAAUAUAAGCACAGUGGAGGUAGAGACGGUUCUGUACAGCCAUCCGGCAGUUCUAGAGGCUGCGGUGGUCGCGCGUCCUGAUAAUCACUGGGGCCAAACGCCUUGCGCAUUCGUGAAGUUAAAGGAGGGAUGUCACAUCGAUGCUCAGGAGAUCAUAGGAUAUUGUCGAGAUCAUUUGCCUCAUUACAUGUCUCCUCGGACAGUUGUGUUCGAGGAUUUGCCCAAAACUUCGACUGGAAAGAUCCAAAAGUUCAUUCUGAGGGAAAAAGCAAAGGCCAUGGGUAGCCUCUCAUGAACCAAGCAUUACACAAUCUAUCCCCACAAUUAUGUGAUUGUUCUUGUGUAGUGUCUCAUAAUUAACAAAGUUUCUCAAGAGUUGAUGGUUCACAAAAGGUUUUUGGAGGUGACCAAUAUGCGUAAUUUAUCUUGGGAGCUGAGAAUAGGUGUCUCAAAUUGCUCCUGGUAUGUAUUACAUGAAUACAUUGACAUGAAUGCAGCGUCUUUCUUACUGGCCAGCUUUCAUCUCUGUUACAUUUCAUUGUACUAAGAGGAAAUUUAUCUCUUUUGCCUUGGCAGUUUUGCUGUGUAAUCUUUUAGCUCAUGCAGAUGCUCGCACACUGUGCUGAUUAGAUCUGUAACAUCCUGAAUCUCACUGUGUAAUAUUGUCCGCUUUGGAUCACCCGCCUUGACGCAGACGAACCGUCAUCCCAGCCACGGUCUUUUCUCUCACGGCUUUAAAACGUGUGACAGCCUCCUCUCUUGUCCCACAUCGCUUAGGGAGGGAAUCCAGGGCCAGUUUAUAAUGGCUUGAGCCCCUUAACCUGUGUGAUGCGUUUUAAAACCGUGAGGACUUAGUGUCCAAAGCGGACAAUAUCACACAGUGGGCCCGGGUCGUUACAAGAUCUAGGAGGACGAUGUAGGGUACUAAGCUGCAAUACAAGUGGUGUCCUCUUCACUCUGCGGGUUAAUGACAGUCUAGGACCCUAAGCUGCAAUACAAGUGGUGUCCUCUUCACUCUGCGGGUUAAUGACAGUCUAGGACCGUAAUAGUGUGCCAAGCGGAUUUCCUUCCAGAUCCACCAUGAAUACUGCGCCGUUCUUCUUGAGGCAGGGUUGCUGCAAGUUCUUCUCCAGCAUCACCAUGAAGUUUCGAAUGGGAGGGUGGUAAAGCGCCAGCUCUGUGUAUGCCGUCUUCGCCUGCCAAAGCAGCAGGUGGUAAGAUAAUGAAAGCCUGCUCAGUAUGAAUCUCAUUUGCUGAUGCAUCAUAUGGAAUAAAGAACCGUACGGUUCUACUUAUGAACUUACUGCUGCUAUGGCAAUCCACUAUUGGCUUCGUCCGUCAUAGCGGAUUUCAUCUGGCAUGCUAGGUAGACGAUUAGUUUGUUUUCCUUUCCCUUCCUCCCGCUGCUUAGGUAACGUCUCCUGCACAUGUGCCUGCAAUUAUCGACCCAUUUGACAGGGUAAACUUGGCGUUCUAUUCAUCUAGAUGCAUCAAGUUCCAAUGCUUUCGACAUCUUGGGGGGGAGCAUUUCAAGAUAGAGUCGCCGAUGGAAUCUUGAUCAGGUGAAUCAGCGACCCCGUUUGAGAAGUAGAGGUCUCAGACGAGCACUCGAGUAUCCCGAUCAUGGGAUCGAAGCACGUGAACUACCUUCCAAGAUGGGGCUGAAUUGUCUUCCCCUACUUGAAUUUUAGCAGCAUUAGGACGACCUACUAAUCCUGGUUUUUCUAGUACAUUUACUGUCUAGACGUGAUAUAUGUGGAAUUUUGUGAAAUUCCUGAUACUAUUUAUGUAAGUUGUUUAAAUAUAUGACGUUGGGAUUGACAUGAAGUACGAAAAUUAAAUGUUCUGCAUGUAUGUGAAGACAAUUUCUACUAUAUUAGAGGAGAUUACAAUCAUAGUGUCUUUUCUGCGACUUCCAACAUGAAAGGAUGGACUGACCCUUAAGAAUAGCGAGAGAUGUACAGCAAUCAGCAAGGAAUCGUGAUCGAAGUUGGUCAAGAACUUGGGACAGAGUCGAGUUACCAACCUUUUCAGCGUUGGCCAUGAUGAACUAGCCGUCUGGCGGAGAUUAUAAAUCGGUCAUAGAUAGCAUUCUGCUUAAACUGAUUCAAGCCUUUCGAUUGUGAAGCGAAAUCAGUGUAUACGUCACAAUCGUCAAGAAAACUUUUCACGGAAGAUCUUACCCACCAUCAUAUCCGAGGGUUCCGACCACCCACAAUCUCACUAACCAUCAAAUUAAGGGUGGAUGAAGGCAAUCUUAAGAAAUUAAUUUUACACCAGCUGUGAAUGCUAUAAUUACUUUAUUAUUGAUUGAUUAUUUACUAUUUUGCAACAAAGAGCAACCGUCAUUCUCGAUACCUAACUAUGUUUACCACCAUCAGACAUGCCCAUGACAGAAGGUAAUCUCGAAAGCUGUUUCAUUUGAUUGAGACAAAAUGCUCGGGCAGAUUUGUAAUUCGAAUAUGUUAGUAUUGGCCCCUGAAGAUGUUCAACAUUCGAUUUAUUUUAGUCUAGAGAUGUUAUGGAACCAAUAAAUUAUUUGUAUAGGUUUAGUUUGCUAGUCACCCGAGAUGUAUAAAUACUUAGUGAGCUAUGAAACUCCAAUCCUGUCACCGGCUUGUUAUUUUAUCAUAUAUAUAUAUAUAUAUAUAUGGUUAUGUAUUUUGACAACAUGUUAAUGUUGGUCAUGCUAAAAAGCGUUUUAAGUUUGAGUCCGUUGAACAAAUACUAAAAUUAUAGCACGCGAUAGGGGUGAGCAAUGGUCUAGGGUCAACUGUGGAUCGACCCUAGAUUAGCCCAACCCGACCAGUUCUGGUCUGGUUCCCAGGGGAAUUGGGUCGGUCAUUGGUCCUAGGACCCAUACAUCCUGUACUGUGUGGAUUGAUUUUCAAUUUUGAGAGUUUAGGAUGGGUCAAACCCGAACAAACCAUGUACAUAAUAUAUAUUGCUUUUGUCUACUCUAAACCCCAGUACCUCCUCCUCUAUUCUAUUUGCAAUUCAGUUUGACAUGUAAAUUAGAAAGUAGAAAGAAACCCAGCCCUAAAACUCUCUUCACUCGCAACGAAGAUAUAAAAUUUGACAAGCAUCCUAUCUCGGCUACUCAGCAAGAACACUUUGUCGCCCUUCAAAUCCCUUUUGACUUUUCACGGCAGUGGAUACAAGAGGGUUAUACGCACCUUCACUUUGGUGCCAUUAGACUUGCUUUAUCAUUUCAUAAAAGGAAGGCAUUACCUGUGGUUGCUCAAAUGGUUCUUUUAGACACCCGUUUUUUGGAUUAUCAGUAUGCUUGCAUUGGUACCAUUCAAACUACCUUCAAUGCAAGAACAUUGUUUGUUACACUGUUUCCAAAUUUUAAUAUGGCUAUCUCUUUCUUUUUUCUAUCGGUAUUGACUGGCUCAGGGCGACAAAAACUCUUUUCAUUUGUCGAGUCUAUGGUUUUGCCGCCUUAGGUUUGAAUUUCGAGUUAGGCACCAUAGACUAUGAAUAAAUGGUUUUGUUUAGUAAAUUAAUCAUUGCCGUAAGUUUAAAAUUUCGGGUUAGGGAUGGCGACAGAAUACUUUUAGUUUCAUUCUCUUAGACAUUGUUCAUAUGUUUUUAAUUAGAGCUUGAUUAUAAUUAUUUAUAAAAAUUCGGUCACUCCGACCUCGUCACCACCAUGACCUUGCCAAGUUGCCACGAGAGAACAGAAAAAAGAGAGAGAGAAAAAAAAAAGGUCUACAAAAACUCAUCGAGGGGCGGCGGGCGACAAGCAUGAUGGGCGGCGGGACAACGAGCAACAAUGAGGAGUCGCGAGUGAGUGAGAUUGUGUGUGCAAAUGCACUAUGAUUGUAAAAUGCACUAUAACCAUACAUUAUUAUAAAUGGACAAAACAACAAUUCACUAUAAUGAAAAUGAUUGGCAGAUAUUUAUUGAAUGUCUUUUUUUUUUUUAAAUUUAAUUCGAAACAAUUGGCUGGCAUUUAAUAUAUCGACCAUCUUUUCUUUUACAAAGGUAAAGAAUAUUCCGAAAAAUAGGGUUACAAACUUUACAUUGCAGUGAAAAUGCACAUGGUCGCAUUUAUACGAGAAAUUGGCAUUUGAAAGUUUAAGAAAGUAAAGAUGUUAUUUGCAUGCAGUAAACAUAGCAUGUAUGCUUCUUGCCGUUCAUUGUAUUUUAGCUUUUGACUCUAAUUUUUUUUUCCAGUAUUUAAAAUUUACUAGUACAAAUUUUUAGAAAUUUAUAUAACUAUCUAGUAAUAAAAAAUAAUUGGAAAUGAUUUUACAUGCUCCGUCUCCUAAAAAUAAUUCGAAAUGCUUAUCCACUUUCUUUAUAUGCAUAACCCUCCUAAUAAUCGUUCUCUUAAUUUUUUUUCCUAAAGUGUAAAUAAACAAAAUAUUAAAUAUUUUAUCUCUCCAUCCAAUUAAAGCUUGCUAUCUUAUUAGUAACUCAUUAUGAUGUUGCACAAGAAAUGAAAAGUAAUGCAUGCGGUAGUAUUCUUUUAAACUAAAUAGUAAAUAAGUAAACGAUUUUAUCAAUGAGUUACUUACUUAGUAAAAGUGGCCUGAGCUUAAGCUUCCGAUGGAUAGAUUCUAAUUUAUUUUAUAGCCCAAAAUAUAUAUAGAUAUUGAUGGGACAAUUGCCAAUUUAAACUUAAACUUAUUGUAGAGAUACCAAUUAAAUUCUAAACUUUCCGAUUUGACCAAUGUAGUUUUAAACCUUUGUGCAAAAUUCCAAUGUAGUCAUUACGGUUAAUUAUCAAAGAAAAUUGCCAACGUGUGACGAUCCACACAGGACAUUGUUUCAAGUAAAAUUGUCCACUUUAGUGUGCUAUGUUGGCCGGUCAAUGAUGAUUGGAUGCUACGUCCGUAAUUUGCGAUUGGCAAUUGACUGAAAGGGUUCCAUUGGAAUUUGGCGCAAAGGUAUAGAACUAUAUUCGCGAAAUUAAAAAGUUUAAAACUGAAUUAACAUCUGUAUAAUAAUUUAGAAUUUCAUUGAAACUUGGCGCAAAGGUUUAGAACUAAUAAAGUUGAAAAGUUUAAGAUUGAACUAACAUCUAUAUAAUAAGAAGGAUUGAUUUGAUAAUUCUCUCAAUCUUGAUAUGUAAUUUUUUUUUUAAAACUAGAAUACCAUUGUGAAUUUUGACGAAAAACAAAAACGUUAUUUUUCCCUUUUUAAAAUGGUAAAAAUCAAAUGGACACUUAGGAUUAUUCAAGACAGCUAUGGUGAUAAACAAAGUGUAUCAUUUUGGUUCAAUCUUCCAUUUGAAUAACCAUAUUAUAAAGUUAUAAUCAGGGCAAUUGCUAAUAGUAUGGACCUUAGUGAUUCGUUACUUGAUAUUCAUUGGAAUAUGCAGAGCAUUUGAAAUUUAUAAACAAUUAAUCGGUUUUGUAAUAUUCUUCGUAAUCGUUUUCACCCGGAGGACAGGAAACAUACAUUGAGAAGCAACGAAAUUUAGAUCUUGUGUGGCUUUAGCCCUAAAUCGACCUAUAUAAAUAUUCAAAAUUAGCUAGUCUACGCCUCCAAAAAUCGGAAGUCCGCCAAAUCUCUCCAUAUAUAUAAAAAAAAUUAUAUAAGGUACAUAGUCAAGUGUAGAACACAUAAACAAAGAGUCAUGGAAUGGAAUCUCUCAUCCCCUAAUGAAUUAAAAACCGAUAUCUAUUUAUACUAUAUUUAUCUUCCCCUAAAAUAGUCAAGCGCUAGGCGACGGACAAGAUUUCCAUGUUAAAAACGUAGACCAAUGCAAAGAAACCAACACAAAUGACACAAAUAGAUUAUAAAAGUCAACACGUUCAUGGAAUAAUCAGAGUCAAAGUCAUGCAAUUUUGUUAGAAAUUGAAGAUGGUUCACGUCAAUGUAAACCUAACACGGCUACUCUUCAUUAUUUUUAUUGCAGAAUCUCGAGAUCAUCUUCGUCUUCGCCCCGAAUUUUAUCUCCAAGACUGGAAUUGGCAUUAUAAGUGGCAUCGGGGUUUGAGCAUGAGGGAUUGAAUAGGGGAUUUUGGGGGCAAUUUCUACGUACCGUGCAUUAUGAAGAAACGACGAUAUUUAUCUAAACAGAAAAUGGCAUUGUUUGUUGAAAAUCCUUUCACAUCAAGCCGUCGUCGUUACACGUAAAACAACCAAUGUUAAUUGGACCAUCACAUUAGAUAAAUUAGGUGAGACUUGCCUCAUAGGAUCUAAUUGCACUUUCCCCCCAAAAUUUAGGAUUACCUUGCUUCGAUAAAAAAGUUUAAGACUUAGUUGGUUUCGAUAUAAUAAGUUUAAGACUGAUUGUGUUAUUUUCCCCUAAAUUAACCUAUGUAAUAUUCAAAGAGGCUAGUUGCCGCCUCCAAAACUCGAAAGCUUGGCAAAAUUCUUGUUAUAUAAAUAAGUUAUAUAAGGUACACUACGGUUGUAGUAUAGUUUUUACACAAACAAUCAUGAAAUGGAGUCCUUUAUUUACUGAUAGGAAUUACCGAAAUCAAUUACUGUAUCCGUGCUAGUGGCAGGACUCUACUUGGUAACGAUCUUUUUACCGCCAAUGUCCUAUAUAAAGGUCCUAAUAUAAAUAUGAUAUUUCCUAUAUGUAUGAACUUGGAGUUCAUCACCUUCAAAGGUCAAUCACAUCAUUUUGGAAGGUACCGGUCAAGAGGUAGAGGUCAAGCAAAAUGUCUCUAAAUUAAGGGGUUUCAUUUUGCUAGCUUCAAUUUAGCUGUUGAGCUCACAUGUAGGAUCUUCGGUUCUUCCAAGAAUUAGUCAUCCAUGAUUUUCGGAUCAUAAUUCUUUUAACUCUAUCAAAGUCUGCUCCCAAUUAGUUAGAUAUAUCUCUCUUAUGAUAAAUUAUAUAUUUAUAAUAUAUAUGUAUAACAGUGAUGUUACCGUGAUGUCGCCUCAUCAAUCAUACUUUUCCAUUGAUCAUGUCGACAUAACUUUUCUUGACGAUCAUCCUGAUUUGACAUUAAAAGAUGUAAUUGUUGAAAGCAAUGCCAUGUUUUUUUUUUUUUUUUCAUGUUGAAAUGAAAAAUAAUGCAUGCGGUAGUAUUCUUUUAAACUAAAUAGUAAAUAAGUAAAUGAUUUUAUGGAUGAGUUACUUAUUUAGUAAAAGUAAAAGUGGCCUUAGUUUAAACUUUCGAUGGAUAAAUUUUGAUUUUUUUUAUAGCCUGAAAUAAAUAUAGAUAUUGAUGGGACAAUUUCCAAUACAAUCUUAAAUCAAUUGUAUGGAUAUUAUUUUAGUUUUAAAUUUUCCAAUUUGACUGAUAUGCUUUUUGAGAUAGCUAGUAUAAUCACCUAGAGGGGGGUGAAUAGGUGCACAAACAAUUUAUCGAGAUACGGAAGCGAUUCUUGUCACACGAUAGAAAGAAAAUUCUCUCUUGAUUAACAAAAUAAAACACGAUCAAAGUAAAGAGAGUAAGGAAGAGAAAAUUGAACACAGGAUUUAUAGUGGUUCGGCUUAUUCCAAGCCUACGUCCACUCUUCCGCACUGACAGCCCACCGGCUGGAUUUCACUAUGAUCAAAAGAGAAGUUACAGCACAGCUUUGCCUUGAUUCCACAGUGUAGAUGUUCUAUCACACUUCCUCAAGGUUUCUCACAAAUAUAGAUUCUCUUUUGUAUACAAGUGUUUGCUCAAAGUGAUUAUCUAAACAACAAGAAGCUUCAGACUUUGGAAUUCUUCUAUCGCGCACACCUUGAACAACUAAGAACGUCUUCCUUAUAUACUCCUUUAUGCCAUCAUACCCGUUGGCACUUACCAAAGGAAUUCCUCCAAUCUACCCGUUGGACGGAAUCAAUUUAGGAAGAUUGUUCGAGCUAUUAAAGGAACGUGUCGAUAGCCCAUCAAUCCUGUUCGCCCAUACAAUCAGGAUCUCGGUUUCCAUAAGUAGAAUCUUCCAAGAAUAUUUAGGCAAUCAUCGAAUCUUCAAUCAUCGAAUCAAUCUCGAUCAAUCAAAGGAUUCCGUUACGUCUUUUCCAGCCACGAGAUCUUCUCCAGUUGAUAAGGUUGAAUCCUUAACGAAACAUCCAGUUCUGGAUAACCUUUCUUCAAUGGAUUAGAGACUGUUAAUGAGGAUAGACUUUGAGCCUUGAGUCUGGCUGUCCGGAGGUCUUCAGACUUUAAAUAUCAGAGUCUGCAAACCUUUAGACUAGACUGAUGGAAACGUUUUGUCAGCUUCAAAACACUUCAAGAAGAUUUCUCCAACAAUCUCCCCCUUUUUGAUGGUGACAAAACUUUCCUGCAGAUUUGGACAACUUUGACCUGCAAAACACUUCUCAAACACAUAUGCAUAUCUUAAAUGGCUUAAAUGAAUGACACUAGAAUCUGCAACCACAGAAAAUAGGUUAGUCUAGUAUACGAUAAAGCCAUCCAUAAGAUAUCAAUAGUAAUUAAUAGAAGCAGUCAAGUCCAAGUCUAGUUCAGUUCUCAUCUAGACACAAAACAAAGUCAAACAGAGUUCAAACAAACAAACCACACGAUUAAAAGUUUAACAACAAUUGAAAUUGAAAGUUUGAUCAAAUCUUGCAUCUCUCCCCCUUUUUGUCAGCAUUAAAAAGGUUGAGAUGAAGAUAGAAUGAAGUCAAGAUUGCUUGGGAACGCGGACAAGCUGGAAAUCUCCCAUAGACUGAACGAUGCCUUCCAGCCUUUUCAAGUCUUCCUUUAGAUGUGCAAUCUCCUCACCCUUGGCAUUGGCCUGAAUCUGAACAGAGAGGGCUUGGAUUUUAUCAUUCAAUGAACAUGAAGAAACUUGACCCGCAUUCUUCAAGUUUUGAACCUCGCAUCCCAAGGCAUAAAUUUGACCUUGCAUUUCCAAGAGAAUAUCCAUGAUUCUGCGAAAAUCUGCUGUAUUAUCAGUCUGAGUACUUGCUUCGGCCCGAUUUGAUGGAGUAAAUGUAGACGAUGGUAGAUCAGCAUAAUCUCGCAGAUUUGGCGAUGAAACUUCAUGACCUUCUUCUGGAAACUGAGAUGCAUAAACAUCCUCUGGGUCUGCAGGUGAGCGACUGACUCCUUCACUUGCAUCAGGAUAUGAAGACUUCCUUCCUUUCUCUUGAUCUCCCCCUGUUUCCAUGCCUACAGGUGGAGAAGAGUGUUCCUCAGGUUCUCCUUCUUCUCUUCUUUCUUCUUCAGGAAUUUCCUCCUCUGCUUCUUUUUCAGCUUCUCUUUCUUCUUCUUCCUUCUCCUCUGCUUUCUUUUCCUCUGCUUCUUUUGUCAUUUGUUCCGAUUCUUUCUGUGGAACAGGACGACUUAAAUUCUUCAAAGCCAUUGCAGAGAUGGUGAUAUCUUCCUCAUCAUCUUCAUCCUCUACGAGGAGAGCUCUUCUUCUUUUGGAUGGAGCAACCAUGGGCUCCUUCCCUUUUCUUUUAGCUGCAGAAGAGAUUUGAUGAGAUUUGGCAGGAGUCUUCUCCUUGAAUUUCUCCAACUCCUUGCUCAGUUCAUUCAGACGCAUUUUGGUCACCAUUUUCAGUCCUACCACCAUAUGAUCGCAUGGUCGAACACAAAAGAUUUGCGGAGGCUGAAUAUUCAGAUGUCUGAAUAACUUCGUAACAAGGCUUGGAUAAGGGAGUUGACCUCUGUCCUUCAUCAUUGCUCUAUACAUGUGAAACAUAACAGUAUGAGGGAGAGAAAACUUUUUCCCAAAGAGGAUGGCAUACAUCAGCUUUGCCUCUGAACUUGAAACAUCAGUCUUGGAAGUUGAUUUUGGUCGGAGACAAUUGAUCACGAUCUUGUGAAGCAAGAUGUUGAAUGCACUCAUCCUUAAGUAGGUGAUCUUCUCAUAUGUUCUCCUGUCCUUCACCAGUUCCAGUGUGGCCCGAGCAAUGGAAACUUUGAUUGGUUGAUAUCUUCCCCUUUCAACUCCUAACACAUCUGCCAGCAUAUUCAUAUCCACAACAUAGUCUUGGUGUUUGAUGCUGAAAGAGAAUCUAUUCGCAUCCAAAAAGCUAAGAUUUGAAUAGAAAUAUGCAGUUAAUCCAGCAUAGGCCUCUGUAGUGUCAGAGCAGAACUUUUCAAGUUGAAGAUAACUGAACUUUUCUCUUAAGUUCACAUUCACAGCAUCUAGAAAAUCAAAAUCCACACUCCUAGGGUUUAUUACCCCACGCUUCAGCAAUUUCGAGUACAGAUCCUUUUGUUCCUUCGAUCUGAACAAAUCUCCACUUUUUCCUUGAUUUUCAACCGCAAUACCCAUUUUCGGUUGAAAUUGGCUGUACAAUUUGUCAUCAUCAUUCCCAUCUACAGGAUUCGGCCCCCAGUCACGAGGAUCACUUGGGAUAUUCGCAAGGGUUUCCUCAGCCACCCCUUUACGAGCAAUUCCCAAACUUUCCAUUUUUCGCAGAAAGAUAUAUUCGUUCUUAUAUCCUUUGUCUUUAAGAAAAUCAUCAACAUAGUUCAAAGGAGUACGAGUUCCUUUUAAGGCACGAUAUAGCUUGUAAAUAUAAGCGGGCUUUUGAACUCUUACAGGGUCUGCAUCCUCGAUGAUUUCUUUCUGUUGUUGAUGAUCAACGCCUUGAGGACUAGAUAGAGGAGAAUGACGCUGCUGAGAAUGUUGUGGGCUCGGUUGCUAUUCUGGAGACACUUCUUCUUCAGUAAGAUCGAAGUGCGUAGGCCCCUCACUCAUUUGCCGUGGUCCCCUGCUUGCGAUUCUCGAAGACUUUCUUGAAGAUGACAUCUUUCUCAGUUUUUGGAAGAUUCCUUGCUUGGCUUUCCCAAGAAAGAUGACAACUUUUUGAAGAUUAAACAGAGAAGACAAACGGGAAUGGAGGAUCGAUGCUUUCUAGGGUUUUUGAGAGUGAAGUGAAGAGGAAUCAACAGUGCACGAUCGGUUAAAAAGAGAAAUAAACGAACCGUCACAAAGGAAAUAAAAAGAUGCCUUUUUAAAAUAACUGUCUUUUUCCGUGAAAAUAGUCAUUUUAAAAAUAACUUCUUUUUGGAAAAGGAAACGAUGCAAAAAUUACGCCGAUUAAAGAUAGCAACAAUUUAAACACAGUCUGACGAUUGUACCUUUUCAAGAUAAGAUUAGAGAGAGAAAGACUUACAGUCUUACGGUCGAACCAAGACUAUCUUACAGAUAAAGUCUUGUAUGUCUGAGUCUGAAAGUCUUUAGACUUUGAUCUCCUCAUACCUUAAAAUANNNNNNNNNNNNNNNNNNNNNNNNNNNNNNNNNNNNNNNNNNNNNNNNNNNNNNNNNNNNNNNNNNNNNNNNNNNNNNNNNNNNNNNNNNNNNNNNNNNNNNNNNNNNNNNNNNNNNNNNNNNNNNNNNNNNNNNNNNNNNNNNNNNNNNNNNNNNNNNNNNNNNNNNNNNNNNNNNNNNNNNNNNNNNNNNNNNNNNNNNNNNNNNNNNNNNNNNNNNNNNNNNNNNNNNNNNNNNNNNNNNNNNNNNNNNNNNNNNNNNNNNNNNNNNNNNNNNNNNNNNNNNNNNNNNNNNNNNNNNNNNNNNNNNNNNNNNNNNNNNNNNNNNNNNNNNNNNNNNNNNNNNNNNNNNNNNNNNNNNNNNNNNNNNNNNNNNNNNNNNNNNNNNNNNNNNNNNNNNNNNNNNNNNNNNNNNNNNNNNNNNNNNNNNNNNNNNNNNNNNNNNNNNNNNNNNNNNNNNNNNNNNNNNNNNNNNNNNNNNNNNNNNNNNNNNNNNNNNNNNNNNNNNNNNNNNNNNNNNNNNNNNNNNNNNNNNNNNNNNNNNNNNNNNNNNNNNNNNNNNNNNNNNNNNNNNNNNNNNNNNNNNNNNNNNNNNNNNNNNNNNNNNNNNNNNNNNNNNNNNNNNNNNNNNNNNNNNNNNNNNNNNNNNNNNNNNNNNNNNNNNNNNNNNNNNNNNNNNNNNNNNNNNNNNNNNNNNNNNNNNNNNNNNNNNNNNNNNNNNNNNNNNNNNNNNNNNNNNNNNNNNNNNNNNNNNNNNNNNNNNNNNNNNNNNNNNNNNNNNNNNNNNNNNNNNNNNNNNNNNNNNNNNNNNNNNNNNNNNNNNNNNNNNNNNNNNNNNNNNNNNNNNNNNNNNNNNNNNNNNNNNNNNNNNNNNNNNNNNNNNNNNNNNCUUUCAUUAGAGGAUCCAAAGAUAAUAUCAUCGACAUAUAUUUGAACAAGUAGAAAAAUUUUGCUUUCUCUUUUAAUAAAAGAGUAGUGUCCACUUUACCUUUAACAAAUCCAUUUUGAAUUAAAAACUUACUUAAUCUGUCAUACCAAGCUCGAGGUGCUUGCUUUAAGCCAUAUAAGGCCUUUUUGAGUCUGAAUAUAGAGUCUGGUUUCCUUGGGUCUUCAAACCCUGGUGGUUGUUCCACAUAGACUUCCUCAUGGAUGAAUCCAUUUAGGAAAGCACUUUUGACGUCCAUUUGAAAUAACUUGAAAUUUUUAUGACAAGCAAAUGCAAGUAAUAAACGAAUUGCUUCUAACCUUGCUACCGGUACAUAAGUCUCGUCAUAGUCGAUCCCUUCUUCUUGUGUGUAUCCCUUGGCCACGAGUCUAGCCUUGUUUCUUACGACUUUACCUUUCUCGUCCAUCUUGUUCCUGAAAACCCAUUUAGCUCCAACAACUGAUUUACCUUUAGGUUUUAGAGUUAAUUCCCAGACAUCAUUAAUUUUGAAUUGUCUGAGUUCUUCUUGCAUAGCUUCAAUCCAGCUUUCAUCGGAUAAAGCUUCUUCUAUGCUCUUGGGUUCUAUUUCAGAAAUAAGAGCCACGGCACUAGACUCUUCUCGCCUUUUGGAUCUCGUGCGAAUUCCUUCAUAGAUGUCACCAAUAAUAAGAUCUUUGGGAUGACUAGACUUAUGUUUCCAGUUGCUAGUUAAUUUAUCAGAUUGAUGAUCACUUCCUUCACUUGAAUCUUCAACAAUCACUUGUUGCUGAUCCUUCAAAGUCUGAACUGCUUCUUGAGAUUUAGACUUUGUAGAGUCUGGAGCAGAUUCAGUCUCUUCGAGAAGAGUCUGAAUGAAUUCACUUUGUGUAGAGUCUUGGAAUUUGACAUUCAUUGAUUCUUCCACAGUUUGAGUCUUCUUGUUGUAGACUCUGUAUGCUUUGCUUGAGGUUGAAUAUCCAAGGAAGAUGCCUUCAUCUGACUUUUCUUCAAACUUACCAACUCGAUCAUUUGCAUUUUUCAAUAUGAAACAUUUGCAUCCGAAUACAUGAAAAUACGAAACAAUUGGCUUCUUUUCUUUAAAUAGUUCAUAAGGGGUUUUUUCUAGAAUAGGCCUUAGAAAGACUCUAUUGAUAAUAUAACAUGAUGUUGAAACUGCUUCAGCCCAAAAACGUAAAGAGAUAUUGCUUUCAAUUAAAAGAGUUCUAGCCAUUUCUUGAAGAGAUCUAUUCUUUCUUUCCACGACUCCGUUUUGCUCUGGAGUAUUUGGAGAGGAGAACAAAUGUUGAAAACCAGAUUCAUCACAAAAUUUUGUAAAAUCUUGAUUUUCAAAUUCACCUCCAUGGUCUGUUUUUAUAGUUGAAAUGACAUACCCUUUUUCAUUUUGAACCUUCUUAGCAAAUUUUUCAAAGUAAGAGAAAGUUUCAGACUUACUUGCCAAGAAAUAUACCCAAGUAAAUCGUGAGUAGUCAUACAUAAUUACUAGGCAAUAUUUCUUUCCUCCAAUGCUCUGCGUUCUUGUUGGUUCGAAGAGAUCCAUAUGCAAGAGCUGCAGUACACGGUUAGUGGAAACUUGAUUUAUUGGUUUAAAGGAAUUUCUUACCUAUUUUCCCAAUAUACAUGGUGUACAUAGAUCGGACUUUUGAUAUGAUAAAUUGGGUAGACCACGAACAAGCUUCUUUGCUGAGAUUUUGGCUAUCUGCUUCAUGUUGAUAUGCCCAAGCUUUUUGUGCCAUAAGUUCGCUUCGUCUUGGAUUGAGAUUAGACAUUGCGAUUCAUCUGGUUUCACGUCCAAGAGGUAGAUAUUCCCAUGUCUUCGACCCAUGAAUGACUGAGUAGAGUCUUUACUGGUUCCUGAACAAAUACCCUCUUGAAAGUUGAUUCUAAAACCGGCAUCACAAAGCUGACUGAUACUGAGCAGAUUGUAAUUGAGCCCUUCAACUAAAGAAACAUUGCUUAUUGUGAGGUUCCCAAUCUUUACAGUUCCAAAUCCUACUAUUUUUCCUUUGUUGUUUCCUCCAAAUGAGACUUUUCCACCAUUCAUUUGAGCGAGCUUUAUGAAGUAAUUUGAAUCCCGUCAUGUGUCUUGAGCAUCCACUAUCCAGAUACCACUUCACUUUUUUCUUGAUAGUGACCUGCAUUCAAAAAGAAACUCAAGCUUUCUUUGGUACCCAUAUUUUCUUGGGUCCUUUUGAGUUAGUCUGAUAUACGGUUUUUGCCCAGACUUUAUUGACAGGUCUCCAAACCAUAGGACAUUCUUUCUCAAAAUGAUCUGUACUAUUGCAUUUUGAACAUCUAAGAGCAUUGCAACCUACUGGUUUUACAAAGUUCCUUUCAAAAUGAUUUUUGUAAGCAUUUCUUGUGGGUCUUUGUUUGAUUCUUUCUUUUACUUUAGGAAAAUCGAUUAAAGGAAUAGUUUCAGCAGUCAUUCCCAAACCAGAUUUAUUGAAAUAGGGUCUUUGAACAGAAAGUAUUUUCUCCAGUUUUUCAGAACCUAGAGAAAAUCUUUUGGAAAUAUUUGAAAUAUCCUUUUUUAAGAAUGCAUUUUCUUUUAAAAGAUUAUUUUCACUUUCUUUGAGAGAAGAAACGUUCUGGUCUAAGCAUUUCACUUUUUCUUCUAAAGCAUUCUCAUGUUGUUUUAAAGUAGAAUUUUCUUUUUUGAGUUCGGAAAUUCUUUUAAGAGAAGUCUUAAGACUAAAACAUAAUUCAUCAAUGUAUUUUGAAACUUUAAUAGGGAUUUUGAAGUUACUUACCUCGAAUUCACUUUCAGAAUCUGAAUCCGAUUGUGCCAUUAGACAUAUGUUGGCAUAAUCAUCAUCACUAUCUUCACACUCCGUAUCACUCUAGGUUUAAGCUUUGAGAGCUUUUCGAUAUUUUUCAGUUUUUCCUUUCUUCUUUUUCAGAAGAGGACAGUUGGGUCUGAUGUGUCCCUUUUUCUUGCAUUCAAAGCAGACUACAUCUUUGUUUGAUUCAUCAUCUUCAGUAGACUUUGUCUGUUGCUUCUGAAAACUUUGUUUCCUUGAAUUGAAUCUUCUUCCUUUUCUGUUUAGCUUUCUGAAUCUUCUUAUCAUAAGAGCAAGUUCUUCAUCAUCCAUGCCGUCUUCAGAAUCUGUGGCAUCAGAAUCAUCAUUAGAUUUUAAUGCAAUAGAUUUCUUACCUUUAGGGUCUUCGUCUUCAUUGAUUCGUUCCACUUCAUAAGACUGAAGGGUCCCAACCAACUCAUCGACAGACAGUGGCAUGAUUCUUUGGGUCUCUCUGAUUGAUGUCUUUAUAUGAUUCCACUCCUUGGAGAGUCCACGCAGUAGCUUGUUCACUUUCAUGGGAUCAGAAAUUGGUUGGCCUUGAUUUUCAAGACCAUUCACGAUAUCUGUAAAACGACUGAACAUGUCAGUUAUAGAUUCUCCUGGUUUCAUUCUGAAGGCUUCGUAUUGACCGAGAAGAAUGUUGAUUCUUGUCUCUUUCACUCGAUCGGUUCCUUCAUAAGUAAUGUGUAAUCUAUCCCAAACUUCUUUGGCUGUAUCACAAGAAGAUAUUCUGUUAUAUUCAGUAGGUGAUAAAGCACAAUACAAAGAAUAAAUUACUUUUGCAUCAAGAGCUUGUCUCUUGAUUAUCUCUUCCUGAGUCAUUUUGCUAGACUCAACAGAGUCUUUUCCUCUUUCUGAGACAGGAGCAACUUUGGGAACAAUUCCUUUUUCAACAACGUCCCAUUCCAGAGGAUCCUUUGAUCUUAAGAACGCCUUCAUCUUGUUUUUCCAUAUGUUGUAGUCUUUUCCAUCAAAAUAAGGCGGUCUGGUGUUGCUUUGCCCUUCUACCAGCCCUGGAGCCAACAUACUAGCCAUGGAUCUUUAACUCUGAAGUAAAACACUUCAAACAAAGUGAGCACACAGGCUCUGAUACCAAUUGAGAUAGCUAGUAUAAUCACCUAGAGGGGGGUGAAUAGGUGCACAAACAAUUUAUCGAGAUACGGAAGCGAUUCUUGUCAAACGAUAGAAAGAAAAUUCUCUCUUGAUUAACAAAAUAAAACACGAUCAAAGUAAAGAGAGUAAGGAAGAGAAAAUUGAACACAGGAUUUAUAGUGGUUCGGCUUAUUCCAAGCCUACGUCCACUCUUCCGCACUGACAGCCCACCGGCUGGAUUUCACUAUGAUCAAAAGAGAAGUUACAGCACAGCUUUGCCUUGAUUCCACAGUGUAGAUGUUCUACCACACUUCCUUAAGGUUUCUUACAAAUAUAGACUCUCUUUUGUAUACAAGUGUUUGCUCAAAGUGAUUAUCUAAACAACAAGAAGCUUCAGACUUUGGAAUUCUUCUAUCGCGCACACCUUGAACAACUAAGAACGUCUUCCUUAUAUACUCCUUUAUGCCAUCAUACCCGUUGGCACUUACCAAAGGAAUUCCUCCAAUCUACCCGUUGGACGGAAUCAAUUUAGGAAGAUUGUUCGAGCUAUUAAAGGAACGUGUCGAUAGCCCAUCAAUCCUGUUCGCCCAUAUAAUCAGGAUCUCGGUUUCCAUAAGUAGAACAUUCCAAGAAUAUUUAGGCAAUCAUCGAAUCUUCAAUCAUCGAAUCAAUCUCGAUCAAUCAAAGGAUUCCGUUACGUCUUUUCCAGCCACGAGAUCUUCUCCAGUUGAUAAGGUUGAAUCCUUAACGAAACAUCCAGUUCUGGAUAACCUUUCUUCAACGGAUUAGAGACUGUUAAUGAGGAUAGACUUUGAGCCUUGAGUCUGGCUGUCCGUAGGUCUUCAGACUUUAAAUAUCAGAGUCUGCAAACCUUUAGACUAGACUGAUGGAAACGUUUUGUCAGCUUCAAAACACUUCAAGAAGAUUUCUCCAACACUUUUAAACUUUUAUGCGAAAUUCUAAUAUAGUCAUUUUGGUUAAUUAUCAAUGAAAAUUGUUGACAUGUGACAAUCCACAUAUGACAUUAUUUUAAGUAAGAUUUUCCACUUCAAUGUGCCAUGCUGGCCAAUUGACGAUGAUUGGACACCAUGUCCAUAAUUUUCAAUGGCAAUUGACCAAAAGAGUUCUAUUGGAAUUUGGCAUAAAGGUUUUAAAUUAUAUUAAUGAAAUUGAAAAGUUUAAGAUUGAGUUGAUAUCCGUAUAAUAAAAAUGAUUGAUUUGAUAAUUUUCUCAAUAUUGAUACGUAAAAUUUUUUAAGCUAGAAUAAUAUUGUAAAUUUUGACAAAAAACAAAAAAGGUUAAUUUUUCCUUAUUUUAAAUGAUAAAAAAAGAACGGACACUUAGGAUUACUCAAGACGGCUAUGGUGGUAAACAAAGUUUAUCAUUUUGGUUCGAUAUUCCCUUUGAAUUACCAUAUUUUAAAUUUCUAAUCAGGGCAAUUUGUAAUAGUAUGGGCCUUAGUGAUUCAGUUACUUGAUAUUCACAGGAAUAUGCAGAGCGUUGAAAUUUAUUAGAAACUAAUCGAUUGUGUAGAAUUAUUUAUACUCUUUUGGGAAAAGUACCAAAAAAGUCUUAAAUCUAUCGCAUUAGUACUCUCAAACAUUUUAAUUGGACCAGUUUAGUCCUAAAAUUUUUCACGUUGGUACCAAUUCAAUCCAUUAGGCUAAUUUUUGAUGUGGAUGCUAGUCAUUUUACGUGGCAUAGCCGGCGUUAACGUUGAUUUUUUUUAUAUAAUAUUGUAAUAUUUUCUUGAAUUUUUUCAAUUUUUAAAAUAAAUUUUCUCUUUUAUUCUUUUUUUCCCUCUCCUUGUUCUUUGCUUUUUCAUUUUGCAGGUGGUCGUCGUCAGCCAUUGGCCAUAGCCAUGGCCAGCAAAGGUUGGUCUCGCUUGGGUCACCCUUGCUAGCCACAGGCGAUGGUUGGCCUCGCUAGGGCGCCCCUGGGCGAGGGCAAGCGUUGAUUGUCUAAGUAUGACCAGGUGAGGCCCCUUGCUAGAUUUGGCAACCGACUGUCGCCUAGGUGAUCCUUGGUGAGGCAAACCCUCACUUAGGCGAGGCAAGGCAUGGCAAGGCUGCCUUGGUCAAGGCGAUGGUUGGCCUCGCUAGAUUUGGUGAGGGGGCCUCGCCUGGUUGCACCUGGACGGUUGGUGCUCAACCUCGCCCAGUGGUGGCUCAGAGGGACCGACCAUCACUUGCGGUCAACAAGGGCAACCUAGGCGAGGCCAACCCUCAUUGGCCAUGGUUGUGGCCGGUGGCUGGCGAUAGGGGUGUGCAUGGUUCGGAUGGGCAGUUCCCGACCUAGAACCGGGAAUCGCCCGCUAAUGAUCGAUUCCGAAAAAUUGAAACUGGGAACCACCCGUUAGUUGCAUGGAUCCACCCGAGAAUCGGACCGCCGAUCUGGUCCGGUUCCCGGGUGGAUCCAUGGAACCAGUCUCACCAAUAAUAAUAUCGUUUUCCAAAUCCCGCCGUGAAUACUCUUCAUAUCGAGUAAUAUUUUUCUUUAAAUCGAACCGGCUUAAUUAAGAGUACAAUUUUUCUUUAUAUUAUUGGAAAACACUACCAAAGAAGAGAAAUAGGUUUUUUUUCUUCUUGUUUUUGAAUCAUUGCAGUUGAAAUCUAAAAUAUUCUUUAAGUUCAAAGUUCUGGAUGAUUGUUUUAUGUAGAUCGUCUUUUCCUUUAUCCCCUAACAGUACUCAAUCUCUUACAACAUUUGCUUUACUGAAUUCUUUUUGUAGAAACAAUUCCACCGGUACUCCACAUAUUCUUGAACAUAGUGUCCUAUGUGAGUCCUGGAAGUAUCUUUUGAAUGAGCCAUUUGUUGAGUUGCUAAAAGACAGCUUACACACUUUACUAAAUUCUUAAAAAACAUGGAAACCUUGAGAGGAGAUGAAGUCCUAAAAUUUAGGUUUGCUAAUUAGUAAUUUCGAAAUUUAUUUUAAUAUUAAAAAUUAAUAUAUUAUUAUAUUAUAAUCGGUCCGAUCUGGGUGGGCGGAUCCGCCCAUAGAACCGGGAACCGGAUUGGUACCCACCGGUUCCCUCAAGAACCACCGGUUCCGGGUGGUUCUGGUCCGGUUUCGGGCGGUCCGGGCAGGUCCUGGUUCUUUUGCACACCCCUAGCUGGUGAUGUUCAUCGGCAAAAAGAAAAAGCAAAGAAGAGGGAGAGGGAAAAAAGAGAAAAAAAUUAUUUUAAAAUUCAAAAAUUAAAAAAAUUAAAAAAAUUAAAAAAUGUCUACGUUAGCGCUGACCAUGCCAUGUAUGAUGGCCGAUAUCCAUACCAACAAUUUCAAGCCUAAAUUGACCGGAUGUAUUGAAUUGGUAUUAAUAUGAAAAAUGUUUGUAACUAAAUUGAUCUAAUUAAAAUAUUUAUAACUGAAUUGACAUAAAUACAAUAAGUUUAAGACUUAUUUUGAUACUUUUCCCUAUUCUUUUUCACCUAGGGAACACGAAACAGGCAUUGAGAGGCUAAGAUAUUUAAAAUUAGUCCUAAGUAGACAUAUAUAAAUACUCAAAGACUAGUUGGUCUAUAUCUCUUCCGCCAAAAUUCUCAUUAUAUAUAAAAAAAGGGAUAUGUGCAACAGAAGUCCUAAAACUUAUAAGGAAAAUGCAAUUGAGUCCUAAAACUAACAAAAAGUGCAAUCAAAUCCUAAAACUUAUCAAAUUGGUUCAAUUGAGUCCUAAAUUUAACACCGUCAGACUUACUAAUAGAAAUUGUUGACGUGGCAUUUUAAAUGAGUUUUUAUUUUCCACGUGGCUUUUAAUAUUAUUUUUAUUCUUGUUUAAAUUAGAUUUAAAUACUAAAAAGGAAAAGUUAAAUUUAUUUAAAAAAACAAAACUUUUCAAAAAAAAAGAGGCACCGGUGGAGCUUCCGCCACCGUCCAUUGCGUCGCCGGCCCCUCCGGCGAUGGGCGGCGGUUGCGGCGGAAAUGCCCGCUGGUGCCAUUUUCUUUUUUUUUUUCAACAGUUUUGUUUUUUAAAUAAAUUUUAGUUUUUAGUUUUUAGUUUUUAAAAGAUUUUGAAUAAAAAAUAAUUUAAAAAAGUCAUAUGGAAAAAUAUGAUGUUAGCGCCACGACAGUAAUUUCCGUUAGUAAAUCGACGGUGUUAAAUUUGUGACUCAAUUGAACCAAUUUGACAAAUUUUAGGACUUGAUUGCACUUUUCUUGUAAGCUUUAGGACUUUUUUUUUUUUUUUUGGUAAGGUAAGAAUAUAUAAGCUAAUAACCAAAAUAUACAAGAGGCUCGGCACCAAAAACUUACACUCAUAAAGACAACAAGUCAGGACGAGUGGAAGGGAGUCGAAUAAAAGAAGGAGGACCGCAAGACAAGCGGACCAACCAACAAAAGCAAAGCAGCCAAAACAAAAGACAACAAAACCCUAGCUAGGACGGCAACACAACAGCAAAACGGCCGGAGCAACUCAGGAGCAAGCAAUCGCCAGAUCGCCAAAAGGAAGACCACGAAGGAGUCGCAGCGGCAAGAGCCCACCUACGUAGGCUCAAAGAUAGAAGUAUCAAAUCCCCAUCAUCUUUGAAGUCUUCUAUUCUUGUACGAGCUGGGCACAUUCUUGUAAGUCAGAGCUUUGUCCUUGACAACCUUAAUAAGAUGGUUCUUUAACGCUGAGAUUACCACAGCUUCACCACGGAAGAUGACAUCAUUCCUUUUCUUCCAAAUAAUAUGGCACAAAGCCCCAAAAGAAAACCGAGACAAGGAAUGGGAAAAUUCAUUUCCUAAGAGGUACUUCAUAAGCCAAAGGAGGUUGUCCAUCCAGGAUCUAUUUCGCCACGAAAUAUUACAUCUUGUAGCCCAAAAAAACGCAAGUGUUGUUGAAGUAUGACAUUCAAAGAACAGAUGAUCUAUAGAAUCAGGCUUAUCUUUACAAAAAGCACAACAAGUGUAGUCGAUUCUCCCAUGAGACAGGAGGCAAGCUUGGGUAGGUAAACGAUUUUUAGUAAUAAGCCAAAGAUGGAAUUGAUACCUAGGAGCAAUAGCGUUGUUCCAAACAAAGGAGGCCCAGGGAACUUGGCUCCUCUUUCUCCUCAUAAUUUGCCAAGCCGAUGCAACCGAAAAAACACUGGAGGAAUUACCUUUCCAAAGAAACCUAUCCUGACUCGAGGAGAGAGCCGGAAGGGCUAUACCCCAGCAAUCCAAAAGGGAUCUGAAACUACGACCCAACGGAUGGAAGAGGUCAGCGACAGUCGAGUAUUCUUGGAGACCAGAGGCAUCAAUAAGAGAUUGUGGGAAUAAGUCAGCCAGAGGACCGAUAGGAAGCCAAUGGUCAAACCAUAAAGACACCGACAAUCCAUUACCAAUUUUCCAAACAAAGUACAACCGAAAUUCCUUCCUCAAUUGCAAGAUCUUUUUCCACUCCCAAGAGUAGACAGAAGGAGUAGGUGAAACCCAAAAGUUCUCCUUCUUUAAGAAGUUCGAAUGGAUCCACCUGCACUAGAGAGAUUCCUUAUCCGUGAAAAGGAUCCAAAUAUAUUUAAGUAUGGCAGCCUUAUUGCAUUCUUUAAGUCUCCGAAUACCAAUACCACCUUCAUUCUUGGGGAGACAGACGUCCUCCCAAGCUACUUUAGGCCCUCCAGAGCCAAGGGAAGAACCCUUCCACAAAAACUGUCUCAAUAUCCUCUCAAUACCAUCCAAAACCGAGGCUGGUAAAGAAAAAAACACUGGCCCAAAAUGCCUGAAUAGCAUGGAGGACUGAUCUGAUCAUCUGAAGUCUGCCUGUGAAGGAGAGAAAGCGGUGGGUCCAAGAUUGGACCUCGGCAGUAAUAUGGUCAAUUAAGGUAGUACAGUUUGCCUUACCCAGUCUGGAAGAAAUAAUAGGUACCCCCAAGUAAUGAACCGGAAGCUUACCUUCCUGAAAACCAAACGCCCAAAGGAUACGGUUCCUCAGAGAAGGCAAGCCACCUGAGAGAAACACUUCACUUUUAUUCCUAUUCGGUGAUAGACCACUCCAAGAGGAAAAUAUAUCCAAACCUCUUUUAAGUAAAGCCACUGAGGCCCAGUCAGCCUGACAGAAAAGGAAUACAUCAUCAGCGAAGAAGAGGUGGGACAAGCUGACCCGUUUGCAUCUCCAAUAAUACUUAAAGUCCUUCGCAGAAGUGCGAUCAUUAAUAAUACCCGAAAAAAUCUCCAACACAAGGGUGAAAAGAUAAGGAGACAUAGGGUCUCCCUGCCUAAGGCCUCGCCUCCCUGGAAAGAACCCAUGUAGCUCACCAUUAAUAGAAAUGGAAUACUUUGAAGUUCGAACGCAUAUCAUAAUAAGAUGGACCAUCCACUGAGGGAAGCCAAAUGCCAACAGGUUUAACUCUAGGAAAUCCCAAUCUACUGUAUCGUAUGCCUUUUGGAAGUCCACUUUGAUUGCACACUUCGGCGCAUAAGGAUCCAAAUGGAAACCAGCAAAGAGUUCCUAAACCAACAAUAUGUUAUCCCUAAUUCUUCGACCUUUCACAAAAGCAUUCUAAGAGGGACUUAUCAAGUCACUCAAUACAGAAGCUAUACGAUUGGCCAGAAUUUUGGAGAUAACUUUGUAGAUGGUAUUACAGCAAGCAAUAGGUCUAAAAUCCGUCACUGAACAAGCAUUCGGAACUUUAGGCACAAGUGCAAGGAUAGUAUUGUUUACCUGUCUAAGAAGUUUCCCAGAAGAAAAGAAAUCACACACCACCUCUAACACCGAAGGCCCAACAAUAUUCCAAUUGGUUUUAUAAAAUUCAGAUGUGAAGCCAGCCGGCCCUGGGGCUUUACCACGUGGAAGGGAAAAUAAUGUGUUACGGAUUUCUUCAUCAGAAACAGGAGAAGCGAGGUAAGCCACCUGAUCUUCCGUAAGAGGACGACGAAUAAACUCUUUUAAAUAUUGCAUAGAAGGCAUAGCAAUGGCAGCCUGUGAAGUGAGGAGCUCCGAAAAGUAAGAAACAAAGACUUGCGGUACUUGAUUUGGGUCUGAAUUGAGGAGACUAGAAGAAUCUCUAACCGAGAGUAUCCGGUUUACCAGUUGCCUCCUACUAACCGAGCGAUGAAAGAAUUUGGUAUUGCGAUCGCCUUCCUUCAACCAUCGGAUUCUCGAUUUCUGUCUAUAAAAAGACUCAUCCUCUCUAUGCAAGUCCACAAACAAACGACGCUGAAUUUUUUCAAUGUCCGCGAGAGCAACAUUAUCCGGGUUUUGCUGAAAUUCCACCUGAGUGCGAUAUAAAGUCUCCCUUGCUUCCGCUGUUCUAGAAGAAAUAUUAGAGUAAGCAUCCUUGUUAAGUUGUUUCAGCUGGCCUUUCAAGAUCUUCAACUUGGUCACAAGUCUGAACAUGGGUACUCCAUGAACAGGGCUACCCCAAACUUGGUGAACAAUAGAUUGAAAAUUCAGAUGUUCGGACCAGAAAUCAAAGUAUUUAAAAGGCUUUCGCGUAUUAAGAGGGUUAAGAACUCUGACCACCAUGGGAGAGUGAUCUGAAAUGCCCGGAUUGAGAAAAUUUGCUUCCGAAAAAGAGAACUCCAAAUUCCACUUCAAAUUCACCAAAACCCGGUCUAUCUUCCUCAUUUUUGUUGAAGUAGACCAAGUGUAUCGAAAGCCAAUAUACCUAAGAUCCACUAGCUCCGUUUGCGCUAAGCAAUUAGCAAACUCAUCAAAAUAAGGAAUCCAAGAGUUUGAAUUACCAACUCGGUCAGACAGAUCUUUAAUGGCGUUGAAGUCUCCCGCAACAAGCCAGGGUGAGUCCUGCAACAGAUUAUUGAAAUGGAGGAGGUUCUCCCACAAAGGUCUUCUCCGCACAAAAGUAUGCUCUCCAUAGAUUGCAGAAAUAUAACAACUCAGCCCCGAAAGGUUUAAUUUUAAACAACCAUGUAUAGCCUGGGAAUUGGUAGAAAUAGAUUCAUAACUAACCAAAUCCGGAUUCCACCCAACCCAAAUUCUACCACCAGGGGCGUAUUCAUAGUUGGCAAUCCACCUCCAACCCCUUAUCAAAGUAGAGGAGAUAAACUCAAAUAAGGAUUCAUGAACCUUAGUCUCAAUUAAGCCGACAAGGCAUAAACCGUUGGCAGACAUGAAUCUCUUGAUUUCAGCCCGCCUCACGGGAUUCAUGAGACCUCUAACAUUCCAAAAGCCUAUAUACAUAUUUACAAAAGCACACGGGGAAAUAACCUUCUUUUUGGAACCCUACGACGGCUAGCAGCCGCUUUAGGCUUCACCGAAGGAGGUGGGUCCGGGUGAAGCAGCAGAAGUUGCUCUUGGACGGAUUUAGGCCCUACACUCUUCAGGGGAGCCUUCGGAGAAGGGAAUCCGACAGACAAGAGGUCUUCAUCAUCCGAAACAGCUUGAAUGCUGGAACUACAAGUAUCCUCAGAGCACUCACGAGAUAUUGAGGCAGUAGAAGUGUCCAUCUUCAACAAGUUUCCAGUAGGUUCCCGAUUAAACAAACCAUCCUGCUCUUCAGAGUUUUUUAAUUUCAGGGACUGCCCUUCUUCAGCUGGCGGGGCUGGGCCAAGGCAAGCAUCAUCUUUGUCCACAUGCAUGUUCUUUUUGCCCUUUACUUGCUUCCAUCCUUGGUCAACAUCCGGGAAGAGCUCAGCACUAGCAGGUACAUAAUCCAACAAAGCCAGAUCACGUUCACCACCAGACCCGGAGCAAUCAUCACCACCCUUCUCCAAUUGUGGAACAUUAUCCUUAGGAAUCGCAUCCAACAGCAAACCAGCAGCCGGGGAAAUAUCGGACCUUUCCGAAUUUUGCUUCUGGUGAUUCAAGGCUCUAGUUGGAGCAGAAGGAACAGGGGUUGUUGCAUUUCCUUGAGAAGAACAGGAGCCAUCAGCCACAUGCUGUGGGAUAACUCUUGCAACAUCAGGUCUAGCAUCCAGAGGAGAAGGAGCAGUAGCAUUUCGAGCAGCUGCAGGGCUACACUUAUGUCCAAACAUACCACAGCCGGAGCAGGGAGAGGGUCUCCAUUCGAAUUCCACUCCAACUUCACACGAUUCUCCAUUAUGCACCACCUGGAUGGAGUCACAGAUAGGUUGAUCAGCUGUAAUUUCCACACACACCCGAGCAAAUGAUAGCAUAUCCAUUUGCUCUGUUCUCUUGUCUACAUACAAUGGCUUUCCCAUAGAACUUGUGUGGCAUCCCAAAAUUCAAAGUCAAGCUAUAAGGUGUUAAAGCCUCUAAUUAGGUUAUGAAAUUACCUAUGGUUUAUGCUUUAGCCAUUAGUCUCUUUUUAAGAUUAGGUGAUUUGUGCUUAUGUUUAUGAGAUUCUAAAGUAGAUAGAUUAAUGAUGAUAAUCUAUGCUUGGCCAUGCACCUUAUGAAUUAAAUAAAAUGUCACAAGACUUUGGCGAUGUGGAAUUUAAAAUUUAAAAUUUAUAGAAGAAAUUAUGAAAAGGGGAAAAUUUAAAUUUUAUUAGGAUGGGCCUUAAGCCCAUUGGCCUAAGCUUUAGUGGGCCAAGCUAGUCGGCCCAAUUAGGGCCACGGUGGGGCUGUUGACCGGCCCAUUGAGGCCCAAGAAGAAGGUGGCCGGCCCAUGCAUGGGUCUUGCCAAGUGGCAAGAAGAGCCUCCAUGCAUUGGUCCAUUUAAGUGGCAUGUGAUGAUUACUAAUGAUGAGGUUUAGGGGAAAUAAAAGGGAAGGAGAGAGGAGAGAGAGUGGCCGGUUGCUUGUUCGCCCAAGGGAGAGAGAAAUUGUGCGAGAGAGAGAGGGAGAGAGUGGCCGAGAGAGGAGAAGCCGAGGAGGGAGUCGCCGUCGCUCGCCGUCCGUCCGCCGUGAUCACCGCCGUGUGCUGUCGUCCGUCUGGUCUAGAGGCAAGUUGGAGUCCUCUAGCUGCUCUUGCAUGUGUGUGUGUUACAUGUAUGUCGAAUUUUGGGUGAUUAGGAGAGGAAAACCGAAGCUUGGAUGGCUUGUUCUUGAGUGGUGUUGCUGUUUUCGCUUGAACAGUUUGAGUCAGAAUGUUGUGUGAGCUUGCAUGCAUGUUUAGAGUCAGAUUUUGGCUUCAAUUUCUUCAUGAAAGUUGUAUCUAACAUCUUAAACUACAACAUAAUAAAAUUUGGUGGAAAAUGAUGGAGAUUUUAGGGGUUAAACUCUCUUCCUACGGAGACCUCAGAUCUGGAAAGAUUUCACUGACCUUUUGAUGGAUUUGCGGUUGCAUGUUGAUUUAUGCUAGGAAUCUCUUUUCGAUAUCUUCAUGAAAGUUGUAGGGAACAUCUUAUACUACAACAUACUCAAAUUUGAAGUGAAAUGAACAAGUAUAACCUAGUAAAUCGACUAGAUCUUGAAGACUGUAAUUCUGGAGAUGUAUUACAGGACACCCGACACUUCAUGGACCUAAAUGUCAACUAUACUCUGGAUAUUUGACUUGGAUCUCUUCACGAAACUUGUAGAGAACAUUUUGAUGUAUAACAUAUCCAAAUUUCAGAGGAAAAGAAGAAGAAUAGGUAGGUGAAAACUCAGUAUUUCGGAGAAGCAUGUACUGGACGUUUCGGUGUUGGAUCCAGAAGCUUCGUGAGACUGUAGAAAAUAAUCUAAAAAGAAUAUGACUUGGAAGUCUCCAUGAAAAAUGUACUUUAAUGUCUUGGCUAUAGCUCGGUAAAAUUUCGUAUUUUGGAGGUCGUAUGGAUAUUUUAAUCGAAUUUCUUCGGAAACUGUGCAUUCUGAUUUCAUCCGAAAAUUAUAUGCUGUUUUGUGUGAUUUAUGGAAUUAUGUGAAAUUUUAUUUGGCUAUGUAUUCUACAUGAAAUCAUCAUCCUAUUGUCUUGUUUAUCACUUGGCCUUAAUUUUAUGAUUUUNNNNNNNNNNNNNNNNNNNNNNNNNNNNNNNNNNNNNNNNNNNNNNNNNNNNNNNNNNNNNNNNNNNNNNNNNNNNNNNNNNNNNNNNNNNNNNNNNNNNNNNNNNNNNNNNNNNNNNNNNNNNNNNNNNNNNNNNNNNNNNNNNNNNNNNNNNNNNNNNNNNNNNNNNNNNNNNNNNNNNNNNNNNNNNNNNNNNNNNNNNNNNNNNNNNNNNNNNNNNNNNNNNNNNNNNNNNNNNNNNNNNNNNNNNNNNNNNNNNNNNNNNNNNNNNNNNNNNNNNNNNNNNNNNNNNNNNNNNNNNNNNNNNNNNNNNNNNNNNNNNNNNNNNNNNNNNNNNNNNNNNNNNNNNNNNNNNNNNNNNNNNNNNNNNNNNNNNNNNNNNNNNNNNNNNNNNNNNNNNNNNNNNNNNNNNNNNNNNNNNNNNNNNNNNNNNNNNNNNNNNNNNNNNNNNNNNNNNNNNNNNNNNNNNNNNNNNNNNNNNNNNNNNNNNNNNNNNNNNNNNNNNNNNNNNNNNNNNNNNNNNNNNNNNNNNNNNNNNNNNNNNNNNNNNNNNNNNNNNNNNNNNNNNNNNNNNNNNNNNNNNNNNNNNNNNNNNNNNNNNNNNNNNNNNNNNNNNNNNNNNNNNNNNNNNNNNNNNNNNNNNNNNNNNNNNNNNNNNNNNNNNNNNNNNNNNNNNNNNNNNNNNNNNNNNNNNNNNNNNNNNNNNNNNNNNNNNNNNNNNNNNNNNNNNNNNNNNNNNNNNNNNNNNNNNNNNNNNNNNNNNNNNNNNNNNNNNNNNNNNNNNNNNNNNNNNNNNNNNNNNNNNNNNNNNNNNNNNNNNNNNNNNNNNNNNNNNNNNNNNNNNNNNNNNNNNNNNNNNNNNNNNNNNNNNNNNNNNNNNNNNNNNNNNNNNNNNNNNNNNNNNNNNNNNNNNNNNNNNNNNNNNNNNNNNNNNNNNNNNNNNNNNNNNNNNNNNNNNNNNNNNNNNNNNNNNNNNNNNNNNNNNNNNNNNNNNNNNNNNNNNNNNNNNNNNNNNNNNNNNNNNNNNNNNNNNNNNNNNNNNNNNNNNNNNNNNNNNNNNNNNNNNNNNNNNNNNNNNNNNNNNNNNNNNNNNNNNNNNNNNNNNNNNNNNNNNNNNNNNNNNNNNNNNNNNNNNNNNNNNNNNNNNNNNNNNNNNNNNNNNNNNNNNNNNNNNNNNNNNNNNNNNNNNNNNNNNNNNNNNNNNNNNNNNNNNNNNNNNNNNNNNNNNNNNNNNNNNNNNNNNNNNNNNNNNNNNNNNNNNNNNNNNNNNNNNNNNNNNNNNNNNNNNNNNNNNNNNNNNNNNNNNNNNNNNNNNNNNNNNNNNNNNNNNNNNNNNNNNNNNNNNNNNNNNNNNNNNNNNNNNNNNNNNNNNNNNNNNNNNNNNNNNNNNNNNNNNNNNNNNNNNNNNNNNNNNNNNNNNNNNNNNNNNNNNNNNNNNNNNNNNNNNNNNNNNNNNNNNNNNNNNNNNNNNNNNNNNNNNNNNNNNNNNNNNNNNNNNNNNNNNNNNNNNNNNNNNNNNNNNNNNNNNNNNNNNNNCCCACAUUGGAAUAGAUAAAUGAGCAUCCUUUCUCAGUUCUAGCGCCGGUCUCCAUUGCUGAAGAACCAGAGGGACUCUAGCAACUGUGAUAGGUCCCCCUUCGAGCAACUUCCUGCGAAACUCACUAUCCGGAAUAUGUAUGAAGAAGAACCCUUGUCCAUUAGCCAUAACUUUCGAAAUAUGCAGACCCCAAGCCUUCUUGAGAGCCAUCUUUGUGACUUUGAAAGGUAGACGUCUGCCUAUAAAGUAGCCCACGAGACAAUCAUAGAGCAUAGGAUCAGCAGCUUCUACAUCUGAGUCAUUCAUUUGGACCACAGGUUUGUUAUUGAUAAUAGUUGGAGGGGAAAAAACCAAGUCAUACCCCUUCGUCAUUACUCUCGCUACAGCCGCCCAAGUGCGGUUAUUCGGAAUUUUGGAUUGACCCCUAGGCUGAGGCCGUUUAGAUUGCGAUCUCCCCCUGCUUCUAGCACGCUAACCAGCAGGAAAACGAGGGGGUUUCAACAAUUCAGAUUUCUCCUUUGACCCAGCAGGAGCCGGAUCCUUACGACCAAGGUUCUCAUUCAAAGAUUCUUCUAAGGUAGGAAAACCAUGACUAGUAGGAGAAGAGUUGCGAGAACUAGGCCCUUCCCCUCCAUUAUGGGCCAGAAAUAUUGCAGAUUCCAUCAGAACAGCAGAAGGCGCAUCAGCAGCAAUAUACCGAGCGAAACCCUAACCACAUUCAGCCAUCGAAGCCCAAAAGAGAAAACGUACCAGGCUCUGAGUAGAGGGGUUUUGAAGAGAGUCACCAGUCGCCCGAUUACCCCAAAGAAAGGCCCCAAUCCCCGGAGAACAACAGCGCACCAGAGCCCCGAGACGACCCACUCUGAAAUCGCAGUCGCAGACCCAGGGCUCACCGAGAUCAGGCCCUGAACCUACACCUUCGAGGCCGCCGCACUACACAGGAGACUAAAGGAGCGAAAUAACGGGCUGCGAGGGUCGCAGCACGCUCAGGCCGUGAGACCGCUUUCAGCUUGGGGAGGAGAUAAAAACAUUGUAACCAUUGCUGCUGCUCUGCAGUACAACACAACGCCACCGCGGGAGGAGAAGAAAGAGGCGACGCGGCGACGAUGCUUCAGCUCCACAUAAGUCGGGAUUAAGCUUUAGGACUUCUGUUGCACAUAUCACUAUAAAAAAAUAUGUAAGGUACAUAGUCAUGUUUAAAUUGACCACUUUGUGUGCAGCUUUUUUUUUUUCCUCCGAAAUCUGUACAAAAGUCGGACUUUGCCCCUCCAUCGUGAGACCCAAUACAUGCAUCUGCUGCAGAAUUUUUUAAAAGGGAAAAAAGAUUGGGUAACAUUGCCGUUAGCUUCCAAAUUCUUACGGUGGGUUCUCCACGACAAUUUUUUUUUCAAGGAUACCUGUUAACCUGUUUAACUGAUUUCCUUCAAAAAAAUUAAAAUUAGAAAAUCUUACUUUAAAAUCCCAUCAGAUUCCUUCAUAAGAAAAAAGAAAAAAAUAACAUAGAAAACACAAAACUUUAGAAUAAAUUGAAUACCAAAAUAUAGAUACUCGGAAGCAGAAUAAUAUAAUCUCUAGCAAAAAAAAAAAAAAAAGUUAAUGUCAUUCGAAAGAUAAAUUUAAGUUUUUUUAACAUGGAAAAAAAAAACACAAUAAGUAUUGGCUUUGAGACUAAUAAUGAAAUUAUUGUGCUUUUAAAUGGCUUCUCAUUUAUGCUAAAAAAAAAAAAUGGCUUCUCAUUCUUUUUGCUCAAAAGAGUCGAAUUAGGAUCAGUGAUAUUGGUAAUGCAUGAUAACAAUUUAAAAAAAAUGACCUAAAUAUGUAUAAUGAAUUAGUAAACAAAAAAAAAAAAAUUAUCCAUUCAUUUGAAUCUCAUAUACGAAGAUGUGCAAGGACUUAACAAAUUACAAGAUUAAUCUUAGGAUGUCAUGAGCCAAAAAAUAAAGUUAGAAAAGAAUAAUUCAAUAACACAUAACCACGUGACACCUGACCCUAUGUUGAUUCUUAUGAAUUAGAAGUUAAUAUUGUAGCAAAGUGAUUUUCUUCAAAACAAAACAAUAAUAAGUACAAUAAUUAUUUCUUCCUUAAUUACAUAUUAUAUUUUGAGAAUACCUAUGGCAACCCAUCUGAUCCAAUCUCCAAGUGAGUGAAAAUCAUUUAAAUUCUCUUGAGCGCCCCUGAGGGUUAUGUGAAUAGUUUUAGUUUUUUUUUUUUUUUUAAUGCAUUUGCUCUGUUUUAUAUUUGUUGAAAAAGCAACGUAAGACUCCACGGUAACACCACACCACUAUUUAACAGUGACUAGUCAAUGACAUCAGUAUUUUUAUAUAUUUGUUUUAACGUAAUAAUUAGAAAAAAAAAUAUUAUGGUGCCGUAGUCCUUUUUUUUUCUUUGGCCUUUUUUUUUGGGUCAUAUUUUCUUUAGCUUCGACCGUAGAAGUAAUUAAAGGUGUGUGUAUCUUCAAAAAUUAUAUUUAAAUUCUUCCACAAGAUUAACCGGUUGCCAUGAACUUGCAAAACAAAUAUACGGACAGAAUUGCACCGUCAUUAAUUACAAAUAACAGUACCGUCUUCUUAGUAAAGUUAUUUUUAAAAGAUCCAAAUUCCUGCUCCUGAUCCCAAUACAGCGUGUGCGUUAGACUCAUUCCAAUAGCAGCAUGCCUCGAUCAUCUCAUCAUCCUUGAAAUCAAAUUUCCUAAAUAGGUCAAACUUUCUAUGCAUAAAUCAUUUGAUAUUUCUUUCAAUUCUAAUCGCAUGCAUUCCCAUCAUGUGUCAAAGUAUCUCACGUUACUUUUUAGAUUCCUUCAAAGAACGCAUGGCAGUCGGCGUGUACUACGGAGAGUGCGGUGAUGGGCAUUCAUUGUACGGGUCAAAGAGAGAAAAGGGCGGCCCACCAUGAAGACAGAGAAAGGUAAGAUGAAGUGGAAUCACGAGCAUGGCCAUUUCUCCGCGUCCUGUUCCUUCCUUUUUCCCCCGUUGAGCUUCCUCUAUUAAUCACAAAGAGGAAGUGAGAAGACAGCGGGAGAGUGCUCUGAGACUACACAAAAGAGAUUGAAGAAAAUGUGUUUUCUAGUAAUUAUAUUGUAUAGUGAUUUAGCUAGUUAAAUUAUUAUAAGUGGAAUAUGUAUAGCUCUUUAAAUGAGAUUUCAUUAAGAAUUAUGAAAGACUAAAUAUUGAUUGGGUUAUUGAGUGUAAUUGGAGGAUUGAAAAUAUUGAAAGACCAUUUGAGUACGAGAGCGAUUGUAAUCUCCACUAUAUUGCUUAUUUUUAAAGUGAAAUUCUAUGUUGUUUUUUUCAUGAAUAUAGAUACCAACAUUUGGAUCGAACAAUCCACCGGUGGGCAGCUGAGUUGGUUCGGCUCUGGGCACUUCAUCACAGAGGUCCCAGGGUUGAAACUCGUAGCUGCUAACACGUCUUAAGUGGGGGGCCAUGGUGGUGGGGUUCUGUGCUAGUUUCCCUAUUGCUUUCAUAGAGUAACCUACAAAUAAACGUUUAAAAUCUAGCUAGAAAGGUUGACUGAAAAAAGAAAGAAACUUAAACAUAUGCUUACAUCAAAGUUAGAGAAAAGGCUUUGCUAGCAUAAUAAUUCUUGGGCUACUGUAAGAAUAACAGUCUAUUGUAAGUAUAAACUCUUAAAGAAGUGGGUUCCACGGUAAUUUAUAAUUAUAUGUGAUUUAAUUUUUUGUGAUCCAUAAUGGAUUGUUAUUUUCACAGUACAUUAAAGAUUGUCAUGCAAUCAUUUCUUAAUGACAAUUCGAAAUAUGAAAUUAUAGGGUAAAUAACACAGAAAGACACAAGUAGUAGAAUUCUAAUAAUUCGCAAGUAAUUCCCUUGAUGUUUUGUUCUUAUGAAGGUGUGCUCGUUCUAUGGACUAUGCUUCUCAAUUGCAUUGGCUCUCUCUCUCAGAACAGACUUCUGCACCUUGCCGGUGGAAUUCAUUGGCAGGUCCCCGAACCACACUGUCUUUGGAACCAUUGCCGCCUUUUGCAGCUGCUCCGCACAAAACUCUACUAUCUCCUCGGUGUUGGAACACUUCCCUUCCUUCAACUUCACAAAUGCACAUGGGACUUGCCCCGCAACGUCAUUUUGAGCAACAACAGCGGCUUCCGCAACUUUUGGGUGGCUCGACAAGACAGCUUCUAUGUCCAAUGUGCUGAUCACCUCCUUCCCUAAGACUAUGGCGUCCCUCGCUCGGUCCUUCAUCUCUAUGCAACCAUCUGCGUGCCGCACCCCGACAUCCCCGGUCCUGAACCACCCGCCAGAAAAUGCCUUCUGUGUUGCCUCUGGGUCGCCCAAGUAGCCUGCCAUGAGGGCGUUCCCUCGGAGCAUGACUUCUCCAAUUGUUUCCCCAUCGCUUGGAACACUCUGCAUGGUGGUCGGGUCCUUGACAUCGGUAGCUUCCAGUGUGAUGUUGUGGAGUCCUUCUCUACAUUUCAGGUUAUGAUCGUCGUGGUCGUUGUCGUCGUUGUCAUGGUGGUGGUGUUGCGAUGACCUCCAGGGUCUGAUGAGGGCAGGCCCUAGGGCUUCCGUCAUGCCAUAUCCGUAGACAAUGUUGAACCCAAGCUCUUGGACUGUCUUGAGAACGGGAUUCGUCGGGAAUGCGCCGGCGAUGAUUACGUCCACCACGGAAGGUAGUGGCUUUUGGUCGAUCGGUGGGAAAUCAGCAAUCAUAUUUAGGAUAGUGGGUUUACCUGUUGAAAGGGAAAAAAUAAGAAGAAAGUUCUACUUUUUCUUGGGUGAUUUUGCAUGAACCUAACAUCAUCCAUACUUUCAUAUGACAUGUUUCAAAAAGCGUAGGCGUCCUCCCAAAUAUUUGAUUAUAUCUAUACCGCACUAAGGUAACGACACAUUAUCGACAUAUCUCAACGCUACUCAUCUAUUUUUUAAUGAGAAUGAUAUAUUAUUCUUUGAUUCCGUUUAAUAUGUCAUGCUCAUGAUGCAAUGGGACUCUUCACAUCAAAGUAAAUGAAACCGGACCAUUACCACAGAGAUGGGUGACCUUGUGGAGCUGAACGGAGUCGAAGAUGAUCUUCGCUGACACGUUCCUAAUACACACAUUGACACCGCCGAGCGCUGCCAUCGCCCAUGUGAAGCACCACCCAUUGCACCUGAACAUGUCCACCGUCCACAGGAACACAGGCGACUUCCCCAUGUUGUAUCGGAGGAUCAGCCCUAGAGAGUUCAGGUACGCCGCUCGGUGGCUGUACGCCACCGCCUUGGGUGUCCCUGUCGACCCCGAGGUGAAGUUGACCGAGAUGGGGUCACACUCAUUGGUCGGACUCAUGGCUUGGAAAUUGCUCUCUCCAAUAGCUACGGUUUGUUCAUACUCUCGAACCUCAAGAUCACACUGGGUUCGACGGUCCAGCGAGACGUCGUGGAUUGCGACAAGGAGUGGCUGGUGAUCGUGGUGGUUCUCUAGGAGGUGCGUGUUGUUCUUGUUGUGGAUGACUUUGGAGACGAGGUGUGCGAGGUCGGAGUCGACGAAGAUGAUUUUGGGUCGUAACCGGUGAAGAAUGAUUGUCAAAGCGUGCUCGUCAAGGCUUACAUUGAGUGCGGAAAGAGUUGCGCCUGCCAUUGGAACCGCGAAGUGGAGCUCAUAUAGUGCAGGGACGUUUGGUGCCAUGGCUGCAACCUGCAUUAACAUAACAACGAAUCGUGAGCAUAACAUCAUCGAACCGUUGCCAUUGUUUGUGUUCAGGUAAUCUUGUUGCUCAUUUCGAAAAACAAACCCCAUCAUCAGUUUGUUGCCCUCAGACGAGUCAGACUUUGAAAAUUCGUCACCAAAAACUCUGGAAUCUAUCGCACGCGCCACCAUGCGUCGCCAUGUCACGGGCUGCUGUCGCCGCCGCCUUAAGUGCUUUUUCCGAAGCAAUAGUUGGAUAUUAUAAACAAAAUCCACCAGAAACAGGUUGCUCAUCCUUCGACGAGUCCAACCUAAUAAACCAAGUCGCCAGACCCCUUUUGCAUGCCCUCACGCGCUGCCCAAGUCCUUUGCGCGUGAUGUCAUCUUCCACAUCAGUGCCACUUCUCAACCAAGUUGUCUACCAUGUCAUCAUCUGACGUCAUCCUCCAUGUCAGCGCCACUCCUUAGCCAAGUUGUCCGCCUUGUCAUCUUAAUAUUAUUAUCAUCAACCUAUGUUGAUUGCCGUAGACUAGAUUGGCUUGAACCGUUUUGGAUUGAUUUUUGGCAUUUUCAAAUCAGUUCCUGAGGUAUUUCGACGUCUUGAACUAUUUUUGGCUUUGUACCAAUUUUCUUUGAAUUCCUUAUAGAAUAUACUGGUUUAUACUGGUAUAUUGCAUAUCAUAGAUAAAUUGAAAGUCUCAAUACUUAUUCAGGCCAUCUUAAAUGGAUCAAACUAUAUUUUAUGGGCUUAAGAAAUAUCAAGUUUAAGAGGAUGUAGGCUUUAAUGUUAUGUCACUGGAAAUAUUCGCGAGGCUAUGUAGGCUAUUGAUGAACCAAUGAUCAAUUUGUUGAACGUUUAGAGGAGUGGGAUUGCAAGAAUCAUCAGAUACUCACAUGGUUUGGAAACACUUCAAUUCUAUCCAUCAGACUCGCCGAAAUACAACAAAGAAAGCCUGAGAUCUUCUUGCCAGUUGUUACUUUGCAUCAAACAUUACUCAUCAGUAUCAACUGUUAGGGAAUUUACAUUGCAUGUGUCAGGAGACAAGUCAGUCUAUUAACAACUUUUUAUCUUCCAUGCAUGCUAUAUGAGAUUAGCUGGCUUUAUCUAAGCCUGAAUGGGAGAUGACUUCUGAUGCUGUUAGUUUGCUGAAUGCCAUGAUCAUAUGUGUAUUAUGCAUUUUCUAAUGGCACUUAAUGAUGAGUUUGAAUCUAUGCAAGCUUCACUUUUGCAUCGGGAUCCUUUACCUCAUCUUGAGGUAGUGGCCUCGAAAUUGUUGCUGGAGCAGAUUCCACUUGCUACUACUUUAAAGGCGAAACGUGUUAUUCUAUUAGUCUCCACUCCUAAAGAUGUAGUGCUUGCCACUUUUGGUUUCUCCUCAUGUGCAAGUCAUACUGUACGUAUCGUUGUCCACAUGGUCAUCGUACAUCCAAUUGUUAUCAGUUGGAACCUAGGCAACCUACGGGAAGGAACAACCUAUCUCAGUUUAGAGGUCCACAUGCAUGUCUAUCCAUCAUUGUUGCUUCCAUUGUGGAUUCCUCUAAUAGUUCAUCUGUUAUUCUAUCAUUAGAUGAUCUUCGGUCCACAGUUCAUUCUAUCAUUCUAGAAUCUAGUACUUUUAGUUCCUCUAUACCUAACCCUUCUACUUUGUCAGUCACCCUAGGUAAUCCUGAUUCAUGGUUCUUUAAUUCUGCUUGCUAUAAUCACAUGAUCUUUAAUUCCAAUUCAUUCAAGUCAAAGUCAUAUACUUCACAAGCACCUAGUAUUCAUACAACUAAUAACUCUCAAAUGAUAGUUAGUCAAACAAGGCAUGUUUUAACGUCCAAAUUGUCAUUGCCUAAUAAAUUUAUGGUUCCCAAAUUCUCACCAAACUUGAUAUUUGUGGGACGGCUAUGUGAACUUGGUUUUGACAUUCAUUUCUCUUCGAAUGGUUUUCGUGUGCAAUAUCUAUAGAUGGGACAAACAAUUGGGACAAGCUGUAAAGUAGGACAUUUGUUUGAUCUUGUUUCGUUAAAGCUUCCCAACUCCUUCACUCAUUGUGAUGCCACAAUAUUAUUUGAAUCUUGGCAUUCUUGAUUGGGACAUCCUUCUUUCUCUAGUUUAGGUCCUCUGAUUUUAAGUGUUCAUUUAGGUUUUAUUGACAGUAAAACUUUUGAUUGCUUGCCUUGUAAGUUGGAAAAACAUCAUGCUUUAUUGUUAAAUAUUAGUGAAUUUGUCUCUUAUACUCCCUUUAAUCUAAUUCACUUUGAUAUUUGGGGAUUAUCUCCUACUCCCAUUAUAGGAGGAUUUUGUUAUUUUGUGAUUUUUGUGGAUGAUUAUUUUUGUUAUACAUGACUUUAUCUUAUGAAGAAUUGAUACGAAAUCACUCAUAUCUAUAGUAAUUUUGCUGUCAUGAUUAAGAUACAAUGCUCUUGAGAUAUUAAAGUUUUUUGUAUUAAUAAUGCCAUGUAACAUAGAGACAAAGAGUUCCUUAGAAUUCUUUCUUAGAAUGGUACUAUCAUUCAUCGUGCUUGUAGGGACUUCCCAACAAGAUAGUCCAGUAGCACGUAAACAUAGGCACAUCUUAGAUAGCAUACAUACUCUUCUAAUCGCAGCAUCUUAUCCAGAACAGUUUUAGAGAGAGGCCUAUCAUACUGCUGUAUAUACUAUUAGUUGUAUUCCAUCACCUAUUAUAGGCAAUAUUUCUCCUUACUAGCACUUAUAUGAUAGUGUUCCUAACUACAAUCUACUUCGAGUUUUUGGCAGUGCAUGUUUUUUGUAUCUUCUCCCUAAUGUAUGCACAAAAUUAGAAUAUCAUGCUCAUUUAUGUUGCUUCCUUGGAUAUGGCAUUGAGCAUAAAGAGUGAAGAUGUUGGGAUCCUAUCUCAAAUCAACUUCGCGUAUAUAUGUUACGCUUUGGGACAUGAGAUAUUCUCAUCUCUUCGUCCUUUUGCAUCCUUUCCAACUAUUCGCUUCUUCACUAAUCCUUAUACUGAUUUAUUUCCUGAAGAUAACACACUUCAAUCUUCCUCUUUGGAAUUGUCCUCUCCUAAUCUUGAUGUAGGUGUCUCAGGUAAUCCUAUUUUGGUUGCUCCUAACAUGUUUGCGCCAUCCGCGGAUUCUCCACCCUUAGACAUUCCUCCUUCUCCUAUUUAUCAUUCCACUUGUGUAAGUCAAGCUUUUGUUCGGCUUUGUGAUUUUCAUUGUUAUUCUACUAUGGUUUCUUUUCAUGAGCCUCGUACAAAUAGAGAAGCUAGUACUAAUCCUCUUUGGUAGCAAGCAAUGGCAGAUGAGUUGCAAGCAUUAGAAAAAUCUCAUACUAGGGAUUUGGUUGUUUGCCUCUUGAAAAGUUAGCUAUAGGUUGCAAAUUGGUGUACAAGAUCCAAAUGAAGGUAGAAGGUACGGUGAAAUGCUACAAAGUUAGACUAGUAGCGAAAGAUUUCACUCAGGAGUGUGACAUCGAUUGUGAUGGGACGUUUGCUCCGGUUGCACGUUUUACUUUUGUUUGUAGCCUCCUUCCUAUUGCUGCUAUUAAGCGAUGGCCUCCAUUUUAAAUGGAUGUCAAAAAUGCAUUUCUUAUUGGGUAUCUUACUAAGGAAAUUUAUAUGGAGCCUCCUCGUGGAUACACUCACACUUCUAAUAAAGUGUGUUGUCUAUGCCAAGCAUUAUUUGGAUUGAACCAAGCUCAUUGUGCGUGGUAUUCCAAGUUUAGUUCCACCAUGGAACACCUUUGAUUUACAUCUUGUCCCUAUGACAAUGCUCUCUUGUUCAAUGAAUAUCUCAUUGGUAUGAUACUCUUUUAUGUUGGCGACAUGGUUAUUACUGGCGAUAAUCGUAACGAUAUUGCGAAACGACAAAAGUAUUUGAGUCAACAGUUUGAAAUGAAAGAUCUUGAUCGACUCAAUUAUUUUUUAAGCUUGGAAGAGAAAUAUGCCACUGAUCUCCUUUCUCGGGCUGGAUUUACUGAUAACAUGAUUGUUACAACUCCCAUUGAGACUAAUGCCAAAUUUGAUCACAAAGAUGAGACUCCUCUUUUAAAUCUCACACUUUAUCGACAACUAGUUGGUAGUCUUGUAUACCUCACUGUUACUUAUCUUGACAUUGCUUAUGCUAUUCAUAUUUUCAGUUAAUUCAUGACCGCACUGUAAACAACUCACUUUGCUGAUGUUCUUCGAAUUCUUUGCUAUGUCAAGGGUACCUUAUUUCACAGUCUUCACUUUUCUCCUAACUCAAACUUAGAGUUGAUGAAUUCUUUUGAUGUCAACUGGGGUGGUGCCUCUUGAUCGUCGCUCUACUACAAGUACAAGCUACUGCUUCUUCUUAGGAAACUCUCUUAUUUCUUGACAGAGCAAGAAAUAGACUACUGUUGCUUGAUGUAUUACAGAAGCAAAAUAUCAUGCCCUUGCUGAUACAACAUCGGAAUUACCAUGGUUGUGGAUGUUAUUGGAAGACAUGAGAGUCCCUCAUGAUGGUGCAACGAUCAUUUAUUGCGAUAACCGGAGUGCUAUCCAAAUAACACAUAGCGAUGUUUUCCAUGAGCGUACCCGAUACAUUGAAAUAGAUUGUCAUUUCAUAUGCUCUCACAUGCUUUGUGGUACUGUUAGUCUUGUUCCCACUUUUUUUUUUUUUUUGGGGUCAUAUCUUGUUCCCACUUCAUUGGUUGAUUAAAUAGCUAAUAUUUUCACCAAGGCACAUCCACCUGGACAUUUUCAAGAUCAUUUCUCGAAGCUCUAUCUAAAAUCUUAUAUAUCACCUUGAGUUUGAGAGGGGAUGUUGGAUUUAUUGUUAGAGAUAUUAUUUUCCUUGUUUGAUUCUAAUUGAUUGUAUUUGAUAUUGUAAUAUUUUGUUGCUUCACAUAGUUUUCUAGAACAGCUUAUAAAUAGGCUCAUGUAUAAUUAGUAUUAUACAUCAAGAAAUACACAAAAAUUCAAAAAUUCUCCAAUUCUUAUUUCUGCUUUAUUUUAACACAAUCUAAAUGUUAGAAAAUUUUAUUAGAUAUUAUCAAGUGACAGUACUUCGGAUUAAAUGAUAAUAUCUAGAAAAUCAACGUACAGCCCAAGUUAAUGGGCCCUACACGACUUCCCCGUGAGUCAUCGCGAUGCUUAGAUCGCCGAAAUAACUUUGGCCUCUAACUUUAGAUCAAACCUCACAUGGAAGAGGCAUGUAUCUUCCACAAUCUACGCGAAGGAACACUUACGUAGUGGAACAGUUCCCGCCAAGUUUUUUCCUUAAAUCAGAUCUUGAUAACGAUGGAAACCAUCAAGAUUUGUCGCUAUUUUUUGGGGUUUUUGUCAAACUUUGCUGAAGCUUCCCUUCUGAGAAUAAUGAGUGCGAGAUGAAGAAAAUGCCGCAUCCUUACCCACAAAAACGGGAACAGACAAGUCCCAUUCCAUGCCUUAUAUGAUUACGUAGAACCCACCACGAAGACUUCGUGCGUCGUGCCCGUCAAAGUGAGUAUUCUAAAUGCUUUGCAUAUAGCAUAGCUGGUAAUGACUAAAUCAUCACGUCAGUUAUUUCCUUCGGAAAUUGGCCAAGAGGAUUACGUUCGAAUUUCGCGUAAAAAAUUAUGACUAAAUUGACAAACUUAAAAAAUUUAUCACUUAAUUGAUAUUUUUAUAAUUGAUUAGGUAAUUUUCCUAAAUAAUAAAUAUUCGCACCUUUCUUUAUUUUUUUUGCUUGGAAAUGUUAGAAUAUUAAAGAUGGAUUUAGUAAAUGAGGAAAGAGCCAAAACCUAGGCGAGAGUAGUGAUACAAUGGGACAGAUUUCAUUUAAAUGCUCCACUAUCAAUAACUUUGGGAAUCCAAUAUAGAUUAUGACUUUGUAUCCAACUAGUUCUCUUUCGAAUAUCUAAUUUUAGCCUCUUUUUUUUUUUUUUUUAAUCUUCUCCUUUUAUAUCUUAGUCUUCAUAAAAUAUUAUAUAGCCAAGGAAGUACAAUAUAAUGGAAGUACAAUCAGUGUUAUCAUUUCAAAGUGCCACAAGGGGAAGUCUAAAAGAUAUGACGAGAGUACAUUAGAGAAAAUGAGCAGCUGGUGUUGAUGCCAUGCAUGCAUGUGUUCUUAAGUCAUACACUUACGCAUGCAUGUGUCACGGUCCGUGAUUCUCCCGUAUCCGUGAACUCUUGGGAGUGAAGCUUGGGGUUAUCGAGUGAAGAGUGAGGACGUAGAUAGGAUGAACAUAACUGGUUCGUGGAAGUGGCGUUAGGACGAUUGGUGCUAGGAGUUCUAGGAUAGAAGUAUUAUAUUACUUAGGAGCUCUAAAGGCGAGGUUGGCUUCUCGUGCACAAACUGGUCGGGAGUUGAUGCCGCUCUCCUAAUAAGGCUAUGGUAGGCCGAAACCAGUUGUUGAGCCUAAAGAGAUUUGCCGUCUCACUUGAUAGACUAGACGCCCGAGCUAAGUUGGGCGUGGUACGAUCUCGUAUAAAAGAGUUAUUCAGCGUAUUGCUCAUUGGAACAACUAUGAAAGGAAGGUUGGUUUGGCGAAUUCUGCUUGCUAAGCGUCACACGGGUUAUUCCGCGGCCAAUAAACUACCGACCCGUGACAAAUGGUAUCAGAGCAGGGAUCCCUCUAGUAAGUGGGUGAUUCAGGGAAAAGCCUAUGGUCUUCCCGGUCCUAUGAGGGCGGAGAGUGAUUGCCGGGACCAGAGGGGGCUCGGACAACGUGCGGCUCUUGUCCAGCUUCUGGGAUGGCAAUGGGGGCAUAGGAAGGAAUCGGAUUGCUCGCUGAAUGGGGAUACGUUUCUGGAUCAAUGGACGAAUCUUAAGAACAGGUCUGCGAGCAUGUUUCCACCAAGGGGGCUCUAUUGGUUUGCUAAGAUCAGGAGGAGCUUAGUAGGCGAAAGAAGGUGCUGCCACAUGGGUGCAGUUGGCUGUGGGUGCCACACUUGUCGAGGAGCAUAAGUGAUUGGAGAUUCGCGAAUGUCUUUAAUUGGGGGAAGCAAGCAAUGGAGUGGAGUGAGUUGUUCUGUUGGGCGAGCGUUGCCAUUAAUGUAAGUCCCAGGGAGUGGAAUUGAUGGUUAGGGAAACACAGAGAAGUGACAAAAUAGCUUGCAACAAGGGCGUUACGGAAUUGAGUGGGCGAGUUUGUUACGGUUCGUGAUUCUCCUGUACCCGUGAACCAUUGGGAGUGAAGCUUGGGAUUAUCGAGUGAAGAGUGAGGAUGUAGAGAGGAUGAACACAACUGGUUAGUGAGAGUGGCGUCAGGACUAUUGGUUCUAGGAGUUCUAGGAUAGAAGGAUUAUAUUACUUAGGAGCUUUGAAGGUGGAGUUGGCCUCCCGUGCACAAAUUGGUCGGGAGCUGAUGUUGCUCUCUUGAUGAGGCCAUGGCAGGCUAAAACCAGUUGUUGAGCCUAAAGAGAUCUGCUGUUUCAUCUAUAGACUAGACACCCGAGCUAAGCUAGGCGUGGUAUGAUCUCAUAUAAAAGAGCUAUUCGCCGUAUUGCUCAUUGGAACACCUAUAGAAGGAAGAUUGGCCUAGCGAAUUUCGCUCGCCAAGCGUCGAGGCGCCGCAUGGGUAAUUCCGCGGCCAAGGAAUUACCGACCCAUGACAAAAUUUGUCACGGUCCAUGAUUCUCCCGUACCCGUGAACCCUUAGGAGUGAAACUUGGGGUUAUCGAGUAAAGAGUGAGGAUGUAGAGAGAAUGGACACAACUGGUCCGUGGGAGUAGUGUUAGGACGGUUGGUGCUAGGAUUUCUAAGAUAGAAGGAUUAUAUUACUUAGGAGUUCUGAAGGCAGGGUUGGCCUCCCAUGCACAAACUGGUUAGGAGCUGAUGCUGCUCUCUUGAUGAGGCCAUGGCAACCCGAAACCAGUCGUUGAGCUUAAAGAGAUUUGCUGUCUCACUCGAUGGACUAGACACCCGAGCUAAGCUGGGCGUGGUACGAUCUUGUAUAAAAGAGCUAUUCGUCGUAUUACUCAUUGGAACAACUAUAGAAGGAAGGUUGGCCUGGCGAAUUCCGCUCGCCAGGCGCCGUACGGGUUAUUCCACGGCCAAAGAACCAUCGACCUGUGACAAAUGGUAUCAAAGCAGGGAUCCAUCCAGUAACUGGGUGAUUUGGGGAAAAGCCUAUGGUCUUCCCUGUCCUAUGAGGGCGGAGAGUGAUCAUCGGGGCCAAAUGGGGCUCGGAGCGGCUCUCAUCUAGCUUCUGGGAUGGCAAUGGGGGCAUAGGAAGGAAUCGAAUUGCUCGUUGAAUGGGGAUAAUGUUCCUGGAUCAAUGGAUGAAUCUUAAGAAGAGGUCUGUGAGCACGUUUCCACCAAGGGGGACCCUCUUUUGGCUUGCUGAGAUCAGGAGGAGCUUAGUAAGCGAAAGAAGGUGCUAUCAUAGGGGUGUAAUUGGCUGAGGGUGCCACACUUGUCGAGGAGCACAAGUGACUGGAGAUUCGCGAACAAUUUUGAUCGGGGGGAGCAAGCAAUGGAGUGGAGUGGCUUGUUCUGUUGGGCGAGUGUUGCCAUCUAUGUAAGUCCCAGGAAGUGGCAUUGAUGGUUAGGGAAAUGCAGGGAAGCGACAGAAUAGCCCGCAACGAGAGUGUUGCGGAAUUGAGUGGGGGAGUUUGUCACGGUUCGUGAUUCUCCCAUACCCAUGAACCCUUAGGAGUGAAGCUUGGGGUUAUCGAGUGAAGAGUGAGGACGUAGAGAUGAUGAACACAACUGGUUCCUUAGAGUGGCAUCGGAAUGGUUGGUGUUAGGAAUUCUAGGAUAUAAUGAUUAUAUUACUUAGGAGCUCUGAAGGUAGGGUUAACCUCUCGUGUACAAACUGGUCGGGAGCUGAUGCCACUCUUCUAAUGAGGCCAUGGUAGGCCAAAACCAGUUGUUGAGCUUAAAGAGAUCUGCUGUCUCACUCGAUGGACUAAAUGCUGAAGCUAAGUUGGGCGUGGUACCAUCUUGUAUAAAAGAACUAUUCGCCGUAUUGCUCACUAGAACAAUUAUAGAAGAAAGGUUGGCCUGACGAAUUCUGCUUGCCAGGCACCGAAUAGGUUACUCCGUGGCCAAGGAACUACUGACCCGUGACACAUGCGCAUCAGCUUUCACCAGCUGAAAACUAUUUUUACUUUCUUUCUUUUGAAACCACGACUUCUAACUCGACAUGAUUACUGUAUUGAUAAUUUCUGCAUUAUGAUCACAUAAAACGAAAGGAGAAAAGGUAGAAAUUCGAUAGUUGUGAUCAUUAGGAAAAAAACUCCCCGAAAGCCUUAUUAUGCUACUCCUGGAUUGUGUGUCAUUUUGGAUAGAAAAGCAAGGUUAUUGGGUCUUCGAAAUGCAAUGGUGGUUUGCAUCCAUAUAGGGUGAAACUCCUUAGUGCAUUGAUUAUCUAUAUUUAGUGUAAUGGGUCCAUUAAAAGAAGAAGGUCAGACAUAUGUAAAACUGUUAAAAUAUUAAAUAUAGUCNNNNNNNNNNNNNNNNNNNNNNNNNNNNNNNNNNNNNNNNNNNNNNNNNNNNNNNNNNNNNNNNNNNNNNNNNNNNNNNNNNNNNNNNNNNNNNNNNNNNGUCAACUAAACAAGGUCAAGGCCGAUUAUGAAUAUUGACCGAUUAAUAGAUUAUGUAGGAUGUCAUUAAGGAAGAAGUAAACAGUAUGUUGAUGAGCAUAUGCAAUAUGAUAUUCACUAUAAAUACAGUCAGUGGUUAAACGACAACAAUGAUUGUGAGAAGCCAACGGAAUUAAGUGGACAAGGUGGGAAGAGUCAAGCUGAUGUUGGUCAAAUCAAUGUCGAUGGAACUGAGAAACAUUAACAUCGACUCGCAAAACUUGACCGAAAUCAAAUCAACUGUAAGGAUAAAAAUACCAGAAACGAUUGUUGCAGUCAAACUCAGAGAGGAACAAUUAUCAAAGGUAUUAACUAAUAGUUGCUAUCAAGCAAUUUGUAUAGCUGAGUCAAUUAGUUAUUGCAAUCGAGCUUCUGAGGCGGGAACAAUUAUACCAUAAAAUGGAACCAAAAUUAAAUUUCAAUGAGCGAGAACACUUAUUAGAAUAGGCCGGCUACCCAUGGACUAUAAAUAGGAGAAACUAAAGAGGAAAAGAUAUGCACAAACAUCAGAAGGACAAGAUUUUACUUUUGUCAAUGCACCUUACUUAUUUCUACAUUUUCCAGUAAUUUAUGUCCAAUCAUUCCAGUUGUUUAUGUUAAUGAAAUGCUUGAUCGUAUCCUUCGAAAAUAAUGUGCUGUAAUUAGUAGAUUUAUUUCAUAAGUUUUAGAACCUAAUCAUUGAGUUUGUGUUCCUUUCUUGAUUCACAAUCAUCUGUCAAUUCGAAAUGCAAGGAGUCCGACACAUGUGAUAAUUUUAAUUGUCCGCUAGACGAUUUAAGUAGGGCGAUCUCAUAGUAAGACAGCACCAUGCCCUUUUCGCUCGUUUGUAGGUUCCCUUAUUUAUAAGCUCAUGGGACUCACAUGUUGGGAUCUAUGCUUAAGGCGUUUAUCAUUGAACCAAACCUUUGUGUGAGGGAGAGUUUUUAGACGUAAAAUAUAAUAUGUUGAGAUUUUAUGGGACUAUAACUAAUUUUUCUAAAAAUUUAAGCUAUUAGAUGAAAAAUGAUUUAAUUUUUAAUUAUUCUAACAAUCCCCAUAAUGCUUAAGUUGGACUUUAACUUAAGCGUAAAACUUGGAAAUAUGUAUUUGGUGAGGUAAAUAGAAGUCUAGAAUAUGUGAACUCAAGGCCUCCUACGUUGAUACUAUGUUGAGAUUUUGUGGGAUUAUAACUAAUUGUUCUAAAAACAUAAACUGUUAGAUGAGUUCGUGAUUUGUUAUUUAAAUAUUCUAACACGGGCACCAUAUUCCAAAGUUGUUGCAGUAAAUUAUUGUGCACUGAAUUUUAUGUAAUAGUGGCUCCAGAGGGUGUCUUGAAUUCAAAUAUUUUUAUACUUUUUCUUUGCCUAUUAUUAUUUCACCCAUUAGUCUCAGGUGAAAUACGAGCCUAAGUAAGAAGGGAAAUGUCAUAGCAGUUAAAUAAUACAUCAUGCUUUGAUAUAAUAGCUUAAAUAUUUUUGAUCAAUUGGUGAUGAUCUUACACAAAUUUUAACAAAUGAAUCGGUGUGUACCAAUAGGUAGCGUCGACUUAGAGGAUUGCAGCUCACCAUUCAAUCAUGCAUACCAAAUCAUUUGUAAGUUUUACUGCAAUAAAAAGAACAUGGGACCGGAGUGUCGGAUCCACGUAAGUUGUAAGACUCCCCUUUAACCUUUCCUCUCACAAGAGAAAGACUAUUAAACUGUCUCUGAGUCAAGGAUGGAAAAGUUGGCUCCCCUUUUAACUCCUUCGAGUCAAAGAGACUGAUUGGAACAUUAUGACAUCUGGCCCCAUUUUAUACUUAUUCAAUCACGCGGAGUAAAUAUAACGUGAUGGGUAAAAUUCUAACUUGUGAAUUGUGCCACAGUAAAUCAAGGAGAACGUCACGCAGGGUCCAUCUUCACCGGUUGACACGCCUCGUUUACUUCAAUUUUUUCUAGAUAUGGAUUCGUGCCGUGAUCGACGACAUAAUAUGUUGCACAUGAGCAUACGCCAAAAUUUAGGGACCAUUAACUUAUGUUUCAUGCUAGUUCAAUCCAGUCAAAGUGAAUGUGCUGUCGGAGUACAUGAUCCCAAGAAAGUGUGCAAAUACAUUGAUGUGCAUUCAAAGAUCGAGUAGGAUCCUCUUUGCCGGAAUUUUUUUUUAAUUAAGUGAGAAAAUAAAUAUGGUUUUCGAUUAAGCGAACCCUUUUGAUGGGGGGAUUAAUGCGUUUAUUGUUUUAGCAAAAAUGGUUUGAUAGAAGUUAGCUGUAGACCCAAAAUUCAUGACGUGCGGGACUCCUCCUCGUGGGUGGGUGAAGAUUGAAAUGGGACCUUCUGAGUUUGUCCCCUUAUAGUCUUUUUUUUUUGUUCAUACCCUUAGGCUAUGUUUGGUUGUUCGGAUUUUUAAUUGGGAUAUGAUUGGAUAUGAUAUAAUAUGAAACUCUGAGAUUUUUUUAUAUAAACGCCAUAUCAUUAUAAAUGAACCUAAAUGUUCAUAAAUGGAGAUGGUGAAAAUAUCUCAUAACACUAUUCCUUAAUUUAUUUUUAUUUGAUUUUUCCACUUUUUUAUAUUAUUUUCUUUAUUAUUUCUUUUUUCCCCUUUCAUCAUUCUUUAACAAAAUUUUAUCAAAUAGUAAACUGUACUAACAUAUCUAAAAUACAAAAAUACCUAAAAUAUAUAAUAAAUAUAAAUAUUUAAUUUAUAGAUCGAAUAUUUAUUAUAAGAUAGAAUUAAAGUCGAAUAUAUAAAUUAAAAGAAGAUUAAUUAAAAAUAUUUUUUUAUUUUUAAUUUAUUAAAUUAGAAUUCAAAUAUUAUUUAUAUUGAAAUAUAAUUUCAAUUUUGUUAAUUUAAUAAGUUUGUUAUUCGAGAAAAAUAACUUUCCUAUUAUAGACAUUAGAAAUCCUAUCCACCUUUAUCCCACCUCCCCUAUGAGAUAAUUUUACCUGUCUAUAUCCCCCUUAUAUCCGACUUUAUUAUAUCCUGAACGAGCACCAAACGUAGGAUAUGAUAAAAUCCUAUCCUGAAUUUUACCCUGACUGUCAAAUGCAGCCUUAUAGUCAAUGUUGACGAGGCUAGAAUUCCAACACGGAGAGGUGCAGGGACCAACGUGCUCAAAUGAUUUACUUUAACAAUUAUUAUAGUGUGUAGAGUAAUGGAUUAAUGUAAAAGAGUGAAAUAAUUUAUGUUGUUUUACUUUUACUGAUAUAAAAUAACUAAAGGGUAUUACAAUAAUUUGAGUUAGUGUAGCAAUUUAUAAUCAUUUUAGAAAUUUCAUCCUUUUUAGAUACAAAGAAAUUAGCUAUAAUAUUAGUAUUUCACUUAAAAUUUUUUCGUUUCAUCGGAGGUCUUGUACUGUUAGUUCUGUACAUGUUAUAGAUUACCAUAUUAAGAGAAAAAUUCUCAAGUUUUAACCUACCACCAACGGGUCUUAGUUUUUUUACUAUUAGCAUAUAAAAUAGGGAUUCCUAUAUUUCGAGAUUUUAGUGCUCUUUGAUACUAUGUUGGGUAGGGGUGAUUGGAAAUGAAAAAAAAUGGGACUGUGAGGUAAUUACAAAAGAAAAGAAGAGAGGUUUUGAAGGAUGCAAGGGAAAAGAGAGGGACAGACAUGCAUUCAUUAAUAUCUUUUAUGCAUAUAGGGCUUGUCUUGACUUAUACUUUUCACCGUUUGCUUAAUUUAAAUCAUGCUACUCACACACUUUGACCUAUUUUCGAAUUCGAAACUCCCAAAACUUCAAAUACUCAAGUAUUGAUACAUAACUUCACAUGUAAUUUGAUCACAAUUUUCUAAAAUUUGAAUAAUAAUCCAAAUUUUGGCGGGAACACAAAAAAAUAAAUAAAUUACAUUAUGCUUUUGUUUUGAACGCAAAACAUGCCCUCUUACACAAUAGUUGACUUUACCAACUUCUUCUAAUCCUUUCACUUCUUUUCUUUUCCUUCAUCCAAACAAGAAUGUGUUUUCUAGCAAACCUUUCUCUUGAAUUUGGCAAGUCACUCACUAUUCAUUUUAGGUAGGAUUAACAUGAACUAGGUUACGUAUUAUAAUUCUUCCUUUGGAGGCUAGAAUUUUUUUUUUUUAAUUUUAAAGUUUUUGGUCCAUGGAAUAUAUUUUUGUAUAUGUAUUUCCAAUCAUUCCAGUUGUUUAUGUUAAUGGUUUGUCCGACACAGCAUACGGACACCUAUGAAAUAACAUAGACAAUGGAGGAGCUCGGUUUUUUUUUUGGUCAGAAGAGCUCGGGGGUUGACCUCCUUCAUCUUUACCUAAUUUGGCAGAUUGAACGGUUCCGUGGGUUCUCAUUCUCUUGAUAUACCAUCUAAGGGGACGAUGAAAGAGAAAGAGACCGGAGAUAGCAUCUCUGGUGCAUGCAUAUCCGUUGUGAUGUUCACCUGAUCUAAUGAUGGUUCAUGUUAGUGGUGAUGAGUUCCCAAUCCAGUCCAGUGCCAAAGUGAAACCAAGAAUUGGGGACUGGACUAUUUGGUCCUAGGAUCGGGAAUUGGACCAGACCGUUAAUUUCGGUCUGGUCCAGUGGGAGCGUGCAUUUUUUUUUUCCUAUUAAAGAGUGGCCAUGCAUAACAAGAUAAAGUGACAAAUCUUAAGAUAUUGAUAGAAGUGACGAUGAGUGAAGAGUUAUUGUGCCAUAACUUAUGGUACCAUUGGAUGAGAAAGCAUUAGUUCACUUUUUACUAAUUUUUUUAAAGAAAUAAUAAAAAAAUAUGUAGUCGGUCUAGUCCGGUCCAGUCCGAUUCCAUCUUGGAACCGGGAAUCAGAUCGCCUGGACACCGGUUCCAUUUUGAGGAAUCGGGAACCACACUUUGGUUUGGGCAGUCCGUUUUGCACACCCCUAAACUCGAAACCGUCAAUAAUAGCUCGAUGAGAAUGUACUGUGAAGAACAAUCUGUCUAUAGAAUCAUCCUUGUCACUCCCAUUUUUCUUGGGUCUAUGGCUUGUCACAGGAAGACCCUGAUCUAUUACCUUAUUCCCUCCAUUUGAGACCACGAGCUUUAGGAAAACUAAAAGCUAAUGGAAGCAAAAUGGAAAGAAAGCGAGGACCACUUUUCAUUUGAAUGAAACUCAAGGAUACAAUGAAGGAUGAGGGAAACAAGAUAGAGAGACUUACGAUAUCGCCGCGUGAGAUCUUCAACCUCGCCAGAGCGGAGGCGAGUUUCAAACACCUUUCGUGGGUCUGUCUCCAUGUGUACCUUGUAUUGCCGUAGAUGAUGGAAACCUUGUUGCCAUAGACGAAAGCUGCUCUCUCUAAGAAGCUUAUGGGAGUCAAAGGCACGUAGUUCGCAGGGCACUGGAGCAAACCUUCCAUGAUGCUUCUCUAUACGUGUGUUUGGGAUCUCUAGCUUGCGAGACAAGGGAGCAUGAUCAUAUGCAUUCGCACAGAGAAUUUAUAUCGCAAUUAUAUAUAUAUAUAUAUAUAUAUAUAUAUAUAUAUAUAUAUAUAAAUCCUUAUUCAGAAUACAUCAUAGUUUAUAAAGAUGAUGUUCUAAUAUUUUCUUCCAAUAUAGAACAGCAUUUCAAAUAUUUAUCUACUUUCAUAAAAAUAAUCAUAUAAAACGGUCUUGUAGUCUCUCCUAUUAAAAUUGCAUUCUUCAAGACCAAGGUUAGAUUUUUAGGUCAUUACAUCCAUUUAAACACCAUCACUCCCAUAGAAAGAUCAAUUUCUUUUACUGAUAAAUUCCCAUAUGAGAUUAAAGACAAAACUCAAUUACAAAGGUUUUUGGGAAGUCUCAAUUAUAUAUAUAUGGCUAAGGAAGAAGCGGGAAUCACUGCGAGAAUUAUGAUGGAGGGAGAGAUCAUGCACUGAUGAAGGCCUUUGAAGGAUAUGCGUGUUGGAUACCUCUCAAAAUAACUUGCAUAAAAUGAGCUGCUAAUUGCGGUAACGAAGUUUACAUAUCGAUCUUAAUGUGUGGGGUCCCUUUAGCAUGAAGGUCUGACCGUCUCAUGGUCAAAGGAAAGCCACAAAAGUUUUUUUUCUCUAGCACAAGCGUGACAUCCCCCCUUCUCUCCUUUUCUUUUGUCCUCUUCUCCUCUCUCUCCUCCUCCCCCACCUCCCCCACGUGAUUUCUCUCCCCACUUCUGCCAUCCAUCCCCCCUUUCCCCUUUCUUUCUUUUCUCCCCUUCCCCCCUCACGCGAGAAAAUAUUUGAUGGUCCCGGCGCACCAGCUCAGCGUGGUCCCGGACCAAUCAUGGAGCGCCAUGUUGGUUCACGUGGAGCUGUGGGGUCGGCUCGCCAAAAUGGAAUUUCUGUGGGUAAAAUAAUCUUCUUUCUCUCUCCUCUAGCCUGCACGCUAGCCCUGCGCUCUCUCUCUCCUCUGCAGAGUCUGCACACAUUUAUUAUAUUCUCUUUUUUCUUCCCUCGUUCUUUCCUGCUGAGUAAAAGAUGAGCCAUUCUAAGCGAGCGAAGCUUUCAAAUUUUGAAUCUCUGGUUUCGCUCUCGUUUGCUACUCCGCGCUAGUUUUUGCUGCUCCGGCAUUGCGUUUGUCAAGCGGCCGUUCCCCGCCGUCGCCCGGCGCUCGCUCGCUUGCUGGUCCUGUCGCUUCCUCCGUCUCUGCUCCGGCGCUCGCUCUUUGCUCCGUUGCUCGCUCCAUCUCUGCUCUGGCGCCGCUUUCCUUCGCGCAUUAAUCUGCUUGGGCGGCCGAGAUUUGGGGGAUCCCAUUUCUGCAACCACGUGCAGAGCAGCGUCGACGCCUUCCAGGCCGGUUACGAGAUUUGUGGGAUGUGUAAGCGCAGAGCAAGAACAGUAGAUUGCCCAAGUUCUGGCGGGACGCCUUCCAGGCCGGUUACGAGUUCUUGACGAGUGACGUGCCGGGCGUUCGCGACGUCGCCGUUUCGGAGAUCGCGAAGAUGUGCCUUCGCUCCUUCACCUUCUCCGACCCUCUCGCUGCUCAUUCUCGUCCUGCGGUAACCCAUCCUCGCCCUUCAAAACCCCCUUCUUCUAUAAUGCUUUCGUCGCUAGCUUCAUUUGCUUGCAUAACUUUUAGUGCUGAGAAGUUGGGCAUUUCUUGUGAAAUUUUGGGAGUUUGGUCGCUGACUUGUCCUUUCAGAGAUUGGAUGGAAGUCAUGAGUUUAUGAGGUCUUGGGUUCUGUCAUUGAGCCCUCUCGGGGCAUAUGAAUUGAGGGCUUGUUUUUUAUUGAUACGGAUUUAUGAUGACUUAAGCGUUAAGCUGCAAAGCCGCCCUUUUCAUCACUUGGCAAAUGGUUGAGAAACUGAGAUGUUUUGAUGCUUGAAUUUGAAUGAUUUCUGUCCGAAUUCAGCAAUUAUAUCUCUGCCAUCAAAGAACUAUACUCGUGUCUCGUCCGUGCCCAAUGGAAAUUUGAAUACUAAGAAGCAUGCGGUAGAUCUAAUGAUUUUCAUAGGUGUUCAAGAGCGUAUGAGAAUUACUAAAUCAAAUUUUUAUUCUUUCUGUGGGUAGGUCAAACUCUUUCGGGUGCAGGGCAUUCAUGUUUUUGCGGGGCUUGUGAUUGUUAUACCCUUCAAAUGCCAACUGUCUCAUCCUUUUUCCUAUUCCUAUUAGUUUAUUGUUCUUUGAAAUUCUCUUGAAUAUGCAAAAUUUACGUCGGAAUCUGACCUUGUUGAUGUGCACAGGUUACGCUUUUGAAUUGGCUUUCUGUUUUGGCUUAUUCUUUGGCUUUUCUAUUUUGUAUCAUCCCAAGGGUGUAAUAGAAUAAAACAAUAAGUGGACUGGAAGAUUUUCUUGUCCUUUUUAUCAUCUACUGGUGUUGUGACUCAUUAUUUUUGUUACAAUUGAAGUUUUAAAAUGUAAGGCUGCCAGCUACUUGUUUAUGAACUUGAUGCACGAGGUCCCUGUGAAGAAGCAAGAUCUUCCGACAUCUGGACCUUGAUAAAAGAUCAAGCAAAUUUUUGUUUUGGCUUGAUGCUGGGAACUUUGGCUCUGCUGUUGUUAAUAUAAGAUCAGCAUAUGCCUGUAAUAUAUGGGCUACUACUAAAUGGUCAACGUGAUUUCCAUGUCUUUUUGAUUGUUUGUAUCAUUUUUCAUUGAAGUACUUUUUCUUGAAGAUUAUAUGGUGGGAAUUUAGUAAUUAUUGGGAGAUUUAGGGCCUUAAACCGAAGAAUCUGAUCUUGGCUGCACAUGUUAUGUUUUUUCCCCUUUGGAAAGCAACAAACGUUUUCUUGUUAUUCUUUCUUAGACAUCAAGGUUAAUCGUGGAUCAUAGUAAUGACUAGUUGUAAAGUUACUUGAUAACUGUUGAAACAAUGCCUCGUUAUUCUUAAUAAUUGAAGGACAGUUACAGAAGAUGCGAUGUUUCUUCAUGAUUCUGCUUCUGAAUCAAUUGAUUCCAUAAAUUGAGUGAUCUGAUUCUCGAUCGUCUUGUCUUUAUGUAGAAUGACGACAACCAAAGAGAGACUUCUGCGACAAGACAAGACAAUCGAGAAUCAGAUCACUCAAUUUUAUGAAUCACUCAAGCGAGGAUGCUAUAACUAGAUUCUCUCUUCUGCACGAUGCACCUCACCGGAAUGCCUGGCUAGCUGCUUCUGGUUUUUACUAAAGAUGGCUUGAUUACACACAUAAAAUCCAUCGUUUGGAGGUAAAUAAUCCACAUGGAAUACAUUACACCUAUUUCGGAAUCCCGUGUUCUUGUAUUGUACUUCCGUUCUCAGUCGGAAGGCAAUAACAUUGAGUUAUGUAUGAGCUUAUGCUGAACUAGAAAGCCCAUGAAGAUAUGGGUUUCAAUUUACAUUACAUGUAUGCAUGAGUGACUCUCUCAGGAGUUUCAUCCGGAGAUCAGAUGUAAUACAUACUUAUGUUUUUUUUUUUUGGUGACCCAGGGAACCCCGCACGGUCGGCAGCCGGAAGUAAACCAUUGGGGGCGACACGUGCUAGCCACCACACAUGUGCCACCGGGUAAGUCACCAAGAGACUCAAAGCUAGCCUUCCUGCAACUUGCGUUGCAGGAGCUUCGAACACUAGACCUCAUCGAUGGAAGCCUAGCGCCUACCCAGUUGAGCCACUGCGGUGGGUGGUUACAUACUUAUGUUUAGUCCAUCAGAAAAAAAAAAAAAGAUCAAAUUUCAGAGCUUAACGGAGGUUUGCGUGCGUGGUUUUUCUUCUUUUCUUUUGUUGGGAGCAUUGAGUUGUUUUUCCAUCUCUUUCUAAAAGCAACUUAGGUUGCGAAUGACAACAUUUCUUGGCCGGGGAACAAUUUUUUUUUUCAGAAAUAGUUCUUUUCUAUUUUUAUUAUGGGGAACAAUUUCUAUGUAAAAAAACUUAUUUGGUAACUACACAAAAUUUUUACUCUAGAAAUAGAAAAAGAAUAGAAAUGUGUUUGGUAAAAAAUAGUUUCUUUUUUAUAUUUAUUUGUUUUUUAUUUUUUGUCGGUAGACCGCCGCUAUCGCCGGACGCCGUCGCCCGCCGACUGCCGCCGCCGAUCGGCGGCCAGGCGGUCGAUAGGCCGUGUGACGGCGAUCGGCGGCGGCGGCGAUGGUUGGUUGGCCUUCGGCGACCGGCGGCGGUGGCGGCGGUCAAUGGCGGUCAGCAAGAGAAGAAUAAAAGAAAAAAAAAAUUCACUUAUUUCUUAAACUUGUUCCCGGGAACAAGAAGCAACUUUUUUUUUACUUUUCAUUUCUAUUCCAAAACCAUUCCCGAGAACAAAAAACUAACUUGCCGUUGUCAAACAGGUUUCUAUUUUUUUUUUUUUUGUUCUGGGGAAGAGAAGAAUAGAAAUUCUUGGGCUGGGGAAGUUUACCAUGCGCAGCCUUAAAGUUCCAUGAAGAGAUCACUGGAGUCAUGAAAUUCAUUAUUUAGAUUGAGUAUAGACUGGAAUGCUUCAAUCCACAUUCUCCUUGUAAAGCUAAUCUUUUGACUAGAAAAAGAGGAGAUUUUAAGAAUCAAGAUCGGCACCAAUACUCAUGAGUCGCCCCUUUUGCUUCAUGCAUUGCCAUCACCUCUGGCAAAGCAUUGUGCAUUCUCUUCUUCUUAAGCCACACUAUCGUCCAUACUCCUUGAUGAUGACGAGUGUAAAGCUAAUUAGGCGGGAAAGUUAAACGUCUCAUUUGAUCAAGUGUUCACUUGAAAAGAAAAGUGCGUUAUAUUUCAAUUCGCUAGCGAAAGGGGAAACGGAAAAGAGCGAAGUAACAAAUUGCUUUUGAGAAAAGAGACCAUGGCGUCAAGAAUCAAUAGAGAUUAACAUCAAUCGCAUCGACAAAAUUUUGUGGAGAAGCUGAUACAUGCAUCCCCAUGAAAUGUCGACAAGCAUUAAAACUCAUGCCAACAACUUGGCGAGUUCAUCAACCCUCAAGCUUCCUAGAGGUGAUACAUUCAAGUGGUGUUCAUCCAACUCUUUUUUCCUUUGAAUUUUCGUAUCUCUCUGCUUGUUUCCCCUCUCCGUAAGUGUAGAAGAAGGUUCGCCUUCGGCAUCUACAUUUCCAUCUUCCUUCACAAUCUUCUUGGACACAGCUCUCCUAGGUCGAUGCCUGAAAAUGGGGCCAGGUGGAGCAGUCUUUGCAAAAGCAACCGCUCUUUGGUAAGCAAUGUCAGCAUCCAAUGAAUUAGUAUUUGUUGGGAUAUAAUAUGUGGAAACAACAGAAUUUUGCAAUUUACGUUAACGCGAAAUCACCAGAGAAAUAAACAAGAAAAAUAAGGACACCAGAAAUUUACGUGGUUCGGUCCGAGUAUCGGUACCUACGUUCACGGGGAGAUCCAGCAGCAAAUAAUCCACUAAAAUCGGAGAAUCAGAGUUUACAAUCGCUCAAACGCUCAAGUGUUUCCCACACCUAAAUUUAACCCUAAACGCAAGUUGUUUAUAAAUAAACAACUUACUUGGGAAUAAACUCACGGCACAAAAUUGCCGCACGACAAAACGCUCUACGUAGGGCUUUGGCGGACGUACGUUCAGCGGCUCCUUCUUAUCCUUGGCUUGUACGUGCAGCAGCUCCUUACGAUUUUCUCCGUGUGCGGCUUCGUAGGGUUUUCGGCAGUUCAACGCACACGCAAAAAGAACAAUCCUGUUCUUAUAUAUAUGUGUGCGCCUAAAAGGUCAAACUUUGACCUUGGGCCCACCAACACUUUCAAUUUCACGUGCAGCUUCAUUUUUUCUUUUUUCCUUUCAUCGGCUAAAAAGGAACGAAACUUGUGUGUGCUAGGCCCCACGAGGAUAACAACUUUCAGCAAGAAUUCCGAAGAAGCAUUUCGUAUCCUCUUCCAUUGGGCCCCAUGAUCAGCUUCUUUUCUUCUACGUGCGAUUUAUAAUCCAUUUGGGAAAAACUUUAUCGACAAAUUCGAUUUAUCCGAAUUCAAAAUCGAGACAUUAAUUUAACAAUUCUCCACAUUGGCUCGAUGUUUGAAGCCAAGUUAUAGUGCUCAUCAUUCAUGCUGCUCUCCCAACGCCCCGAUAGGCACUCACUCUCCAUAGACGCCAAUGGAGCUCAAGCAGAGCUUGAGCUUUGCCAAACGAAUAGACUUAGUCAUCAUGUCUGUUGGGUUAUCUGCUGUAGCAAUCUUUUUGACAAUAACAAUACCCUUAGCUAAGACAUCUCGAAUGAAGUGGUAUCUGAUGUUGAUAUGUUUCGUUCGCUCGUGAUAAACUGGAUUAUAUGCCAAAUAUAUCGCACCUUGGUUAUCACAGUGUAUAUCCACACUUAUCUGUUCUAACCCAAAGUUCGAGAGCAAACUUUGUAACCAUAUCGCCUCCUUCGCUACAAAGGUUAGUGUCGUGUACUCUGCCUCAGUCGAAGACAAGGCAAUGUGAUCCUGUAAGGAUGCUUUCCAACUAACUGCACCACCUGCUAGCGUAAACACGUACCCUACUAAAGACCUGCAAUCAUCCAAGUCACUGGCGUGAUCUAAAUCCACAAAAUCAGUGGUCUCACUGCCAUUGUUGUCCCUUCGGUAUACUAUACCCACAUCUGUUGUCCCCUUCAAAUAUCUGAGGAUCCACUUCACAGCUUCCCAAUGAGCUUUACCAGGAUGCUUCAUAUAGCGACUAACUAUGCUCACAGCUUGUGAAAUAUCAGGCCUAGUGCACACCAUAACAUACAUAAUACUAUCCACGGCACUAGAAUAAGGAACACGAGACAUAUGCUUCUCUUCCUCAGUCUGCGGUGAUAAUUUUUCUGAAAGUUUAAAGUGUUUUGCUAAAAGUGUACUUACAGAUUUUGUCGACUGCAUAUUAAAACGUGCAACGAUCUUCUCAAUGUAUUUCUUUUGAGAUAGACGUAAAACUCCUGUAGUCCUGUCAUGCAAAAUCUCCAUACCCAAUAUUUUCUUUGCAGCACCUAAAUCUUUCAUAUCAAAUUCAGCAUUUAACUGCCUCUUUAGCAUAUCAAUAUCAUACAUAUUCUUAGUUGCUAUCAGCAUAUCAUCAACAUAUAAGAGUAGGUAAAUCAAAGAACCAUCAUCCAAUCUCCUAUAGUAAACGCAGCUAUCCAUCUGACUUUUCGAAUAGUCUUGACUAGCCAUGAAAGCAUCAAAACAUUUAUACCACUGCCUAGGAGACUAUUUUAGCUCAUAUAAAGAUUUCUUUAACAAGCAAACAUGAUCUUCCUUACCCGGAAUAGCAAAUCCCUCUGGUUGUCUCAUGUAAAUCUGCUCCUUCAACUCAUCGUGAAGAAAUGCAGUUUUCACAUCUAACUGCUCUAACUCGAGAUCUUGCGAAGCAACUAAGACAAGUAAAACACGAAUAGAUAUGUCUUACCACAGGAGAAACACCUCAUUGUAGUCAAUGCCCUCAUGCUUACCCCUUCGCCACAAGUCUCGCCUUAUACCUCGAUGCCUCGACACCGGGAAUGUCCUCUUUCCGUUUGAAGACCCAUUUACUUCCGACAAUCUUUUGGCUCUUGGGUACUUUGACCAACUCUCAUGUCUAAUUUCGAUGGAGUGAUUCCAUCUCUUCACUCAUAGCCCCUAGCCACUGCGACGACUCCAAACUAGUUAUCGCCUUAGAGUAAGACGAAUGCUCAUUUAUCUCCACCUCAUCACUUACAGUCAAUGCAUAAGCAAUAUCUGUAUAACCAUAAUGUAUCGGUAAUUUAAUUUGCCUUUUCUAUCUAUCUGUGGCUAUAGUCUGCUGCGGCUUUGCUGGUUGUUCACUAUCACCGACUUCAGGAACUACGGCUUCAUAUGCAAUCUCAACCUCUGUUACCUUCGAGGUCUCUAGAGUCUCCACCUGAAGCUCCACCUCACUAAUGACACCAUAAUCUGUCUUCUAUGCUGGUUGUGUCUCAGAACUCCUCUGUUGGGGCAUUGCAGUCUCGUCGAAGAUCACAUCUCUAUUGAUUAGAAAACCGGGUGAUUUGGGAUCGGUGCACCACAACUGGUAGCCUUUCACCCCAUGUGCAUAACCUAGAAAUAUGCACUUCUUCGCCCUCGACUCAAGCUUACCAUCACUCGCAUGAGCAUACGCAGGACAUCCGAAUAUACGUAAUUCGGAGUAAUCAACAGGUUUUCCCGACCAUACUUCCUUAGGAGUCUUCCACUCGAUAGUAGAUGAUGGAGAUCGAUUAACCAGGUAGCAUGAUAUGUUUGCUGCUUCGGCCCAAAAUUCCUUGCCAAGUCCUGCAUACGAAAGCAUGCAUUGAGCUCGCUCAAGCAAAGUUCUAUUCUUCCGUUCUGCCACGCCAUUUUGAUGUGGUGUCCCAGGUACUGUGCGGUGUCUCACAAUACCUUCUUUCUCGCAGAACUCAGUAAAAUCUUUACCAUAGAACUCCAUGCCAUUAUCGGUUUUCAGGCACUUGAUUUGCUUAUCUGACUGCUUCUCAAUCAAUGCCUUAAAUUUCUUGAACCGAUCAAACACGUCAUAUUUGUGCUUCAGAAAGUAUACCCAUACCUUCCUCGAAUAGUCGUCGAUAAAAGUCANNNNNNNNNNNNNNNNNNNNNNNNNNNNNNNNNNNNNNNNNNNNNNNNNNNNNNNNNNNNNNNNNNNNNNNNNNNNNNNNNNNNNNNNNNNNNNNNNNNNUUGGUCGAAUGAAUAGCUGUAGUAAACUUAACUCCGGUGCUGCUUCCCAUAGAUGCAGUGCUCACAUAAGUCCAGCUUCCUGUCUCUAACCCUCAACAACCUCUUUUCACUCAGCAUCGUCAUACUUGCCUCACUCAUGUGCCCUAAACGCAUAUGCCAUAAUUGAGUCAAGUCAGAAUUUGACUCACCUAAUGAAACUGCAGCAGUUCCAGUCACGGUCUCUCCCAGUAGAUGAUAGAGAGUAUUCACUUUCUUCCCUUGCAUCACUGUUAUGGCACCUUGAGAAAUCUUCAGUACUUCACCUUCAGCGGUGUACCUACACCUGAUGUCAUCGAGUGUCUCCAGAGAAAUAAGGUUCUUCUUGAGCUUCGGUACAUGCCUCACAUCUGUUAAUGUGCACACCACCCCAUCGUGCAUCAGAAUCCGAAUUGUCCCUAUCCCCACAGCCUUACAGACUGCAUUAUUCCCCAAAAGAACUCUACCAUCAUCUGCAAUCUGGUAAGUAGUAAACCAUUUUUUAUGAGUCGUCAUAUGAUAAGAACACCCCGAAUCUAGCACCUAUUCGUCUCUUGACGAAGUAGCAGUUACACAUAAAAUAGCUUCUGCAUCCCUAUUGCUCCCCUCAGCAACGUUUGCCACACUGCUUGUAGCAUUCUGCCUAUCAACUUUAUUUUUCCGCUUUGGACAAUCUCUCCUGAUGUGCCCUUCCUCGUGACACUCAAAGCACUUCACGCGUCCCUUGGACUUUCUAUGGCGUGAUUUUGAUCUGCUUUUACCUCUACUGCUACUAGGCUCUCGAUGUUGUUCUUUACCCCAAAUCGUCAGUGCUUGCGCUUCUCCUUUCACCAGACCGUCAUCUCGCAACUUUCUCUACCACUCCUUAGAGAAUAAGGCGGACUUGAUCUCUUCUGAGGUAAUCGUAGUACGCCCCUGCAACAGUGAAUCAGUAAAGUGCUCCCAUGACUCUGGUAAAGAGGCUAACAACAUCAUGCCUUAUUUUUCAUCAUCAAGUAUCUUACCGACGUUCUUCAGAUCCAACAUGAGUUUAUUAAAUUCAUCUAGGUGGGUUCUGAUAGACGUACCUUCAGUAUAUCUAAACUGAAACAUCUUUUUCAGCAUAUAUAAGCGAUUGUUCAAACCUUUCUUCACAUAGAGUGCUUGAAGUUUUGCCCAUAAUGUUGCGGCAUCCUCCUCCUCAAUAACCUCUACUAAGACCUCAUCCGACAAAUUUAAUAGGAUUAUGCUCUUUGCUUUUUGCAUAAGCUCUACCCUCUCUGAGGCUUUCAUUAUAAUCGGCAACUCAUCUUUGCCAUAUAGUGCCUUGGCCAAACCUUGUGUUUUCAAUAAAGCCCGCAUCUUGAUGCUCCAUAACACAAAGUUGUUCCCGUUAAACUUGUCAAUUUCGGAUUUCUUCUCAGACAUAAUUGCAAUAACAUAAUUUCCAGAUAAUAAUCAGACAAGCAAAAGCUCCAAAUCACAAUCAAGAAAUCCAACACCAAGCUCUGAUACCAAUUGUUAGGAUAUAAUACGCGGAAACAACAUGAUCUUGCAAUUUACGUCAACACAAAAUCACCAAAGAAAUAAACGAGAAAAAUAAGGACACCAGAAAUUUACGUGGUUCGGUCUGAGUAUCGGUACCUACGUCCACGGGGAGAGCCAGUAGCAAAUAAUCCACUAAGAUCGGAGAAUCAGAGUUUACAAUUGCUCAAACGCUCAAGUGUUUCCCACACCUAGAUUUAACCUAAAACCCAAAGUGUUUAUAAAUAAACAACUUACUUAGGAAUAAACUCACGGCACAAAAUUGCCGCACGACAAAACGCUCUACGUAGGGCUUCGGCGGACAUACGUUCAGUGGCUCCUUCUUAUGCUCGGCUUGUACGUGCAGUAGCUCCUUACGAUUUUCUCCAUGUGCGGCUUUGUAGGGUUUUCGGCAGUUCAGCGCACACGCAAAAAGAACGAUCUUGUUCUUAUAUAUAUGUGUGCGCCCAAAAGGUCAAACUUUGACCUUGGGCCCACCAACACUUUCAAUUUCACGUGCAGCUUCUUUUUUUUUUUCUUUCAUUGGCUAAAAAGGAACUAAACUUGUGUGUGCUGGGCCCCACGAGGAUAACAACUUUCAGCAAGAAUUUCGAGGAAGCAUUUCGUAUCCUCUUCCACUGGGCCCCAUGAUCAACUUCUUUUCUUCUACGUGCGAUUUAUAAUCCAUUUGGAAAAAAUUUUAUCGACAAAUUUGAUUUAUCCGAAUUCAAAAUCGAGACAUUAAUUUAACAGUAUCCAAGAUAAGUGCACUGCCGUUUUUGACAGCCUGCCUUAACAGUAAAAGCACUUGUUCUGAGCAAGGUGGCAUUGACCUAGUGGGUUGAACUUGAUCAGGCAAAGCUUUUGAAACAUCGUGCAGUUUUUCUGUUUCUACCAUGGUCUCGGAUUCUUCCGCAGCAACAUCGGGCAUAGCAGCAGCUGCAUUGAUGCUCUUUGCGUCUUCUGAUUCUUCUGCUUCACUGCUUUUGCCGCCUACAGUGAUUUUAUUCCCAUAUACCUCGUCACAAAACAAUCUCAACUUCAAAUAACUUCUUCAUAAGUUCAUCGUCUAAACCGCAUGCUCCAAACUCAGCAAAGAAAAACAACAAAAGAUUAUCCAGCUUCAGUCAAUUCCACUAAGGUCAAGGACGGCAAGCACCAACGAAUGACGACGAACAGUAGAGAUAUUAUAGAAUAAGCACCAUAAAUUUUUUUUUCUUCAUGCAAAACGAAAACAGAAAGUUGAAAGUAAACGUUGGAAGAAGACCACAUCUCCACCUGACUUUCGUGCAUUUCUCAAAUUAACAAACAACGUCUCUCUCUCUCUCUCUCUCUCUCUCAAAAAAAAAAACUUUGCUUAUUUAUCUCGAUCGUCCAAGAGAAGACUCAUGUUGGACGGCACAAGUAGGAUAUCAGCCGUCGCUUGUAUUUGACCUAGAUUUAGCCUUUUGAAACAUCCUUCGGCAGGGGGUUAAAUUAUCACUGGAGAAAGAGUUGGAACGUCUCCGCGAACGCAUCUCCGGGGAAGAAGGCAGGAGUAGGGGCAGUUGUAAUGUGGUUUGUUGACGUCGGCGGGGGAACGGCAUCUUGACGAACGCCGGAACAAACGCUGGAGUAGCAAUGCGAGCACAGAGAGAAGUGAGCGGCACUAGAGCAGGGGCGCCCGUAAUGUAGUUUGUUGGCAACGGCAAGGAACGGCCACUUGACGCACGGCGGAGUAGUGACGGGCAUAGAGAGAUUUUGGGAUUCAAAAUUUUGAAACCUCCCUCGGGUGAAAGAAUUCCUAGCUGCUGGAGAGUAACUGUGCGGAGCCUCUGCUUCUCUUUCCUUCGUUUGAAGAGGAAAGAGAAAAGUUUGUGCCAUAAUAAAUGCAUUGGAGAUGAGAGAGAAUGUGCAGGCUAUGCAGGUUAGGGGGAGAAUGGACGUGUGCAGGCUAGGAGAAGGUUAGCGAGAGGAGAAAGAAAGGAAAAAUGCAGAAGACAGCAAGGGGGCCCACACUUCCAUGUGGCAUCGCGUGAGUGGUUGGGGACCACGCUGACAUGGCGCUCUCAGACCACCCAAUAUCUUCUCCCCCUCACCCUACCUCCUGCGGCCCCCCUUCUUUGUCCUUUUAUCACUAUCUCUCUUCUCUCUCUCCCUCUCUUCAUUUCCUUCACCCCCCUCAGCCGAACUCUCUCUCUCUUUCUCUCUCUCUCUCUCUUCUCUUCUGGCUGCUGCUCACCACACCAGCACCACCGGUUGCCCACGCCCAACUCACCACCAUGCCACCUCUGUCCGUCGCUUGGAACCGCGUUGUUCGCCGUCCUCACCGCCGAACCGCCAUCUCUACCAUCGAGCUUCAAGGGCUAUUGCGCCGUUCGUGUCGCUUGCUCGACGCCGCCGCUCGCUCGCCGUCGUAAGCCGCCGCUGCCGUCCCCAAGCCACCGUCGCUGCCUCUUGCCGUCGCUCACUCGGCUUGUAAACCCAGAGAUGAUUACAGAAUUAUUCUUUUAAUUCCCUUGACUCAAAGAGUCCAUUUGUUAAGCCGUUGACCAAGCCCAUGUUACAGUCCUUAUCAAAGACCUCUCAGAUUGGUAAGGUCGUACUGCUUACAAGAACAUUCGAACUCUUGUCGACAAGAUGAUGAUAAGAUUGAGUGAUAUAUUCCCGCAUCAAUGGUCGGGACAAAUAAUCCCUCCUAAAUGAGAGCAAGUGAAAAGCCUUUUCACACCAAAAAUGUCUCAUUUAACAUGUUCAAGAGAUUCACAGCUUAGUGAAAAUUGUCUUAAUGAUAAUUUUUCCCGGUGGAAGUUUGAAAAAGCCAUCAUGCAUGGACCUUCAUUGAAUUUAAAAAAAAAUGAAAUGAAUUUUUCCUCAAGACCAAAGGAUUUGUCUUUGAAGCCCUGAGUUUGUUCAGUUAUCUUUGAAUACUUGAUGAGAAUUCCAAGUACCCAUUUGUAAAAUGUUUUCAAAUGUCUAGUGUGAAUUCCAAAUAUUUGCACCUUUAAACGCUUGAUGUGACUUCCAAGUGUUUGUCUUUUCAAACAUCUGAUGUGAUUUCUAGAUGUUUAGUAAAUGUUUUCAAAUGUCUGACAUAAGAAUAAGAUUUUUGAAAUUUCAAGUACUUGAUGCAAUUUCCAGGUGCUUGGAAUCUGAUGAGAGUUCCAUAUCCCCAAAGACUUUGAACCUUUCAAUUAUCUAAAGAGAGUUCCAGAUGUUUGUUAGCUCUCAUAAGAAUCAUUUCACAAGUACGACAGGUACAUGUUCUUCUUUACAUUCGCAUUGGGCAUAGACACAUUGAGAUCUAUGUUCCUGACCAAAUUGUUGCAUUUACAUGGCAUUCUUUAUUGCAUGACCUUGCAUUUCAAAAGGGAAUUAAUUAAUUUGAGUCCAUUUCUUACCAAAAAAAAAAGUCAUUACAAUUAACAUUUGCAUAAUCAUUUCAUAUUCAUUUUGCAUGGUUUAAGUUUAGGUGUCAUUUAUCUUUGAAGGAAAUCUCUACGAGCUUCCCUUCAAAGAGGGGCAGCUGUUGACACCUAAUAUUUUAGAAAGUAAUAAAUAAAAUAAAACAUUUGGUUUUGAAAAUCUUUGUUGUUGAAAAUAUAUCCUCAUUUAAAAAUUCAAAAAAAUUAGUUGUUGUGUGAUUUUGGAGCCAUUUUUUUUUGUUAAGUGGUUGAGUGAAUAUCUCACUUGCAAAAACAGCUUUGAGUUUUAGAAAAAAAUUCAACAGAAAGAAAAAAAAGAAGAAAGCUCUCCCUUUGGCUUUUCCGUUCGAAAGGGAAAGGCUUUUGGGGAAAAGGAGAAAAGUACACAGCAGUAGAGAGAGAGAGAGAGGGAUACCAGUGAGGAGACGUUUGACAAGAGAAAAAAAAGAAGUGAAAACAGAAGAGGAACCGGUCUUCUUCUUCCUCGGCUGCAUGACCUCACGCGUACGACGACGUCUCUCUGCUGCUGCUGUCUGUUCACUCCGCACCAACCACCGCAGUAGCAACCUGAGCCGCCGAUCGCUGCUGUUCCGGUGUCUCUGCGCCACUUGCGUCCGGUCACUGGUUCUCCGCCGGCUUCUGCUCCGUCUUUCCAGAAGCCUCCUGCAGCCGUGACACACAACGACCACCAGGCGUUGCUCACCGGCCCUGACGCCUGCCGUUGCUGUUCCCGUGCCGCCGUGCCGUCGCCCCUGCAGUAGCUCGCGCCUUCGCCCAGUGCCCAACGUAGCCCCUGCCUUCGUUAGAGAUCUAUUCCUGCUCAGCCCAAUGUCCCAACGUUGCUGUUGCUCCCACUCCGACUGACCUGUGACACCACCGAAAGCUAAGCUGCUGCACGCCCAAGCGACGCCCCCUGCUGCCGAGUUUUCCUAUUCUGCGCCCCACUUCACCUGCAACGCCCGUAGUAGCCGCUCACCGAGCCGCUCGCCCUCUGCUGCUCCUGCACCAGCGACGGUUGCUGCUUUGUCGUUGCUGGUUCGGGCUUGUUACCUCUCAUUGGAGCUCCGACGGAUAACCUCCCACUCCGACCACCAGGACCUAUCACCCUUGGUGAACCACCAUCGCAGGCAACCACUUGUACCGGCGUCACGCCUAGAGAAAGCCGUACCCUGGAAUAGGUAAAAUUUUUAGGCUAAAUUUAGUUCGAGUAUUCGGACUCAUAGUUUUUUAUUCUAAUUUGAUUUGUUUUGAUUUAUUUUUAUCAUUGUCCGAUAGGGAAUUUGUCAUAUUAAGUCAUAAUAAUAAAAAAUAUUGAGCCGCGAGACAUCGGGUUAGAUUUUUGAUUAUUUCGACUUUUUAUGGCAAAUUCAUGAAUUGCUUUGCAUAAUUGAUUCGCAUUAAGAUAAUAUGUCAUUGAUUUACAUUGGUGGAUUUUCAAUAGGACAUAUAUUUUGGUGCGUUAUCGUUAUCUACUCAUCACAUAUCAUGCAUCAUAUGUCAUAUCUAGGAUUUAGGUACUUAGGUCCAUACACAUUUCAUGUUUAAAGCAGCGCAUUUUGAUUUUUAAGAUUCAUAUAGAAUCAGGAUAAUUUUCCUUUAAUAAAACCAAAACUAAAAAAAAGGUACAAAAAAUGUUAUUUGGGUCAUAUAGAUUUCAUAAUAUGCACACCACAUAUUGCGCUUUAGUUAGUGGGUCAUAGUUUAAUGUUUUAGUAUUUUAAUCGUGCAGUUUUUUUUUUAAUAAAAAAAAAGAGCCAGAGAUUAGCAUUGCAUCAUCAUGUUGCUUUCUUUUUAAUAAAAAUUGCUAAGUCAUUUAAAAAAAAAAAAGAAAACACAAAGGUCAUUUACCUAGUUGGUCAAUAAAGUUAAUUCAUAAUUAAUCUCAUUUUAUGUCAUCAUUGUUUAGUGUAGGUUGCAUAUAUGUAUUAAAAAAAUCAUUAACCAAAUCAUAAAAAGAACAUGUAUAUAUAAUUGUCAUGUCAUUCAUCCCUUGUCAUGAAGCACAUGCAUAUUUAGGAUUAUAUAAAUUAGAUUGCACACAUAUUGUAAUGAUUCAAAUUAUGUCACAUGGAUUGCAUCUCACAUGUCAUUAAAGUAAAACUCAUGCAUAUCAAAUUUAAAUUAAGAUUGCAUAUAAUUAACUUUUUUUAAAGAAAAAGAAAAAUUAGGUGUCAUGUCAUUUAGAAAUCAUAUUUAGGGCAUGCAUUUUUAUUAGCAUUUUUGUAAGUUUUCUUUAGAGAAUGGACCUUAAUGAAGUUGGAGUUUAUAAUUUCUUACAAUUUAUCACUUCGGUUGAUUGAAUGUUAUUUUACUGAUUGUGCACCCGCAUGACCACCAUUUGCAUGUUAGUAGCUUAUGUUAAAAUUAAUCAAGACUGCCUGCAAAAUAUUUUUGAAAUUAAAAUGACAAGGUACCGAAAGGGCGUUAGAUUUUUCUAGUGUAACCAUGUCCCCGGACCUAUUAAAUCUCUGGUUCACAAAAGUAAAGUAUUCUCUCGUACUUUACUUGGGUUUCUAACCAACUCUAAUUGGUUAGUUGCGGCUCCAAAUUGAGUAUAAUUGCAUGUUUAAAUGAGUUAAUUUCUUAGUAUCAAGUCACGAUUGGUAGGACUUGAGAGGGUCCGUUCCAAGUCUUCGGAUUUAGUAAUCCAAUAGCCUUCUUUGAGUAAUUCACCCUCGGGAAGGUCGCGACAGCUUGUCAACUCCAUUGGGGAUAGAGUUAAAACUUAUAGUGGACAUAGGCAUGUUUCUUUUAAAAAAAAAUAUUUUGUUUGGCAGCAUGGAAACGAGGUACGCUCCUAACAUGAAAUGUUAAAUGUUUUUACAGAAAGGAGGUAUAAGGGGAGUAGUGCUUGCUGACUCUUUGUUUUGUAGGAAGGUGUUGGUAUUAAAUGUUUUUCUGAUCAUUGAAGUGUUGCUUGCAUUAUAGAUUGUUGUGCAUGAUUUUCAAAUUAUUUUAGCACUACACAUUGCACACACAACCUGCUGUCGAACUUGGACCGCAUUUAGGGAUUCCAGGAUGGUGUUAAGAAAUGAACCAACCUUGAAUGCGAGACCGUAAUGUAGAGGUUGCCUUUCUCAACCCCGAAAUUUUUUCUUGGUGUCAAAAUGUUUAUCCUUGUCCGCGAGAUUGCGUGAUCAUGGGAUUUUCCUUUUGACCGAGCCAGAGUUAAGAGGACCCGACAUUUGUACGUGAGACUGUGACUAGUCGGCCCAUCCUUUUGGCUCUAACUUGCUAAGCCUUGUAGUUUAGGUGUUAAGCCUCACAUCUCAUGCGCCUGUCUAUGUGGUUGCCAUUUUCCUUUGUGAAGUAAGUAUUCUUACCUUAUAUUAUGCAAUCUAUUUACUUUAUCGCACUUUCUUUUGGUCCAUGACAAAAGGUCGAUCGUGAGUUUUAAUCUAUAUACAAUGGAGAGAUCCGAUGUUCAAUUCAUUCCAACUCCCAAGAUUGAGCUCAGAGGGUGGUGGAACAAAUUAAGUAAAGAAGGUCAGGAUUAUGUGGAGUCGAUAUUGGGACGGUUCAUCACCCUUUUGGAUAUUGAAGUCCAUAGUGGUGUUUUGCAAGCUAUGUCACACUUUUGGUGUCCCGAGACAACUACUUUUAUUUUUGGUAAAAACGAGUUUACUCCAACACUGGAAGAGUAUAGCGUUAUCAUAGGAAUGCCCCUUGAGAUUGAACUUGUUAGGUCACCUCUUGGUAUGGAACCCACAUCAAUUUUAUCUCAGUUUCUAAGAAUUAAAAUUGAUGAGGUUAACCACCGCCUGCGGUGGCCUAGUUGGAUAAGAGCUCCCAUGACGUCUACCUAGGACAGAGGAGUUCGAAUCCCGCGGGACGCACAGGAUCUCAAGCGCGACGUCGGGGUGGUGGGUCCUCCGCUAGCAUCGCCCCAGGGUUUACCCGCCGGCUGCCGGCUGUACGGGGUUCCUUGGGUAUAAAAAAAAUAAAAAAAUAAAAAAUUGAUGAGGUUAACCACCGCCCGCAACGGCAUAGAUGGCUCGGGCUCUCUCCCCCUCACGAAGGGAGAAGUUCGAAUCCUAGAGCGUUGUUAGGGAUUCUUACCUGGAGUACUGUAGUGGUGGGUCAUGUAGUCGCUCCCCCAGGGUUUGCUCUCGCUGUCGGCUUACGGGAUUUCCUGGUUACCAAAAAAAAAAAAAAUUGAUAAGGUUAAGAAAGUUUUGAAAGCUAAUUGUAAUCCAUGCCCUUUCUCCUUUUUGGCUGAUCAUUGUUUAAAUCAAUCUUCAUGCGCCAAAAGGGUAGGAUAUUCAUCUUAGCAUUCUUUGGACUUAUAAUCUUUCCUCAUCGAAGAAAUGCUAUUGAUCCUUCGAUUGCAUGGGCGGUCAGACAAGUAUGUGCUGGCAUGAACUUUAUAAACAUGAUUUUAGCUGAGACAUUUUUAUCCCUCAACUGUUUUAAACAAAAUGGAGAAAAAAUCAUGAAUGCCUCUCCUGAACUUUUACAAAUUUGGUUUCUUUCUCACAUGAAUGAGUUUGGUCAUUUCAUGCGUUGAGGUGAAAUUGAUGAUUCUAAUUACCUAAUAAAGAGAUUUUCAAUCUUAGAGAAAAAGUAUACCGGAAAAUCAUUUUCCGAUUGGGUGACUUUUCUAAAAUUUUCAGAUCUCAAGGGCUUCCUAUGGUAUGCUAAAUGGUUCCAUGUUAGCGUGACUUGUUUAUCUCACAAGACAGAUAAUCCAAUUCCACUGAUGGGAAUUGCUGGUGUGACAUCUUACUAUCCUUAUAGAGUGGCCCGCUAGUAUCGAGUGCUCCAAGAUAUCCCACCUCCUCUUCGAGUGGAUUUGUUUCAAGCCCGCUUCAUGCCCAAGGAUCACAAAUACCUCAAUGAGAUCGAACGCCUUGAAAAUGCAUGAAAGGAAUGCCAUCCGGAAAAGAUAGUGGUGCCUAGAAGAUUGAAAGGAAAAGAGAGGGUUUUUCAUGCCUCGAAUUAUUAUAUCCACCAUCAUGAGAUCCCUUAAGCUCUACUUCUCGUGAUACCUGAAGUGACCAUGAAGCCCACUCGUAAAGCACAAAUUGAACGUCUUGAAGAAACGGUGGAAAGGAAGGAGGCUUGUAUCUCUGAGUUGGUUCGGCAGAACAAGAAGCUUCGAAAGACUGUGAUCUCCCAAUUGUAUAUGGAAAAGAGUCGCUAGAUUUAGGAGUUUAAUUCUGGCUUUAGGGUGUUAUUUCAAUUUCUUAUAUUGAUGUUUUAGGAAUUUAAUUUCCUAGGGAGUUAUUUUAACGUUUUAAGUUGAUGUUUUUGGACUUUGAUUUCACUUAAUAAAAUAAACGAUUGAUCAUUGUCAUGGACCAGUCUCAUUUGUUAUAAUGCUUACUGUAUUUUUUUACAUUGAUAGGUAACAUCACGGCUCACCCAAGAUCGCCAAUCCGUACUCGUUCUAGAGCAACAAUGGCUGAUAACACCGAACAAAUGCGUGUUGUUGAAUAAGCUCGUGUCGCUGCCCUCGAAUCAAAGAUGAAGCAAGUCCUGAAUGUUCUUGAGCAGCUCUCUAAACAAAUUGAUUCUCUCCAAGCAAACACUGCCCCACCAGCUCCGCAAGUUGAAGUGGUGUUACCACAACAUGCUCCCAUGGCUGAUCCGAGAGAUAAAGGCAAUAAUACGUCCGCAGUUGGGCCAUCAAUCUCUAAUGAUCCCUCCAGGGUUAAAAUUACUGACGCGCCUCAAAUUGUUGUUGAUGAUGAGGUACAAAUGAUACAUUUAGUUGUACCGAAAACUAAGUAAGAAAUACGCUUGAUAAAAAUCGAGGAGAAACUUAAGCAGCUGCAAGGUUCAUUUAGCCAAGACCCAACUGAUCUGUCCCAUUAUGCAAAGAUCAAGAUGCCAAAGAAGUUCAAAAUGCCAAACUUUGAAAAGUAUGAUGGCGCCUCUUGCCUGAAGAUCCAUCUACAGACUUAUGUGGUCAGGAUGACCCAAUAUGUUGAUAACAUACCCUUGAUGAUUCAACAAUUUCAAGCAAGCCUAACAGGAUCGGCGCUGCAAUGGUACAUUAUGAAGAAAAUUAAUUUCCUAGAGACUUGGGAGGAUUUGACUGAUGCCUUCUUCAAGCAAUAUAAGUAUAAUAUUGAUGUCACUCCAUCUCGAGAAGAUUUACUUCGCACUGAGAAGAAGAAGGCGGAAUCUUUCAAGACAUAUGUCACGAGAUGGAGGACUCUAGCUGCUCAAAUUACUCCGGAGCCGAUAGAAAAGGAGCUGAUGGAUUUGUUCAUGAAGACACUCUCGCCUGAGUAUCAAAAUCGAAUGCUGGGUUCGACUGUCAAGUCAUUCAAUCAGCUAAUCCCUAUUGGCGAGCGAAUUGAAGUAGCAUUGCGUGAUGAAUGGGCGUCUGAUCAAACCAGCUUGUAUGGGAGAGUCUUAACCAAGAAGGAUAAGGAACCUGUAGCGGAGGUUAAUGCAGUUUAUGUUCAACCACCUUGCCCUACCCCAAACACCCAACAGGGAGGAGCACGACCAUUCUUUGACUAGCAGAAAAAUUCUUCCAGGCGUCAAUUUACACCACUUCCUAAGCCUUUGUCUAAGAUCUUGCCGACCCUUCAAAAGAAAGGAUUACUCGCUAAGGAACCUGAGCAACCUACUCUCGAGCGUUUCCCCAACUAUGAUCCGUCCAAGACAUGUGCUUACCAUAUGGGGGAGGUAGGGCAUUCUGUUGAUGAUUGCUAUACGUUGCGACACAAAAUCCAAUUUUUUUUGGAUGCCAACGUGGUCUCAUUCCGCGAUGCACAUCCAAACAUCCAUAAUAACUCACUCCCUGACCACCCAGAAGCUGUGAAUGCCAUUUUCAGUUUUGAUGCUAGUAGAAAGAAGAGCUUGAAAGUGCAUGUAGACAAUGUUUAUAAUGGCUUAGUUCGAGCUAGAUAUUAUUUAGAUGCAAAAGAGCCCACCAUGUUUCAGAUGAUGCAUAAGGAAGAAGGGGCGAUCGAUACUUGUGUUCAAUACUCCAAGCCUCUAGGUGCUGACGUCGAUGUUAUUCCUCUAGGAUGGGGAGACAAGUCGGUUGCAGACACCACUCGAUCCAUUGGAAAAGACGACGCACUCGAAGGAAUGACUGAAUUGUUCGAAGAGAAUUUAGUGUUUGCCAUCGACGAAGCUCGAGAAUAGGAGAAUUCUAAUUAUAUGCACAUUCCUCUACGCAGGAGUUUUUUUUGCUUUCCUUAUUUUGCAUGUUAGGAUUUUCAUUUCUAGGAUUUCUCUCAUUUCAGUAAUGUAAUUUGCUUUUCAUUCAAUAAAAUACAUGGAGAUUUUUCAUGUUUUAAGGGCAUGUUGAAGUAUACCAAACUAGCCCUGUGAUGAAAUCCUACCAAAAGAAAACGGCAAUGAGCUAAUUCUGAUGGCUGGGCUUCUUCAUGUUCCCUUUAAUAUUUUUUCAAAGUAAAAUAAUUUUCCAGCAUGCAUCUAAUUUACCCUAUUCGUUUCUUUUAAUUCUCUACUUUAUGUUUCAAGUGCAACCCUCCGCACAUUUGCUUCAAUUAAGAUGAAGCGUUAGGUCCAAGUUGUGAGGAGCAAGAUGAUUCAACGGAUAUUCAACGUAGUUGGAAGUGACAAAAAAAUUCGAAACCAAUCACUGUUGGGUAGACUAUAACCAUAAAUCUUAGUGACAUAGAAGGCACCAAGGAGGUCAAAAUUGGGGCUCACUCAAAGUUGAUCAUAUCUCUAGUGUAUAAUGAUGCAUGUUUUAUUUUUGCAGGGGCAAAGAACAGAUGUGAAUGACAAUGUCUUCUAUUAUUGUAAGGAACCUCUAUGAGCUCCCUUGCAAAGAAGGGCAAGACACGGACACUUAAUAACUUUGACUUUAUGAUCCGAGGUGCAAGAAUAGAACGUGGCCUCUUUAUCAUUAUAGAAUGCUUUCACAUGAUGCUGUGCAAUUCAUGAAUUCCACUCGAAAUUUAUCAAAAUGGACAAUUUAGUGAAGGAUGUCGAGUUACUUGAACAUGCUAAAUGAGGCGUGAAAGGCAAGCCUUACCCCAUACACAGUCCAUUGUCUAUACAUUGUGAGGUGAGUAUGGAAACAUUUUGUGUUUCAAGGUGAAGAGUUUUCUUGCAAAAAGUACAACAACUAAAAUGACGAGGGGCAGUUCAUUUCUCUACUAGUGAACCCUUUUUUAACCCUUCUUUGAGCCUAAAUACUUGAAGAAUUUCUUUCAUACUACCCUUGUCAAGGACCACCCCACAUCGGGGCAAAUGGAGGUAAGUAGACAUUGAAGGAGAGGGAAAUGGAUAGAAAUUCUCUUGCUCUCACUUGCAUCAAUCUUCAAGUUAUGCUAUUACAUUGAAUUCAUGUGGUAAUUUAAGUGCCUUAGGAUGAUGAAGAGCAUUUCUUUUGCUAUCCUAUAUAGUUAUAUUCUUUGCAUAGCCCACUCGAGCUUAUAAUUUCAUUUCUUUAAACCUAGUUGGUGAUCAUUCCCCACACUAGGGCAAGACAAGCAAAAAAAAUUCAAAUAGCAUGGCUUAGAAUGCUGAUGAAAGAUGGGGGCUGAGUGAGUCCAAAGAAAGUAAGUGCAAAAAAAUAAGGGGCAUGAAAAAACAGUGUGCCUGGUAAAAGCAAGGCCAAUGCCCAAAGAGAAAAAUCAAACACUUAAUGUAGUGAGUCGUAUCCCCAACAAGGCGAUACUAAAAAAAUUAAAUGUUGUUGCAAUCAAUGGAGUUGUGAUAUGAAGAAAAUCUUCAAAGGUGGAAAAAGAAAACUGGUGGUAAUGUCAAGAUGAUCACCAACUCUCACCCUUUACACACAUUUUGAGCCUAACGAUCAUUUCGUUUCUCAGCCCAUGAACCUAGCCUAUGUUACGUCCCUUACAAAGUCUCUUCAUAUUAGGACAUUUGAAUUAACAUGAGAGUUAACAUGUUUAUAAGCAUCGCUCGAAGAAGUGCGGGCAAGAUUAUUUCUUUCUCAUUUUGCAGGGUUCUUGACUUGUAAACCUGGAGAUGAUUACAGAAUUAUUCUUUCAAUUCCCUUGACUCAAAGAGUCCAUUUGUUAAGCCGUUGACCAAGCCCACGUUACAAUCCCUGUCAAAGACCUCUUAGAUUGGUAAGGUCGUACCGCUUGCAAAAAAAUUCGAACUCUUGUCGACAAGAUGAUGAUAAGAUUGAGUGAUAUAUUCCCGCAUCAAUGGUCAUGACUAAUAAUCUCUCCUAAAUGAGAGCAAGUGAAAAGCCCUUUCACACCAAAAAUGUCUCAUUUAGCAUGUUCAAUAAAUUCACAGCUUAGUGAAAAUUGUCUUAAUGAUAAUUUUUCCAGGUGGAAGUUUGAAAAAGCCAUUAUGCAUGGACCUUCAUUGAAUUUAAAAAAAAUGAAAUGAAUUUUUCCUCAAAGACCAAAGGAUUUGUCUUUGAAGCCCUGAGUUUGUUUAGUCAUCUUUGAAUACUUGAUGAGAAUUCCAAGUACCCAUUUAUAAAAUGUUUUCAAAUGUCUAGUGUGAAUUCCAAAUAUUUGAACCUUUAAACACUUGAUGUGACUUCCAAGUGUUUGUCUUUUCAAACAUCUUAUGUGAUUUCCAGAUGUUUAGUAAAUGUUUUCAAAUGUCUGACAUAAGAAUAAGAUUUUUGAAAUUUCAAGUACUUGAUGCAAUUUCCAGGUGCUUGGAAUCUGAUGAGAGUUCCAUAUCCCCGAAGACUUUGAACCUUUCAAUUAUCUGAAGAGAGUUCCAGAUGUUUGUUAGGUCUCAUAAGAAUCAUUUCACAAGUACGACAGGUACAUGUUCUUCUUUGCAUUCGCAUUGGGCAUAGACACAUUGAGAUCGAUGUUCCUGACCAAAUUAUUGCAUUUACAUGGCAUUCUUUAUUGCAUGACCUUGCAUUUCAAAAGGGAUUAAAUUUAUAUGAGUCCAUUUCUUACCCAUAAAAAAAAGUCAUUACAAUUAACAUUUGCAUAUUUAUUUCAUAUUCAUUUUGCAUGGUUUAAGUUUAGGUGUCAUUUAUCUUUGAAGGAAAUCUCUACGAGCUUCCCUUCAAAGAGGGAUAGCUGUUGACACCUAAUAUUUUAGAAAGUAAUAAAUAAAAUAAAACAUUUGGUUUUGAAAAUCUUUGUUGUUGAAAAUAUAUCCUCAUUUCAAAAUUCAAAAAAAUUACUUGUGUGAUUUUGGAGCCAUUCUUUUUGUUAAGUGGUUGAGUGAAUAUCUCACUUGCAAAAACAGCUUUGAGUUUUCCUAUAUAAAUAUAGGAUGCGGGGCUUCUCUCGGUUUUUGGGAGGUCAAGAAAAAAAUUCAACAAAAAGAAAAAAAAGAAGAAAGCUCUCCCUUUGUCUUUUUCGUUCGAAAGGGAAAGGCUUUUGGGGAAAAGGAGAAAAGUACACAGUAGUAGAGAGAGAGAGAGAGAGGGAUACCAGUGAGGAGACGUCUGAAAAGAGAGAAAAAAAAUGUGAAAACAGAAGAGGAACUGGUCUUCUUCCUCGGCUGCACGACCUCACGUGUACGAUGACGUCUCUCCGCCGCUGCUGUCUGUUCACUUCGCACCAGCCGCCGCAGUAGCAACCUGAGCCACCGGUCGCCGCCGUUCCGGCGUCUAUGCGCCACUUGCGUCCAGUCACUGGUUCUCCGCCAGCCUCUGCUCCGUCUUGCCAGAAGCCUCCAACAGCCGCGACGCACAACGACCACCAGGCGUUGCUCACUGGCCCUGACGCCUGCCGUUGCUGUUCCCUCGCUGCCACGCCGUCGCCCUUGCAGUAGCUCGUGCCUUCGCCCAGUGCCCAACGUUGCCCCUGCAGUAGCUCGCGCCUUCGCCCAGUGCCCAACGUAGCCCCUGCCUUCGUCGGAGAUCUGCUCCUGCUUGGCCCAGCGUCCUAACGUCACUGUUGCUCCCACUCCGACUGACCUGUGACACCACCGAAAGCUAAGCUGCUGCACGCCCGAGCGACGCCCCCUGCUGCCGAGUCUUCCUCUUCCGUACCUCGCUUCACCUGCAACGCCCGUAGCAGCCGCUUAUCGAGCCGCCCGCCCUCUGCUGCUCCUGCACCAGCGACGGUUGCUGCUUUGCCGUUGCUGGUUCGGGCUUGUUACCUCUCACCGGAGCUCCGACGGAUAACCUCCCACUCCGGCCACCAGGACCCAUCACCCUUGGUGAACCACCAUCGCAGGCAACCACUUGUGCCGGCGUCACCCCUAGAGAAAGCUGUAUCCUGGAAUAGGUAAAAUUUUUAGGCUAAAUUUAGUUCGAGUAUUCGGACUCAUAGUUUUUUAUUCUAACUUGAUUUGUUUUGAUUUAUUUUUAUCAUUAUCCGAUAGGGAAUUUGUCAUAUUAAGUCAUAAUAAUAAAAAAUAUUGAGCCGCGAGACGUCGGGUUAGAUUUUUGAUUAUUUCGACUUUUAAUGGCAAAUUCAUGAAUUGCUUUGCAUAACUGAUUCGCAUUAAGAUAAUAUGUCAUUGAUUUACAUUAGUGGAUUUUCAAUAGGAUAUAUAUUUUGGUGCGUUAUCAUUAUCUGCUCAUCACAUAUCAUGCAUCAUAUGUCAUAUCUAGGAUUUAGGUACUUAGGUCCAUACACAUUUCAUGUUUAAAGCAGCGCAUUUUGAUUUUUAAGAUUCAUAUAGGAUUAGGAUAAUUUUCCUUUAAUAAGACCAAAACUAAAAAAAGGAACAAAAAAUGUUAUUUGGGUCAUAUAGAUUUCAUAAUAUGCACACCACAUAUUGCGCUUUAUUUAGUGGGUUAUAGUUUAAUGUUUUAGUAUUUCCAUCGUGUAGCUUUUUUUUUUAAUAAUAAAAAAAGAGCCAAAGAUUAGCAUUGCAUCAUCAUGUUGCUUUCUUUUUAAUAAAAAUUUCUAAGUCAUUUAAAAAAAAAAAGGAAAACACAAAGGUCAUUUACCUGGUUGGUCAAUAAAGUUAAUUCAUAAUUAAUCUCAUUUUAUGUCAUCAUUGUUUAGUGUAGGUUGCAUAUAUGUAUUAAAAAAAUCAUUAAAAAAUCAUAAAAAGAACAUGUAUAUAGAAUUGUCAUGUCAUUCAUCCCAUGUCAUGAAGCACAUGCAUGUUUAGGAUUAUAUAAAUUAGAUUGCACACAUAUUGUAAUGACAAAUUUUGUCACAUGAAUUGCAUCUCACAUGUCAUUAAAGUAAAACUCACGCAUAUCAAAUUUAAAUUAAGAUUGCAUAUAAUUAGCAUCUUUUAAAGAAAAAGAAAAAUUAGGUGUCAUGUCAUUUAGAAAUCAUGUUUAGGGCAUGCAUUUUUAUUAGCAUUUUUGUAAGUUUUUCUUUAGAGAAUGGACCUUAAUGAAGUUGUAGUUUAUAAUUUCUUACAAUUUAUCACUUCGGUUGAUUGAAUGUUAUUUUACUGAUUGUGCACCUGCAUUACCACCCUUUGCAUGUUAGUAGCUUAGGUUAAAAUUAAUCCAGACUGCCUGCAAAAUAUUUUUGAAAUUAAAAUGAGAAGGUACCGAAAGGGCGUUAGAUUUUUCUAGCGUAACCAUGUUCCCAGACCUAUUGAAUCUCUAGUUCGCAAAAGUAAAGUAUUCUCUCAUACUUUACUUGGGUUUCUAACCAACCCUAAUUGGUUAGUGGCGGCUCCAAAUUGAGUAUAAUUGCAUGUUUAGAUGAGUUAAUUUCUUAGUAUCAAGUCACGAUUAGUAGGACUUGGGAGGGUCCGUGCCAAGUCUUCGGACUUAGUAAUCCAAUAGCAUUCUUUGAGUAAUUCACCCUUGGGAAGGCCGCGACAAUUAGCUUAAUUAAUUGUUAUUAGUGUAAUUAAUGACGGAUUAGUUGUUAAUUAGAAUUUUAUGCCCGUUUUUCCGGGUGAGAUUGUGCGUAAUUCCGAUUGUUUACAUGUGCAAUGCCAUGAUGUUGAUUGCCCAUAUAAUGUAUUUUAAAUGCUAUUUUUCAAAGAUGGUUUAUUGGUGAGAAAAUAGCAAACUUUGAGGUGUCGUGUUUGGACGGUCUUUUACGUGAUAAAAGGGGCAAUGAUGUUUUAAAAUGAAAGUGUGCAAAGUUUGAUGUGUUGAUUUUAAAUACGUGACCACAUGCGGUUAUUUUAUUGAAAUUUUAAACGUAAGGAUUUUUCGAGGUUUGUUAUUUAAGCACGGACUCUUUUACACCGGGCUAAUUGAUGGAAGAUAAAAAUUGGCUUGAGUGUUGGCAUGCUUUUGUGGUCAUUUAAUUGAACCCGUCACCUAACGGGAGUUUGGGGACGAUGCCCGAUGUUUAUCAGAUGCCCGGGAGGGAUCCGGAUGCCGAGUCGCGGUUGAGGUCGGACCGAUUUUCCUUUAUGGAAUGCCGUCUAGGCGGGGGUUAUAGACGUUGAUGUGCCCGAUGGGGCGGGACGAUGCCCGGUCAUGCCGGAAGACCGCAGACUCGUGUGUUGGCCGAGGCCCGAGGGGUCGUAAUAAUUGGAACACAUGUGAAUGAUUGUGAUGUAUUGUGCUUGAUUAUGAGGUAAAACUGUUAGGCAUGAUAUGGGACGUGCCAAAACGGGUUUUACCUCAUAAUCGGGACUUGUGUGGAUGCUUAGUGCAUGAGAGUUAUGUGUUCUGAUUAUUGAUUAUGCUCGUUGUAUUGACGUGCUAAUGUGCAGGGUUGUGCCAAGGUGAGGUAAGAUUGUAUGCUGUUGCAUGAUUAGGCUGCCUCCGAGGCGAAUUUGGGUCCUAAUCGAGGUUUAGGAAGUUGUCUUGCUGAGAUUUAUAUCUCACCCUAUUGUUGUUAACCAUUUUCAGGGCUGUAGCAUGGAGAUAUGCUAAGUGAGGAUGUGGUGGGCGCGAGAUGCGACACUUUUUGGCUAGCCCUGCCGUUAGUGAAGUUUAGAUUAACCCUAAUCCCUGAAGGUUUUUGAGAGGGUCGAUAGGAAGUGGCCGUAGAAAGGCUUAUAAUUAUUAAACUUCCUAAGGGUAACGGUGAAUAAAUAAAAAUAUUGUUUUCGGCAAUAUUUACUGUGUUUUACUAUCCCUAUUGUUUAUUUAUUGACCAGGUGUUUAUUUAAGUCGCUUCCGCAUGUAUUUAAUCAAAAGAUAAAAAAAAAAGGGUUGGCGAUGUGUCCUGAGAUGUCGCAAUUUAAUCGACCACCGAGUGAUGUUCGCGCACUCGGGAUUUGGGGUAUGGCAACAAGCAUGUGGAAACUUGCCAAGCGAAGCACAAGCAUGGGGAAAUGUGUGGUGGAGGGUUCACCGUUUGUUUCCUAAGCUAACGGUACGGUUAGCUAAUAAUUUCCCAUGUGCAUAUUUAAGUCAUAGAGAGAAAGAGAAAAGGAAAGAGGGGGGGGGGGGGGAGGAAGGAGCGAGGAAACAGCAAUAAUGUGGAGGAACAUGGAGUACGACGAACAAAAGAACACAAAUAAACUUCAUCACAUUGUUGUAGAUGGUUCUAGAUGGAUAUUUGACGAAGUAUCAUUAAUAUAAUCUUAUGAUAAGAAUAACUCAAAACAGAUCUUGAUAGAUAUGACCAAUCAUAGUUAAAAAUGUUCUAAAGUUCUAUAAUUUUUAAAUAAUCACACCAUAACUAUUACAUCAAACAAAGCAACGACUAAAAAGAGAUCACAAUAGGUUGAAGGUCUCCCUUAUUGGGGCAUUAUCAUUAUCGAGGAGUGGAAAGUUUGGAAAAUGAUAAAUCAAGGACAUGGCAUGAAUGUGAUAACAGUUUAUAGUGGGAUAAUUAUUAAAAAAGAAAGAAAGAAGAAGCCCCAAAUCUAUUGCCCGAAUAUCGAUACUAAAAUCAUUCAAUUUAGCCAAUUGAGUUUUUUUUGACAAUUUGCCAAUGUAGUAAUUCCGGCUAAUUUUAGUUGGCAAUCGCAAACAUAGAAAAAUUAAUUUAUAAUUUUUCUAAAAUUUUGAACUUUUUUCUUUUCUUUUUCCUCCCUGAUCACCAUUGCUAGUGAUUGACCAUAGAGGAGGGUUGGCAAGGGUUGACCUCAUCAGCCUUGAGCUCUAGAGGCUCAACCUCACCAUCUGGCUAGGGCGAGCCUUGCCUAAGGCUGGUCGUAGGCCAUUGUUGAAGCUUGGUGGCCAGUAGAGGAAGAAUGAAAGAAAAGAAAAGGAAAAAUUCAAAAUAAUUAUAUAUUUUGAAAAAUUUGAAAAAUCAAAGAAAUUGUCUAUGUCAAUGCUGGCUGUAUUAUGUAGAAUAGCCAGUGUCCAAGUCAAUGAUUGCUGGCCAAAAUUUGCUAAGAGGACUAUAUUGCAAAUUGUUAACAUUUAGGUCAUAGUUGACCAAAUCAAAAGAUUUAAUAUUGAUUUAGCAUUUUUAUAAUACGUUUAGGAUUUUUUUUUAUUGUCAUUUUCUAGCUUAAGAUGGAGCAAGAUGAGAACGUGUUGCUGACUAGGGGUGAGCACCGUUCCCGGGUAGAACCAAGAACCGGAGAACCGCACUGGAGGGUCCGGUUCAAUUCCCAAUUCUAAAGAGAGAGGUUCCUGUGGCAUCCUGGAAUUUCAUAAAAGUCCCUAAAUAUGCCAUGAGCUAUGGAUAGGCAAUAGAAGUACCGCUAUUGUAUUUUGUAGCCUCCUAGUCCAUGAGUUGCAAUGAUAUGUAUGGCCAAGUCUUUAAUGGAUGAAUUUUGGGAAAGGAAGUUUUAUCUUUGGCCAUGUGUGUGUGAUAAAUUGGAACUUAUGGAAUUAUAAUUUCAAGUGUAUAGUUAUCUUAAUUUGUAAUUUAGUACUUCUAUUUAAUAUGAAUUUAAGUAGUUUUAAAAGGAUUGAUCUUGGGCUAAUUAAGCUUGGGUCUUAGGCCCAAGAUGGAUGGGCUUAAGGUGGGCCAAGCUGGCCGGCCCAAUAGAAGCCCACGGAGGGGCUGUCGCUGGCCCAAGUGAGGCCCAAGAAGGAGAGUGGCCGGCCCAUUGCAUGGGCCUUGCCAAGUGGCAAAGAGGCCUUCAUGCAUUGGCCAUUGGAAGUGGCAAGUAAUCAUUGCCAAUGAUGGAGAUUUGGGGGAAUAAAAGGAAGAGGAGGAGAGAGAGAGGCCGGUUGGUUCCGUCCAAGCCAAAGAGAGAGAGAGAGAGAGAGAGAGAGAGAGAGAGAGAGAGAGAGAGAGAGAGAGGGUUGCGAGAGAGAGAUGGGCGCCGAGAGGAGAGGAACCGAGGGGGAGGAGGAGCCGUUUGCCGCCCGUUUGCCGCCCGUUCGCCGCCGUGUGCUCGUUGCUAGCUCGGUUUAGAGGCAAGUUAGGAUCCUCUUACUACUCUUGCAUGUGUGUGUUGCAUGUAUGUUUGGAGUAGUGUCGAAUUUUGAGUGAUUAGGAGGGGGAAACCGAAGCUAGAAUGACUUGUUCUUGAGUGAUGUUGCUGUUUUCGCAUGAACCGCCUGAGCCAGAAUCUUGUGAGAGCUUGCAUGCAUGUUUUGAGUUCGAUUUUGACUUUGAUUCCUUCAUGAAAGUUGUAGCCAACAUCUUAAAAUACAACAUAAUAAAAUUUGGUACAAAAUGGUGGAUAUUUAAGGGGUCAAACUCUCAUCCUACGGAGACACUAGAUCUGGAACUGUUUUGCUGACCUUGUGGUAGAUUUGUGGUUGCAUGUUGAUUUUUAUCAAGAAUCUCUCUUCGACUUAUUCAUGAAAAUUGUAGAGAACAUAUUAAAGACUAACAUACUCAAAUUUCAAGUAAAAUGAACAAGUAUAGCUUAGUGAAUCGACUUACUCUUGAAGACGGUAAAUCUGGAGACAUGGUACUGGACACCCGAGAUUUCAUGGACCCAUAUGGUGACUGUUAUUUGGAAAUUUGACUUAGCUCCCUUCAUGAAAGUUGUAGGGGACCUCUUGAAGUAAAACAUAUCAAAAUUUCAGAGGAAACGAAGAAGAAUAAGUGGGUAAAAACUCGGUAUUUCGGAGAUGACUACACUGGACGUUUCGGUAUGAGAACCAGAAGCUUCGGACGACUAUAGGAAAUUAUCUAAAACGAAUCUGGCCUAGAAGUCUUCAUGAAAAAUAUACUUUAGUGUCUUAAAUAUAACGUGGUAAAAUUUCAUAAUUUUCGGAGGUCGUUCGGGUAUUUUAAUCGAAUUAUUUCAAAAACUGCACAUUCUGUUUUUAUCCGAAAUUGCCUGCUGUAUUUGUGUGAAUUAUAAUUUUUGUGUGGAACUCUAUUGGCCAUGUGUUUUUCAUGAAAUCAUUAUCUUAUUGUCUUGCCUAUCACAUGCCUUAAUUUCAUGAUUUUUGAGAAUCAUAUGGAUAUUUAAUUUAAAUAUUUUCAAAAAUGGUACAAGCUGGAAUUUAAAUCAAUUUCAAAAAGGCAUGAUAAAUGGACUAUUCUAAAUUGUACGAAUUCCAUAAAUUUUAUUUUUAUGAAUGAUUGCGUCUUGCUGCAUGUAUGAUGAUGACUGAUGAUGCAUCUAUAGAUCAAAGGAUGAAAGUGAUUUUGGUUGCCAUUACAUCAUGUGCCAUGCUGAGUUGAGACCUAAAUUGGUAAUCAUGAACAAUGAUAAAUGAAGAAACUGUUUGUGGCGGAUGAUGAUGCCCUGGGAGUAUCAAGAUGCCCGGGAUGGGGGGUGCCGGAUGCCCGGAAUGUAUAGAGAUACAUGGCCGGAUGGCCUCGGGAGUUUCGAGAUGCCCGGAAUGGUUGGAUGCCAGAAGCCUCAGAGGUCUUUGCCCGAGGGGAUGCCUCGUGAUGCUAGUUGGGAUGCGAGAUGCCCGGAAUGUGGGGGUGCCGGAUGCCCAGUGGCCUUAAAUGGCUAAAUGCCGGAGGUUUUUCUCGCGAUGCCAGGAUGGGGUGCGAGUGUAAAGUAUGGGAUGAAAUUGAUGAUCCCGAGAAAGAGUGAUGUGGUGAUCGAAUUGAAAGUUAAAAGUGGAAAUUGAAUCAUGCAUAUAUGAUAUGAUAUGAUAUGAUGAUGAUCACCUAUGACAUGAUGAUUUGCAUAUAUGAUAUGAUGAUGAUCACCUAUGGCAUGAUGAUAUGCAUAAUAUGAUAUGAUGAUGAUCACCUAUGACAUGAUGAUAUGAUGAUGAUCACCUAUGACAUGAUGAUAUGCAUAUAUAAUAUGAUAUGAUGAUGAUCACCUAUGACAUGAUGAUUUGCAUAUAUGAUAUGAUGAUGAUCACCUAUGGCAUGAUGAUAUGCAUAUAUGAUAUGAUAUGAUAUGAUAUGAGGAUGAUCACCUGUGGCAUGAUGACAUGUAUGUGUUAUGAUUGUGAUGAAGAUGUAUGAUGGUAUAUGCAUGGCUUCGAGGUAAGUAUGCUUGGAUGCAUGAGUGACAUGUAUGACGUUGUGAUUGUAUUGUAUGAUGUAUUGAGUGGUUAUUGGAUCAUUUACCUGCUGAGUGAUUGUACUCACCCCUUCGAGGACCAACAUUUCAGAUUAGCAGGAUGCCGCUCCCUGCUGUCACGCGGGACGUAUUUUACGGCAUUCCUUUAGAUGUAGAGGUCGAGUCUGUGGAGAUCGACUGUCCCACCAUUCCUGGACUGACUUUUAUUCGAGUGUGCGCCUUAGUGAUGUACGGCGUGGGCCUGGCUGGGGGCCCUGUCAUUCAGGAGUUUAUAUCCGUCCAUGUUCGUCGAGACGGAGUGAUGCGUGGGAUGUUGCCGUCGCCACCGCCUGAUGCACCGGGAUGGGUGUGAGGGCUCGUGCGUGAGAAGUAGGAGCUGCAACUUUUUGGGAUGAUAGCCGACACUAGUUGAUGGGAGAUCUUGCACGAUAGACAUAGUGGGUCGAGUGUUUCUUUUUGGGGUUGUGGCCGAGUGGAGUUAAAAAUCUUGGCCUUUCUUUUGAUGUACCGACCCAAGAAAAAUCCAUCAUGAAAAUAUGUAAAUAAAAGUGUCUGGGCUCUAUCUUUUCUUAUGAUACUUAGUGGUGUGCAAAUUGUAUCAUGGUUGUUGGAGGGAGAGAUGGCGAUAUUAUAUUUUGCUUCCGCUAAUGAGUCGCGUUGGGACCGUUUUCAAAAAAAAAAAAAUGUGUCUAUGAUUUACGACGCUUCUCAUAAGAGAUAUAGCUAGUGUUCCAUUAGGUGUAACGUCAGGUGCCUGUGGCGACCUAAGGUGGUCGGGGUGCCACAGUGCCCGUUCUCGGUUCCUUUUUUUUGAGAACUGACGGUUCACGAUUUGAUUCCCAGUUCCAAUCAGAACUAGAACUAGAAUCGGGAACCGGAAUUGGGAUUCCCUCUCUCCAAAACACUAACGUUUUCUUCAAUGUUCAUUCUUCACUUUCCCUUUUCUUUCCACUUCCUCUUUGCAACACUCCACGCUCCUGACAACAAUCAGACGCUGCUCGCCGCCCUCGACGCCACCAUCAUGACCCACGAUCUCGCCGUCGACGCCAUCGCUGCUUCGUUUGACAACGUUGCUGGCUAUCGCCAUCACGUUUUCUGCCUCUCAACGACAAGCUAUUACCAGGCCACCGCCCGACGCUGCUGUUGUUCCAUUGUCGCUAUUUUGUCGUUGACGACGAAACUACUGUUCAGACUUCAACGACGAGCCACCGCAUCUCCACCUCUCGAUGACGAGCUGCGGUUAUUCGCACCGCAACUAGGACAAAACUAGCUGCCGCCUUGACGUCCUUGUUGCCAAUCCGUGCCAAAUCUAGCAUUGCCCGCGUUGCGCCUAACGUUGCUCGAGGUUGCCGAACGCUGGUUCAACCUAGAAUUAAACCCCAAGCUCGCCAAACGUUGGUUUUGUUUGCUGUCAUCGACUUACUGCCAGUGGUCGUGACUCAGCUCAGCUGCGAGAGCUAGUCCAUGUAAUUGCUAGCCGAAUGUGAGUUGAUUCCAAAUUCCUACCUUAAUGAACAUUACUUCUUGUAAUUGAUAGUUCUUCAACGACAUUUUUGUUAUUUUACUAGGAUAUGGUAAUAGAGUGGUAGGCGAACUUUGUAAUGUUUACCAUUGAAGACAGACGAAAGCUAAAAGGAAGUGCGGCGUGAAGGAGGCGCUUCAGUUGCCGUUCAACAGCUCUUUAGUUGGAAGGAUCGAAAAUAUUGGGUAGAUCCUCUAGCCUAACAUUUCUGAUGCUUUCUGGAAUGUUGUUUCUGUUCUUUGCACAUCGAGUUGGUAGGUCAUAUCUUGUUUCUGUGGAGUGUCUUGGGUUGCCACUUUAGGAUUCCUUAAUUUUCUUUAUAUGUGAGUGUAUGAGCUAGCCAUUUUUUCAUUUACACUUAGCCAUAAGGAUUGGCAAUCUCUUGAUUACAAAGCAGGACAAUGUCUUGUUUAGGAUGUUCUGUGAACCCAUGAGCUUGGAAUUGCAGUGUUUGUUUAUGGGAUUAGUUUCGUGUUGUUUGUGCGUGCGCCUGGAUGUUGGCAUUUGGGGUUCCAUUUUUUCCUUUCAGUUUGGUCAAUUCUUGAUUUGCUGUGUUUGGUUUACUGCUUGUGACAUGGAAAUUCUUCUGCUCGUUAUUGCUUUUUGCUCGAUUAGUCUGGUUGAGUUCUAAAGUUUCUUCUUUGCAGUAAAGAUUAGGCCCAAGAACUGGGCGUGUUCACAUAGUAAUGACUUCAGUGAGAUGGUUAAAUCUGGCAAGAACUGUUCUGUCUCUACAUUAUGUUCUUUUUGUUCUCAAAAGUUCACAGAUCAACCAUUUGAUGCUGACCACUUGGUUGCUCAAAUCAACCCCCUUUUUUGUGUUUUGUUUGAUUAUGUCAGGUUCUGAUCUAAUGCUAUUGCAACAGGACUAUAAAGCCCUGGUUGUGAAUUGUUCUUGUGUUUGGCAGUGGCCUCUGUAAUAAUGAUACGAUGUAGAGUUUAGUUAUUCUUAUCAUGUGACUUUGUACUAAAUCAUAGUUGUCAGAUGAAAAAAUCAGGGUAAUGAGAUAUAUACCAUAUAAAAUCAUAUCUGGGUUCAAGUUUAGCAAAGAUAUCAAGUGACUAAUGCUAGAUGUUCGAUAGCUUACAAUGGUUUCAACAUAUGCUUGCUUCCGUGAUAUGCAGUAGCAUGUCAUGCCCCUAGUAAAUUUCCAUAGAGUAUUUGACAUCUUACACAUUUCCAAUUUUACAAAUUAAUGGACAUUUGAUAGUUUUGAUAUAAUGGUGUCAUUUCCUUUUAAUGUCAGGGUUGUGGGUCAUAUAUAGUAGCUUUAUGCUAUGGGAGAUCCUUUAUCUGUCGAUUAUAUUGGAAGUUCUAGAGUUCUUUUUCUUUUAACGGUUUGUUGAAACUUGAUGCUUCAAGUAGCUUCAUGUAACAUUCACGAAUUCAAAUCGUCAAGAGUACUACUUUGCUCUUUUGGUCAAUUUUCGUAUAGCUUAUUUGUUGUCUUUAGCUGUCCUCGUACUCUAAGCUAAAGUUCCCAUGUUUAGAUGCCACCUUUGAGCCCCAACUUCUCAGCUUGCUCUAGCAAAAUUCCAUGCAUUUUGUUGUUUCAUAGCUGCCGAACUGACAUCUUUUUUUUUUUUGCCAGAUCAGCAUAAAGCAAUGGAGAUAUUACGAUUUUGGUCAAAAAGUGGUGCCAUUGCUUGUUUGUCUUCCUGGCACAGUAGGAACGGCAUAUGACUAUUACAAGUAGGUUAUGUGUUUGGCGAUGAAGGUAGUUCAGUAUCAUAGAGAUUUUUCAGCGGUAGCAACAUGAGUAAUGAUUAUGAAUUUCUAGUUAUUUGCUAUUCAAUUUUAUCAUCCUACACUUUGACCACUUAGGGCGCGCAUGACAACCAUUCUAUUCCAGAAAUAGUUUCUGGAACAGAAAUAGAUUUUUCUAUUUCCAUUUCUAGAAGAGUUUCUAAGCAAAAAUAACCGUUUGAUAACGACACAAAAUUUCUACUCUAAAAAUAGAAAUUCGUUUAAUAACGACACAAAAUUUCUUCAUUUUGGACAGCGGUGGACCGGCGGAUAGUGGUGACGGACGGCGGCGGCGGCGGUGGGCAAACGACGACUGGCGGCGGCAGCGGUGGCUAGCGACCGACGGUGACGGCGACCAGCGGGGGCCGGCAGGCGGCCGGCGACCAACAGACGGUGAUUGGCUGCAACGGAUGAAGGAUCGGUUGACGAAUGAUGAAUUUUUUUUUUUAUUUCUCAUUUCUGUUCCAGAAAUAGAGAAGUAGAAAAAUUUCUAUUUCUGAUUUCUAUUCCAAACCUAUUUCUGGAAUAGAAAUCUAUUCCAGAAAUAGAAAAACGGAAUAAGUUUAUCAAAUGGAUUUCUAUUCUAGAAACAGGUCUGGAAUAGAAAAAUUGUUUCUGGAACAGAAAUAAGCAGUUGUCAUGCACCCCCUUAUUGGUCACUGCACAACAAACUCCUCCUUUGGUGUUGUUAAUGUUGUUCCAAGGAUACAGAGCAUGAGUUUUCCAUAAUUGGCCUAAAAUAAAAACUUUCAGGGUUAUUGGGUGAUUUUUGUUGAUAUUCCACGUGUUUGGAACCAUCACGAAUGGAUUCAGGCAUUUGAAAAGUUCUUGAAUGCUAUCAACAUUCAUCAUGUAAGUACUCUGUUGGGAUUAGAAUUACUUUAUCUAUCUAUUUGGCAUUUGUUUACAUUGUUGUUGACACUCUAGUGUGAAGUAACCAUACCCCUUGAUUCAUUCUGCAAUGCUGAAUGUGCAUUUGAAAGUGUAUUUCUUCAUCUAUUCUGUGUCGAUUAUUGACUGAUAGCUUUAUUAUAUUUAGGAUGUUUCGUGAACCAAUUUCCUCUAAUUUAUUUAGUCGAAUUCCUUGCCAAGAAUUCCAUUUCCUCUGUUAAUAGUUUUAUUCAUUUUGUAUUCUCUUUGAUGAAUGACAAGUUUGUUUAUUAUUGUUGUGUUCAUUUUCAUUUUGUUUAACUAAAAAUGAAAUUAAAAAAAAGAAGAAGAAGAACAUGUUGGACUCUGGAACUUGUGAUAGGGUAGGUUCUAGGUUUCAGGUUCCGACGGGUAGGUCUCAGGUUUCAAAAAAUGAGGAUAUUGUAUUCAAUGGUAGGUUACAGGUUCCAGGCGGAACCUGGAACUGUUCACCCCUAUUGCUGAAUAACUAUUUCACCCUCCGAUCAAUUAAGGGUAGAGGAAAACAUUGUCCUUAAAAAUACCAGUCGACAUGAUGUGAAUGUCAACGGGUCGGGGUCGGAAUUCAUAAGUGAACAAAGGAUAUAUAGAAAUUUUCACUUCCAUUCCUUCUAGAUGUACGCGGUUGCGGAAAAAAUUGCGCUCGAUUUCUUCUGUAAGACAAAGCUCCUUCGAGAUUGGUUGUCGUAGCAACUGUAGCAUGCUGAUUUCCAAGCAAAACUUUCUUCGAUACCCAUUGAAAUGAUGAAUGGCGAUACGACUAUAAAUUUGGCAAUGAGCAAUUUAUACGUGUUUUUGUUUUGACUUGAGUAUUUAAAACCUAUUUUUCCUCUACAUUUCCAUCAAAAUGGAAAAAGAGAAUUCCACGUGACACUAAAUAUCAAUAUUCAAGAUUUUCUUUAGGAACGAGGUAUUCAAUUUCAACUAGAACUAGGCGCUCAAAGGGUACGAGUAGACCCGGUGAGCGUGCUCGAGUCGGGUAGGCACAUCGCUUUUGUCAUCGAUACGUCAUAUCAUUAACGGCAUCAAUGAACUGUCUCGAGCUAGAAGUGAGCAAACUCGGCAUGCGGGCUCGGGUCGGGUCCACGUGGGCUCAAGCUUGUCCAUGACGACAACUUGCUUGUCCCGACAUGAACUUGCGGGCCUAGCUAAGUGCUUAGUGAUAAUGCUAGUACGAGUACCUAGAGGGGGGUGAAUAGGUUUAUAAAAAUUUUCUUGGAGAUUGCACAAUACUUAGACAGAUGAAGGAUUAAAAAAUCAAUCGUAAGACUGAGUAAAGGAAAGAGAGAAUUAAACACGAGGUUUAUAGUGGUUCGGCUUGAUUCAAGCCUACGUCCACUCUUCUGCACUGACAGCCGAUUGGCUGGAUUCCACUAUGAACAAAGAGAUGUUAUAGUGUUGAUCUUCCUUGAUUUCUCGAUGUAGAUGAACUACUACACUCGCUCAAGGUAUCACCAAGUAUAAACACUCUCUGUGUAUACAAUUUCGCUCGAACUGUAUCGACUAACAAUCAAGGUUCUUCAGACUCUGGAAUUUUUCUAUCGAUCACUCACUUAAAACAACUAGAACGUCUUCCUUUUAUACUCCUUUAUGCCAUCAUAGCCGUUGGCACUUACCAAAGGAAUUCCUCCAAUCUACCCGUUGGACGGAAUCAAUUAAGAAGAUCAUCCGAGCUAUUUAAGGAAUCUGAUGAUAGCCCAUCAAUCCUGUUCGCCCAUACAAAUAGGAUUUUGGUUUCCAAGAAUAGAACAUUCCAAGAAUGUUUCGUCGACCAUCGGAUCUUCUAUUGUUCUUAGAUAAGAAUAAAAAAAUCCGAAGUGAUUAUCCAACCAAGGGAUCUUUUCCAGAGGAUUGGAUUGAAUCCCCAACCAUUACUUCGGCUUCGGAUAUCCUUCGCCACUGGAUUAGAAAGACUGUCAGUGAGAAUAAUCUUGAGUCUUGAGUCUUGAGUUUUGAGUCUUGAGUCUUGAGUCUUGAGACUUUGAAAUUACACAAAGUCUUGAGACUUUAAACUAUCGAUAUCCAGACUAGACUGAUAGAAAUGUUUUGUCAGCUUCAAAAUAUUCUGGAAAGAUUUCUCCAACAAUCUCCCCCUUUUUGAUGGUGACAAAACUUUCUUGUAGAUUUGAACAACUUUGACCUGCAAAAACAUUUCUCAAGCAAUAUGGCUAACUCAUAAAGAUUAAUAAACAACCAGACUCUGCAUCCACAGCAAAUUGGUUAGUCUUUCAUGAGUAAUACCAUAUAACACUACUUGAUAUAAAUGCAACUAGUCAAGCAUCAAAAUCCACAGCCAAUUCAGUCUCACACCAAAGUUCAAGUUCUCAAGUCAUACUCAAAAGUAAACAUAACCACAAAAGUCAAAUAAAGUUAAAGUUUUAAAAUAAUGUUUGUUCAAAUUGGUUCUCCCCCUUUUUGUCAUCAUUAAAAAGAGGGUGAGAAAGGAGUCAUGUCUGCUUGGGAAUGCGCACGAUCUGGAAUUCUCCCAUUGACUGGACUACGCCUUCUAGCCUCUUCAAGUCCUCCCUUAGAUGAGCUACCUCAUCUCCUUUGGCAUUGGCUUGAAGUUGCAGAGCGAGGUCUUUCAUCUUGUCCUCCAGGGUGACUGAAGAUGAUUGUCCAGCAUUCUUCAUUGCUUGAAUUUCACAGUCCAGAGCAUAUAUCUGACCACGCAUUUCCAGAAGAAUAUCCAUGAUGCGAUGAAAAUCUGCAGAAUUGUCUGUCUGUGUACUGGCAUGAGCUUUUUCAGAUGGAGUAUAUGAUGGCGCUUCAGUAAAGUCUUGCAGAUUUGGUGUCGACGUAUCACCUUCUUCAGGCAAUUGAGAAGCCUGAAAUUCUUCUGGGUCUGCUGGAGAUUGUCUUGGACCUUCACUAUCUGCAGCAUGAGGUGUAGACCUUUCUUGCUCGCCAACUCCCCCUGUCUCUAAGACAUCCAAAGGGGAAGAGUAAUGAUCAUGCUCUAGAUUUCCCUUCUCUCCAGAUUCAGCAGCAGACUUUUCUUUCUCUUCUUCAGCUUCUUUCUCCUUCUCUCUCUGCUCUUCUUCUUCUCUCUGGUUUUUCUGAAAUUCUCUCGGCUGAGAAACAGAACGUCUGGUUCUUGUCAGUGCUUGGAUAGUAGGAUCUUCAUCCUCUUCAUCUUCAUCCUCCAGGAUGAGAGAUCUUUUCUUCUUUUUCGAUGGGGCUCCAAUGGCCUCCUUUCCUUUUCUCUUUGAAGCAGACUGAACAGGAGUUUUCACUCUGAAUUUCUCCAUUGCCUUGGAAAGUUCUUGCAGACGCAUCUUUGUUAACAUCUUUAAACCUACCACCAUCUUAUCACACGGUUGAACACAAAGAGAUUGAGGCGAUUCAAUAUUCAUAUGUCUGAAGAUCUUGGUCACAAGACCAGGAUAAGGCAAUUGUCCUUUGUCUUUCGACAUUGAUCUGUACAUAUGGAAGAGAAUAGUGUGCGGUAGAGAGAAUUUUCGUCCUGUGUUGAUCGCGUACAUCAACUUUGCUUCAGAAAGAGACACAGAAGUCUUUGACGUAGACUUUGGUCUAAGACAGUUGAUCACAAUCUUAUGAAGCACAAUGUUGAUGGCAUUCAUCCUGGAAUAGGUAACUUUCUUCUCUGCGUCCCUAUCUUUGACCAGUUCCAGAGUAGUGCGAGCAGGUGAGACUUUGAUUGGUAGAUAGCGUCCUCGUUCAACUCCAACUAUAUCAGCCAACAUAUUCACAUCUACCACGUAGACUUUGUCUCGUACACUAAAUGAUAUUCUAUUCGCAUCCAGAAAGCUUAGAUUUUAAUAGAAAUAAGCGGUUAGAUGAGCAUACCCGUCCGUAGAGUCAGAGCAAAAAUUCUCAAGUUGAAACAAAUUCAACUUUUCUCUUAAGUUUAUGUUGAUGGCGUCCAGGAAGUCAAAAUCGACACUUCUAGGGUUUAUCACCCCUCUUUUCAACAGCCUGGAAUACACUUUUUCUUGAUCCUUGGAUUUGAACAAAUCCAUCCGAUUUCCUUUCACUUUUGCUGCCACUCCCAUUUUCGGUUGAAAUUCAAGGAACAUUCUGUCAUCAUCGUUCCCUUUAAUUAAAUUUUGUCCUGGCAUACGAGGAUCACUUGGAAUGUUCGCAAGUGCUUCCUCUGCUUUUCCUUUCGGGGCAAUUCCCCAUUCCUCCAUUUUCUUCAGAAAAAGAUACUCAUUCCCAUAAUUUUUGUCCUUAAGGAAGUCAUCUAUAUAAUUCAAUGGAGUACCCGUGCUUUUCAACGCACGAUAAAGUUUAUACAAAAAGGAGGGCUUUUGAACUCUUACUGGGUCGGCAUCCUCGAUUAUCUCUUCUUCCAGAUUAUGACUUGCACCUUGUGGGGCAGGAGGCGAUGAAUGAUGUGGAUGAGAGCGAAUCGGACUUUGUCGCUGACUUGUUAAGUCUUCUUCCUCAGUGAGAUCGAAAUGAGUCGGUCCCUUCUCCAUUCUUUGUGGUCCCCUGCUUGCGAUUCUUGAUGAUUUCCUCGAAAAAGACAUCUUUCUUGUCGAUUGGAAGAUUCCUUCACUUGCUUUCCCAAGAAAAAUGACCACUUUCUCGACGAUGAACAAGCAGUAGAAACGGUAUCGGGAGGAGAGUGCCUUUUAGGGUUUUGAAGAUUUGGGAAAAGAAAAAGUGUAUAUAUAUAACUCAGUUUUGAAAAGGGAAGUUCAAUCGGUGCAAGGAAAGUAAACGAUCACUUCUUUUCAAAAUCAAUAACUGCCAAAUUAUUCUUUAAAAAAAAAUCUUCAAAUUUCAUGCGGAUUAUAGAAUAACUGAACAAAAGAUCGUACCUUUUCGAAUGUAAAUUCGUACCUCUUAGAUGAAAUACAACUUACAGUCUAUAGCCACGAAUGUCUGAGUCUGAGGAUUUAAAGUCUGAAAGAUUAGAGUCUUAGAGUUGGUGAGUCUCUAGACUUUAACUUCUUCAGGCUUCAAAAUGUUGAGUCUUGAACGGAUAAAGUCGAAUUGAUUUUUCUCCAAAGGCUUUGUGAAUAUAUCCGCUAGUUGACUCUUUGAAUCAACAAAUUGAAUCGAGAUUUCUCCAUUUUGAAUAUGAUCUCUAAUGAAGUGAUGUCGAAUCUCAAUAUGCUUUGCUCUUGAAUGAAGGAUUGGAUUUUUGGUGAGAUUAAUCGCACUGGUGUUGUCACAUCUGAUUUCUGUGCAUGAGUCUUCAAUCCCAAAGUCUUGUAGCUGUUGUUUUAUCCAUAGAAUUUGCGAACAGCAGCUUCCAAGAGCUACAUACUCUGCUUCUGUCGUUGAAAGAGCUACAGUGCUUUGCUUCCUCGAAAACCAAGACACCGUUCUGUUUCCAAGUAUUUGACAAGUUCCAGAGGUGCUUUUUCUAUCGACUCUGCAACCGGCCAGAUCUGCAUCUGAGUAUCCUAGAAGAUUAAAGUCUCCCUUUUUGGGAUACCAGAGACCGAUGCUUGAGGAUGAGGCAACGUAUUUGAUAACACGUUUUACAGCACUGAGAUGGGAUUCUCUAGGAUCUGAUUGAAACCUAGCACAAAUGCAAACACUCAACAAAAUAUCAGGUCUAGAAGCAGUAAGAUAAAGAAGUGAACCGAUCAUGCUUCUGUACAGCUUUUGAUCUACUUUCUUCCCUUCUUCAUUCUUGUCUAUCUUCUGAGAACAUGACAUUGGUAUGUCGGUCUUUUUACACUUUUCCAAUCCAAACCUUUUGACAAGGUCAUUCGCAUAUUUUUCUUGAUGGAUAAAAGUUCCUUCAUUCAUUUGUUUCACUUGGAGUCCAAGAAAGAAUGUUAACUCUCCCAUCAUACUCAUUUCAAACUCAUCCUGCAUAGUCUUAGAAAAUUUCUUGCAUAGACUUUCAUUAGGAGAUCCAAAAAUAAUAUCGUCUACAUAUAUUUGAACAAGUAAGAAGCUUUUGCUUUCCUUUUUGAUAAACAAAGUAGUAUCUACUUUACCUUUGACAAAACCAUUAUGUAAUAAGAAUUUACUUAGUCUGUCGUACCAAGCUCGAGGUGCUUGCUUUAAACCAUACAAGGCCUUUUUCAGUCUGAAGACUGAGUCUGGCUUCUUUGGGUCUUCAAAUCCAGGUGGUUGUUCCACAUAAACUUCCUCAUGGAUGAAUCCAUUUAGGAAUGCACUUUUGACGUCCAUUUGGAAUAACCUGAAAUUUUUAUAACAAGCAAACGCAAGUAAUAGACGAAUAGCUUCUAACCUUGCUACUGGAGCGUAAGUCUCAUCAUAGUCUAUUCCUUCUUCUUGCGUAUAUCCUUUGGCCACGAGUCUUGCUUUGUUUCGUACGACUUUUCCUUCUUCAUUCAUCUUGUUCCUGAAUACCCAUUUGGUUCCAAUAACAGUUUUACCUUUUGGUUUAGAUGUCAAUUCCCAGACAUCAUUGAUGUUGAAUUGUCUGAGUUCUUCUUGCAUAGCUUCGAUCCAGCUUUCAUCAGAUAAAGCUUCUUCUAUGCUUUUUGGUUCAAUUUCAGAAAUGAGAAUCACAGCACUAGAUUCUUCAUGCCUUUUUGAUCUGGUGCGGAUUCCUUCAUUGAUUUCGCCAAUAAUGAGAUCUUUAGGAUGACUGGAUUUAUGCUUCCAGUUACUGGUUGUUCUGCCUGGUUGAUGAUCUCUUUCUUUGUUUGAAUCUUCAUGUGCUUCUUGAUGUUGGACUUCCAGAGACUGAGAUGCUUCUUGAGUUGUAAGCAUUGGAAGGUCUGGAGUAGGUUCAGACUCUUCAUACUGAGUCUGGCUGGAUUCAUCUUGCAUUAAGUCUUGGAAUUUAACAUUCGUUGAUUCCUCCACUGACUGGCUUUUCUUGUUAUAGACUCUGUAGGCUUUGCUUGAUGUAGAAUAUCCAAGGAAGAUGCCUUCAUCUGAUCUUUCUUCAAACUUACCAACUCGAUCAUUUUCAUUUUUCAACAUAAAGCAUUUGCAACCAAACACAUGAAAGUAUGAAACAAUAGGCUUUUUACCUUUGAACAAUUCAUAGGGGGUUUUUUCUAAAAUAGGUCUUAAAAAGACUCUAUUUAUAAUAUAGCAAGCUGUUGAGACAGCUUCAGCCCAAAAUCGUGAAGAAAUUUUGCUUUCAAUUAAAAGUGUUCUAGCCAUUUCUUGAAGAGAUCUAUUCUUUCUUUCCACAACUCCAUUUUGCUUUGGAGUAUAUGGAGAGGAAAACAUAUGAUUAAAACCAGAUUUAUCACAAAAUUUCGUAAAAUCUUGAUUUUCAAAUUCACUUCCAUGAUCUGUUCUUAUGCUUGAGAUUGCACAUCCUUUUUCAUUUUGAACCUUUUUGGCAAAUUUUUCAAAAUACGAAAAGGUUUCUGACUUAUUUGUAAGAAAAUAUACCCAAGUAAAGCGGGAGUAAUCAUCCACAAUUACUAGGCAAUAUUUCUUACCUCCAAUGCUCUGGGUUCUGGUUGGUCCGAAGAGAUCCAUAUGAAGCAACUGUAGUACAUGAUUAGUAGAAACAUGGUUUAUUUGCUUAAAUGAAUUUCUUACCUGCUUUCCCAGAAUACAUGGAGUGCAUGAAUCAGACUUUUGGUAUGGCAAUUUAGGUAGACCUCGAACAAGCUUCUUUGAUGAGAUUUUGGCUAAUUGUUUCAUGUUGACAUGGCCAAGCUUUCUGUGCCAUAAGACUGCUUCAUCUUGAAUUGAGAUUAGGCAUUGUGCUUCAUUUGGUUUUACAUCAAGGAGGUAGAUAUUUCCAUGCCUUCGACCCAUGAAAGACUGAGUUGAGUCUUUGCUAAUUCCAGAACAUAUGCCUUCUUGAAAGGAGAUCUUGAAACCAGUAUCACACAAUUGGCUAAUACUUAGAAGAUUGUAGUUGAGUCCUUCCACUAGAGAGACAUUGCUUAUUGUGAGAUUUCCAAUUUUCACAGUUCCAAAUCCCACAAUGCUUCCUUUGCUGUUUCCUCCAAAUGAAACUUUUCCACCAUUCACUUCAACAAGCUUUAUGAAGCAGUUUGAGUCUCCUGUCAUGUGUCUUGAACAUCCGCUGUCAAGAUACCACUUAACUUUCUUUUUGACAGAGACCUGCAUUCAAAAGAGAGUCUCAAGCUUUCUUUGGUACCCAAAUUUUCUUGGGUCCUUUGGCGUUAGUAGAAUAAGCAUUACUAGGCCAUACUUUCUUAACAGGCUUCCAAACCAUAGGACACUCUUUUUCAAAAUGAUCCUGACUGUUACACUUUGAACACCUUAGAGCACUUCGACCUACAGACUUUACAAAGACUUUCUCGAAAUGAUUUUUGUAAGCCUCUUUUGCCGGUCUUUUCUUAAUUCUUUCUUUUACUUUUGGAAAAUCAAUCAAGGGAAUUGUUUCUGCUGUCAUACCCAAACCAGACUUGUUAAAGUAAGGUCUUUGGACUGAAAGAACUUUUUCAAGUUUUUCAGACCCUAUUGAAAAUUUCUUUGAAAUAUUUGAUAAGUCAGUUUUUAAGAAAGCAUUCUCUUUUGAAAGUUUAUCUUCAUUCUUCUUAAGAGUAGAAACAUUCAAGUCUAAACUUUUCACUUUUUCUUCUAAAAUAUUUUCCUUUUGUUUUAAAACUGAGUUUUCCUUUUUAAGUUCGGAAAUCCUUUUCAGAGAAGUCUUAAGACUAAAACAUAGUUCAUCAAUGUAUUUAGAGACUUUGACAGGGAUUUUAUAAUCACUUACCUCAAAUUCACUGUCUGAGUCUGAUCCAGAAUCUGAGUCUGAUUGUGCCAUUAGACACAGGUUGGCAUAUUCCUCAUCACUUUCUUCACACUCUGUAUCGCUCCAAGUUUCGGCUUUGAGAGCUUUUCGAGACUUUUCAGCUUUUCCUCUUUUCUUUUUCAGGAGAGGACAAUUUGGUCUGAUGUGUCCCUUUUUCUUACAUUCGAAACAAACUACAUCUUUGUUUGGUUCCUCAUUAUCAACAAACUUGGUUUGCUGUUUCUGAAGACUUUGUUUCCUUGAGUUGAACCUUCUCCCUUUUCUAUUCAGCUUUCUGAACCUUCUAAUCAUAAGAGCAAGCUCCUCAUCGUCCAGAUCUUCUUCAGAGUCUGUAUCAUCAGAAUCAUCGUUAGAUUUUAAUGCAAUGGAUUUCUUAUCUCUUGGAUCUUCGUCUUCAUUAAUUCGUUCCACUUCAUAAGACUGAAGAGUUCCAAUCAACUCGUCUACAGAUAAUGGCAUAAUUCUUUGCGUCUCUCUUAUUGAAGUCUUUAUAUGAUUCCAGUCCUUAGAGAGUCCUUGCAGUAGCUUGUUCACCUUCAUAGGAUCAGAAAUUUUCUGUCCUUGAUUCUCAAGGCCAUUGACAAUAUCUGUAAAACGGCUAAACAUGUCAGUUAUAGAUUCUCCUUGUUUCAUUUUGAAGGCUUCAUAUUGACCAAGGAGAAUGUUAAUUCUGGUCUCCUUCACUCGGUCUGUCCCUUCAUAAGUGAUAUGUAAUCUGUCCUAGACUUCUUUUGCUGUAUCACAAGAAGAUAUUCUGUUAUAUUCAGUUGGUGAUAAAGCACAAUAUAAAGAGUAAAUUGCUUUUGCAUCGAGUGCUUGUCUCUUGUUUAUCUCUUCUUGAGACAUUCCGCUGGUUUCAACAGUUUCUUUCCCUCUUUCGGAUGCUGAUGCAGCAGUAGGAGUAAUUCCUCUUUCCACCACAUCCCAUUCCAGAGGAUCCUUUGAUUGUAGAAAAGCUUUCAUCUUGUUUUUCCAGAUGUUGUAAUCAUUUCCAUCAAAGUAGGGUGGUCUGGUAUUGCUUUGCCCUUCCACCAGCCCUGGUGCUAGCAUACUAGCCAUGGAUCUUUUACUCUGAAGUAAAACACUUCAAAUAAAGUAAGAACACAAGCUCUGAUACCAAUUGAUAAUGCUAGUACGAGUACCUAGAGGGGGGUGAAUAGGUUUAUAAAAAUUUUCUUGGAGAUUGCACAAUACUUAGACAGAUGAAGGAUUAAAAAAUCAAUCGUAAGACUGAGUAAAGGAAAGAGAGAAUUAAACACGAGGUUUAUAGUGGUUCGGCUUGAUUCAAGCCUACGUCCACUCUUCUGCACUGACAGCCGAUUGGCUGGAUUCCACUAUGAACAAAGAGAUGUUACAGUGUUGAUCUUCCUUGAUUUCUCGAUGUAGAUGAACUACUACACUCGCUCAAGGUAUCACCAAGUAUAAACACUCUCUGUGUAUACAAUUUCGCUCGAACUGUAUCGACUAACAAUCAAGGUUCUUCAGACUCUGGAAUUUUUCUAUCGAUCACUCACUUAAAACAACUAGAACGUCUUCCUUUUAUACUCCUUUAUGCCAUCAUAGCCGUUGGCACUUACUAAAGGAAUUCCUCCAAUCUACCCGUUGGACGGAAUCAAUUAAGAAGAUCAUCCGAGCUAUUUAAGGAAUCUGAUGAUAGCCCAUCAAUCCUGUUCGCCCAUACAAAUAGGAUUUUGGUUUCCAAGAAUAGAACAUUCCAAGAAUGUUUCGUCGACCAUCGGAUCUUCUAUUGUUCUUAGAUAAGAAUCAAAAAAUCCGAAGUGAUUAUCCAACCAAGGGAUCUUUUCCAGAGGAUUGGAUUGAAUCCCCAACCAUAUACUUCGGCUUCGGAUAUCCUUCGCCACUGGAUUAGAAAGACUGUCAGUGAGAAUAAUCUUGAGUCUUGAGUCUUGAGUUUUGAGUCUUGAGUCUUGAGUCUUGAGACUUUGAAAUUACACAAAGUCUUGAGACUUUAAACUAUCGAUAUCCAGACUAGACUGAUAGAAAUGUUUUGUCAGCUUCAAAAUAUUCUGGAAAGAUUUCUCCAACACUUAGGUCCACCUAAUAUGAGAAAGCCAGGACGUGUAUACUGUUUAGAUUUUUUUUUCCUGCCGAACAAGACAUAAAUAUAAGUUUUGUAUGGAUCAUAAGAGAUUAUAUAUAAACAAAUGGGAAAUACUAGCUUGUAAUACUUGGUUGGACUUGAACAAAUGACUUUCAGUUCAUGAUUUGGAAAAUUCUUCAACACCCCAAUUAGAUGUGUCACCCUUCCAAGGCGGAGAUCCCACCCAGAUCCUAGAUUCAGGCCCAAAAUAAAUCUCAUGUGAGCUAGUUGGGCAGCCCCGCCCAGGUGUGGAUGUAAGAAGGAGUUGUUUUUUGUUUUGACCAAUUUUGCUUUUUCAAUGCUAGUGUACAAAAAAUUAAAUUUGCAAAUGCGAGGAAACGGCCCGAGUGGUGCCUGGAUGAACUCGGCCGCUAGGCUCAGAAAAAGCUGGUCGAGCUCUUGGAUAGUGUCCAAUAUCUAUUGUGUUUUUCAAAGCAUUACCCAUAAGCUUGGGCCUAUCUUGGCGAUGGCCUUGCCUCUUUCCGGAUUUGUUAAAAAAUUUAUUUUUAAAGCUUAAUUUAGCAGAGAAAAUUAUGAAAAUCUAGAGAUUUUGAGAGCGUCCUCCAAAAGAAUUACGAGCAAGUGAAUACUCUCCUUUUUUAUGAUUAUUUAUUGUGCGUUUGGGUGUGUUUACGAUAAGGAAUCACUUGAAUUUGAGCAUUACGAAUGAUUGUAAUUCUCUCUUUACUAUUAAUAGUCAUCUGAUCGAUCUUUUCUAGAGUUGGGGACACUAACAAACCACGUGAAUUCUGUGUUCAUGUAUUAUUUCCAAAAUUAAUGUGUUACUUUCCAACGCAUUAGUCGCGCUUUCAAUAGUUCAUCCUUCUCGAAUAUGCCCCGGUAAAAAGGAAAAUUUCCUCCUUUGUAACAGUCGCCGGAGUCGAUGGACUAAAAAAAAGAUGCACUCAAACUUCCUAGUUUGCUCGAAUCAACUCCAGGAUCCGUGAAUCUUUGCGUGUUGUGUCUCUGAACAGGUAGCCGCCUUGGAAGUUUCUUCUUUGUUAGUGCGUGAUAAAGAUUCAUCUAGUUCAUGGCAGUGAUUUGAGUAACGGAUGAGAGAUGAGAGAGGAUUAAGCUUUGGGUGUUGGGUCUCUGAACAGGUAGCCACCUUGGCUCCCAACGUCCCCGCAGCGUACGAGCUGCAUUUCGCCUUCCCCAUGGCCGGAGCGAUCCUCUGCACGCUGACUGCCCGGCACGACCCGUCCAUGGUGUUGAUGCUUUUGAAACACUUGAGAGCCAAGAUCAUUUUCGUAGACUGUCAGCUACUCGAAGUCGCUCGCCAGGCAAUUGAUUUGUUCAACAAGACAGAAACAGAACCGCCGGCUCUAGUCCUUAUUUCUGAACCGGAUGGAUCUGGUCCUCUGCGGCAUUUGCGAAUAUGAAGGACUCGUGGCCUCUGGGUCCGGCAAUUUCGAGGUGCAGCGACCACACGGUGAAUGGGAUCCCAUCAGCGUAAACUAUACUUCUAGGACGACAUCACAGCCCAAAGGAGUUGUCUAUAGCCAUAGAGGUGCGUAUCUAAAGUCGAUCGUGACAUUUCUCCUUCAUGGGAUGGGCUCGAUCCCGGUGUACCUGUGGACAGUGCCAAUGUUUCAUUGCAACGGAUGGUGCUUGACUUGGGGAGCAGCGGCACAAGGUAGCACCAACGUGUGCCUCCGCAAAGUCUCUCCGAAGGGAAUAUUUGAUAGUAUUGCCAUGGAUAACAUGACUCACAUGGAAGCAUCGCUGACUGUCUUAAAUGAUUGUUAACUCAGCCGUGGACGAUCAACGACCUCUUCCUUGCAAGGUGGAAGUCAUGACAGGCGGUUCGCUGCCGCCCCCACAAAUCCUAUCCAAGAUGGAAGGGCUCGGGUUCAGCGUGUCGCACUUGUAUGGCUUGACAGAAACUUAUGGUCCGGGGACGUAUUGUGCAUGGAAGCCCGAGUGGGACUCUCUGUCCUCUGACCAAAGAUCGAGCAUCAAAUCUCGACAAUGGGUGCAACAUCUCGGCCUCGAGGAAGUCGACAUUAGAGAUACAGUUACAAUGGAGAGCGUUCCUAGUGAUGGUAAGUCUCUAGGAGAGAUCAUGUUCAGAGGAAACACCGUCGUAAGUGGGUACUAUAAGAAUCAGGAAGCGAUGGACAAGGCAUUCGAGGGCGGAUGGUUUCAUAGUGGAGACCUUGCCGUGAAGCAUCCUGAUGGCUACAUCGAAGUAAAAGAUCGUUUGAAAGACGUUAUAAUUUCGGGGGGAGAAAAUAUAAGCACAGUGGAGGUAGAGACGGUUCUGUACAGCCAUCCGGCAGUUCUAGA
rnacentral:lncRNA from 1 species